GCCCUGUAAAACGAGUUGGCAUAUCGGCAUGUGUCCAGUAUAUAUAACUGAAGUUCGAUCCUUCUUUGGUUGAUCGGUCUGUCAGAUCCUCUGGAUCAGUGUGUAAGUAGUGUAACCUUAGGUACGUACAGUUCGGCGAAGGAACGAUACAUAUAUUGAUACAUGUCCGGCGUAUUUACGAGCUCGAGAUAAGUACGUGGAGACGCUGUAUGUAUACAGCUGCAAGUUGCAACGUAUAUGUAUGUACCUAGUGCCAUGAGGGACCAUCUUGUCAGUGAGGCACAGGAAACUGAAGUCUGUAAUACGUCCUGUUGAUUAUGUUUUGUGUUUCUUCCGAAUUCUGAUGACAUCAUGCAGUAUAACAAGGACUUGUAACAGAUAGGGAUGCAAUAUCAGAUUUAAGUGGGUGAAUAUGAUCCCACCUGUGAUCUCAGCUGUUCCUUACCAAACUGAUGGGCACUUUCAGAGUUUCCACUGGUUGUUGGUUUUCACGAGAUACUUCACCUGGAAUCAACGUACUGUAUGGUAGCAUCAUCUGCUUCUUCACUCAUCCCUGCCAUGUCUUAUGUCUGAAGGAAAGUAGCGUGUGCCCUGUAAAACGAGUUGGCAUAUCGGCAUGUGUCCAGUAUAUAUGACUGAAGUUCGAUCCUUCUUUGGUUGAUCGGUCUGUCAGAUCCUCUGGAUUAGUGUGUACGUAGUGUUACCCAGGGGCGGAGCCAGGAUUUGAACAUGAAGGGGGCGAGAAAAAUAAUGAUCGCUCAAGAGACACGUCACAAGAAUAGUCUGAAAAUAUGGCACUUAUAUGAAUGUCCUGCCAUAUAUUUCUGUAAUGUAAUGAAAAAUAUACAUUUGUCAGUUCUCAGUUAACACACGCAGACAGGCUCUCGCUCCCGUGCAGCUCCACGGGCCGCACCGGGGCGCCCCAGAUCCGGCCACCUAAGGCACGCCCUCCUCCUCCUCUCCCCUCACCGCCGCCGGAGGGCGUCGCCGGGGCAAAGCCCGGGCGGCGUCGGCGGCGGUGCGGCCAUUUCUCGGCGCAGUGGGGGCGGAUCUGCCGCUCUUGGUGUCCGGCAGCGCUGGUGGUCCAGGGGCUGUGCACGCCGGCGAGUCGAGUUCAAGGCUGGCGGCCACGACGUGGCGGCCUUGGUGGGGUGCUGCGUGCGCCCGCCGGUGCACGGCCAUGGCACAGGGGCUCGGCGGGCUGGGCGUGGAUCUGCGCGUCGGGGCGAGGGUGUCUUGUGCGUGCAGUGGGUCCUGCGGCGCCGAUCUGCUGCCUGCGCGUCGCGGCAAGGGCGCCGGUGCAAAGGGAGUGCGAGGGGAUCGACGGUGCAGUAGUCGCGCUGCAGUGGGUGACGUGCAGGGGCGGCUCCAUGCCGCGGGUGCUCCGGCGCGCAAGGGGCCGUGCAGAGGCACGGCAGCAGCGCAAGGGGACCGUGCAGAGGCACGGCGGCGGCGUGGGGUGGCCCAGCCGGCGCGGAUGUGCCGUGUGUGGGUCGCACUGAGGCGACAAGGCGGCCGCGACAGGGAAGCUCGGCAGGCGGGCGUGAGGGGCUGCGGCUCAGGCGAGGCCGGUCAGGGAGGCUCGGCGGAUGUGCGGAGGAGGUCCGGGCAGCACGGAUCUGUGGCUGGGUGGCCACCUACUCCGGCGUGGUGGAGGCCCGUCUUGGUGCUGCUGCUCUGGCGGGGUGCGUGGUGGAGGGGCUCGGGCUGUCUGUUUGGCGCUCGGGCGGCGGCUUCGGCUACGAGGAUGAUUGGUCGGCUUGUCGGUGCCGGUGCGGGAUGAUGUGCAACCGAGGUGGUGUGGGAGCUCGGGUGAAGACUCUGUCUCGGCCCUGUGUCGUGACCAGCGAUGGCGGCGACUGUGGCCGUCGUGACCUUCCUGGAGGCAUCGCUGAUUUGCUGCCGCACUCCUCUCGCACGGAUCCGGCCAUCUCGGCCUCUUCAGGGGAAACCCUAGAUCUUAUGAUCGGACGAUGACGGCGCCUUGGUGUCGUUUUCCCUCUUGGGGGCUUCGUCUUGGAGCUCGGCAUCGGCAAGCGGGACCGGUGGUUGGUGGCGUCCAGGCUUCUGUGGCAACGAUGAUGGUGGGAGUGAUGUCGGCGACGCGGCAAUGGUUGCGGUAGUCGGCUCUUCUUCGGCGUGUCCACGGUAUUGCCUCGGUUUCCUUGUUGCUAUGGAGUCGAAGCUGCGGCGGCGAGGCCCUGUGGUAUACGAUGACUGGCUGCAGGUUGCCCGUUCGGCGAUCUCCCAUGGCGCCAGUCGUGCCUGGUUUUGUCCUACUGAGUUCUCCGUCAGAGUUGGAGUUGCGCUGGUUGGCCGCAGGAGGCUGAGGUUUUGGCAUCGAUCUUCAUGCAGCUUCACGUGUCCGCUACAGUGUGGGUUGAGUCGACGAUCGCCUACGGCGAAGCGGGAGUCGUUUGCUCAGAGUGUAGGGAUGGCGAUGACGCCUCUAGGGGAGAAGUGAUGACGAUGACGCCUGCGUGCGGUCUCGUGAGGCCCUCUUUGGAGUGGUGUGCAUUGGGCUUUCUAUGUGUACCGCUCAGCGGUUGUGAGGGUUUUAGCCCGGUUCUUCAUAAUUAACUGGGCAAUCUGGUUUUCGCUCGGUUUUCCCUAAUUAACCGAGCAACUCUCUUCUGCUUAAUUAAUCGAUGAGGCAAAACUUUUGCCUUCGUUUCAAAAAAAAAAUAUACAUUUCUGUCAGAUCCUCUGGAUCAGUGUGGACGUAGUCUUAUGUACGUACAGUUCGGCCAAGGAACGAUACAUAUAUAGAUACAUGUCCGGCGUAUUAUACGAGCUCAAGAUAUGUACCUGGCGACGUUGUAUGUGUACAGCUGCAAGUUGCAAGGUAUAUGUAUGUACCUAGUGCCAUGAGGGGCCAUCUUGUCCGUGAGGCACAGACAGCUUUUUUUUUCUAACAUCAGUACAGACGCAAGCGCUCAUAUAUACGCGCAUACACUCAUCCCUAUAAACGCACAAACGCACACCCUACCCCUAUGAGUACCUUCGAGAGACUGAGCCGGUAUGUCAUCUUGAAAUUUACGAAGUCACCGUACGCGCCUCGUCAUCGACGGGAACGUCUCCUCCUACUGAAAGCGCAUCGCCGGUAAUCCUGAAAUAAAUCUAGGAAUAAUGUGAGCACCAGGACUUGAACCCCGGUGGGCUGGUUGGCGUGAGGCACACACAGCUGAAGUGUGUAAUCUGUGCUAUUGAUUAUGUUUUGUGUUUCUUUUGAAUUCUGAUGACAUCAUUCAACAUAACAAGGACUUGUGACAGAUAGGGAUGUACAGGUUGUUUGGUUUGUAACUAACUUUGUCAAAGGUUGCCGCACCAAAGGUUAGGCAAGUUUGACCAAUAGGUUAGUGUUUGGUUCAAACCACACCUUAGAGCAUCUCCAACAGACGCCGAACGCGCAACACGCUAAAUUCUGGUUUACGGCGCGCCCUUCGCCAGGUUUGGCGUGACGUGCAGCGCUGGCUCCAGCGGCAGCGCUAAAAUGCAGCACGCGCGUAGCUCCAGCAGGCGCGCUAAAAUGCAGCGCGCGCUUUCGCACAAACUUUUUUUAAAUAACUUUGCAUAGAUAAAAACGAUACAUAGUUAGUUCACAACAUAGAUAAAAAAGGAUACAAAGAUAUUUUACAUAGUUCCAAAGCAUAGAUAAAUAGAACUAUGGUGCAACUAGAUAGAAAAAACUACGGUGCAACAAAAAAAACUACGGUGACUCCUAGCCGUCAUCAUCAUCACCAUUAUCAUCCUCGGUGGUGUUGUCCGAGGUAUCAUGCCACAUGUCAUCCCAACACAGAUCGUUGGGGGAGAAGAUCGACUGCCCGUCGUUCUCGACGAUAUCGCACUGCGAUAAGGCCAGUGCCUUGCGCCGACGCCUGUCGGCACGCUCCGCGCGGCGCCUUGCCGUCCUCUCUGCCCAGAAGGCGUUCUCGGCGGCGCCGUCCUUCGGGUGGCAACGGCGGCACUCCGCCAUGGCUCGCUUGUCCUCCUCGCCAACGAGGAGGCGGCGCUGCUGCCGAACGUGGUCCGCACGGUCCCGGACAGUGAAGAGACGAGGCGGAGGGGCGAGGUGCUGCGCCUGCUCUCGCGUGAAGACGCCGCGGAAGUUCAUCUGCGACGGGGGCCUCUCCAAGCGCCACGCCGCCGCGUCGUAUGCGCGGGCCGCCUCGUACGCGGUCCGGAACGAGCCGAGGCCGAGCCGGACAUCGUCGGACCAGAUCUCGGUGGAGUACCAGGCGCUGGGGCGCUCGCGGACGCCGCGGUAGCCCGAAGAACCCCGGCGGCGCGGCGGCAUGGUGGCGCAGUGAUGACGGGGAAAGCAGCGAGAAAGAGCGGCGAGGUGGCAAGGAGGAGGGCGCAUGGCAGUGUGGUUGAGCGCGUGGCGAGCGCCGGAUUUUAUGGGCGCGCGUGAAGCGGCGCGCCAAAUCUACCACGCCAGCUGCCGCUUUCUCCCGCGCUCGCAAACGCUUACCGCGCGCGGUAUUUUGCCGCCACCGCUGGAGCACGCGAAACCGGACCGCUGCGCUAAAAACGAUUUUACCGCGCGGGCGCGUUUUUUGGCGCGCCUUAUGGAGAUGCUCUUAGGCAAGUCACUCUAGAGCCUCACAUGGCAUACACAUAAGAAAUGUGACAAGAUUCCCUUACUCUUGCCAACUUGUGGUUCUCAUUUUGAUAAACUAACUUUAUGCAUGCUUGGCAAAAAAGUGUGGCAAAAUGUGACAAUGCAAGGCCUGGAACCAAACGGACUUUUUUACUGUUCUGACCCGUUCAUUGAAGUUUAACACAAUUUGACCCGCGUUUGAAAGUUUUUUCGUAUCUAACCCAUUUCGAGACGCCAUCAACCGUGGCGUCUUGCUUGCACUGAAGACGCCGUGAAUCCCGGCGUCUGGCCCUGGCCCACCUACUGGUCAGCCCAAAUUUCACCCCGACCCUAAACGCCAAGCACCUUGGCGUCUACCUAGCUACAUGCGUUCAUUUACAGCACUAUGCAUGCAAAGGAUUUUUAAACCCAGCAGAUGACACAUGCAUACCAAAAUCCAGCAAGAAAGCACAUAGCCAUGCAACGAGACUUAUCAGCACCGCAUGCAUAAAUAUCUACUGUCUUAGAUGGUUGUCUCAUAUGGUAGUUCAGUGCAGUACAAAAGCUAGCUCGUCCACUAUGCAAGAAAAUGCAUCCAAGAGCAACUCCAACGAGGCGAGCUAAACGGACGCGUGCUUUGUUCGAUACUCGUCCGUUUGGAUCGGCCAAGUGGACAUGCACGUCUGCUUUUUGAUUUGGGUCGGCUGGUGCAACCAGCGUUGGCCUGACCAUAUUUUAUAAACGCUGACUUAAAAGAAAGAAAACCAUCAAGUACGAAAUAAAACAUAAUUAAACAUUAAACAACGGUCAACAGCGGGCCAAAGUCCACAUUAACAUUAAAAAACAUUAUUUAAACUUUUAUAAAAGUCCGCUCAGACUGUGGCACGGCUGGGGUCACGAUGCCAGUCGUGGGAGAGGUUUAUGUCCGGUCGCAGCAGCGUGACACAUUACUCCCAGAGAUAUUGUGCCCGGUGCAUCGGAAUGUACAACCCGUCCCGUGGUCGGCGAGUCAUCCACACCCCCCACCCCCCGCGGCACCAGCGUCCACCUUGUCGGACCGCACGACGAGCUGGCCUCGCCCUUGCCCUUGCCGAAGAGGCCGGCACUCCGGAGGCUUUCAUCAUUGGCUGCCAGGCAGGCCCAAGUUAGAUGGGCGGCAUUAAAUUUAACUGCGGUGGUAGUUGGGCAGCUGACAAGUGGGCCUGAGUCGAACAUUGAGCGGACGCGCAGCGCGUCCGCCGGGACGCAAAUCGGGUGUAAAUUUACGCCAGAAAUGCGUCCACACAGACAACGCGAACGUGAAUUGGGUUUGGAUCGACGCAUCGAGCCAGCGUCUUUGUUCGUUCUGACUCAAGCGGACACCCGCGGACGAAAUGUGUCAGCGCGUGGGAGUUGUCCUUGAGACGUGUGCAUGCUAAUCAUUAGUUUGCUGUUUUUAAUGCUAAUCAAGGAGGUGAUGAACUACUACACUUAGCCCAUGCCCACGUACACUUGCAUGCAUCGAUGCACUGGAUGUACCUAGCCUGCCCACUAGUUCGUAGUUAGGUGCAUUUUCUUGCAUCGUAAACGAGCUAGCUCUUGUACUGCACUAUACUAUCAUAUAAAACAACUUUACUGCACUUUGGUACGCAUGUGUCAUCUGCUCCGGUUAAAAAUCGUAUAUGUAUGUAUAGUACUACAAAUGAGUGCAGGUAGUUAGGUAGACGCCAAUGUCUUAGGCGUCUAGGGUCGAGGUGAAAUUUGCCACGUUGAACAGUCAACUGGGCUGACUAGAAGGUGGGCCAGGGCUAGACGCCUGGGUUCACGGCGUCUUCGGUGAAUGCAAGACGUCACGGAUGUUGGCGUCUCGAAAUGGGUCAGAUCCGAAAAAACUUUCAAACACGGGUCAAAUCGUGCUAAACUUCAGCAAAUGGGUUAGAAUAGUGAAAAAGUCCAACCAAACAGCUGCGUAAUCCCUGUACCUGUCGUGGCACCAGCGGCAGGGGCUAUCUUCAUGUUCAGUACUUGCUGGCCAGAUGAUGUUACGUUUCUGGACUAACCGAAUGCAUUCUCUGCACACACGCACGCAUGCACGUACGCACGCAUGCACAUGGAUUAUUGCAUAACAAGGGUAGCGUCACACGCUGCUUGGGCAGGACACCCAUCUCAUCAUGUCUUUCUCUGGCGGUGAGCCAUGCCUGACUGUUGUCGAAGGGCGGCUUACGGCCAACAGAGGGCAAGUCUCCAUCACACCACAAUAUUAAAGAUGAAGAUCAAACUUUCAUGAUGGUUUGUAAUAGAGGAGGGUUAUCUACAAAAUCGGUUUUAAGUUGCUAACAAUGACCCCCCCACUGAUGAUAGUACUCCCUCCGUUUUUAUUUACUCCUCAUAUUAGCUUUAACUUUAGUAAAUUUUUAUAAAUUUUGACCAAACUUAUAGAAAAAUAAUAUAAAGUUUUAAUAGACAAUAUGUAUGGUGCAAACAUAUAUUCAAUGUUGAUUCUGAUGGUAUUGAUGUCAUGUUGUGGAUGUUAAUAUUAUUUUUGUAUAAACUUGAUCUAAGUUUCACUUGAAAUAAAGCUAAUAUCUAGCAUAAAAAACGGAGGGAGUAGUUCGAUGGGCUAGUCAUGGAGGGAGUAACUUAGCUAAUAACAUAACACACCCCAACGUAACUUUGCUUAUGUGACAUGUAGUUAAUAAGGAGAGAAAGGUUGUUAGUAUCAUUAAUAUGUUACCGUAACAUAGUGUCUUCCAAGAAAAGAUGAGUCUACAAACUAAUAAAGGAAGCUAUCUAUCACAGUACUAGUACUACGAGACUACCCACAGUGAGAGUAACAUAGGUGGUAACAUCACACAUCACUAGAAAAACAGAUGAUGUGGUGGAUAAUUAAUGAGGAAAGAGGGGCAUGUGGUAACAUAGCUAGUUACUGUAACAUCACACAUUCCAAGACAAAAUGAAUCUACGACCUAAUAAAUGAAGUGUUGCAUGACACCACACAUAUGUUACUCGCCACUAUGAAGGUAGUAACAUAUGCAUGUUACUAGUCUAAGUUACUACCCAUUGUGACUAGUCUGAUACUCUCCACAAUGAAGCUACUAGUAUAGUACUUCCUCCUUUCCGGUUUAUAGAGCUUAAUUCAAAAAUCUCACCAACCAAGGUAGAUGGUGAGUGGUGGAAUAUUUUUUGUAGUUUGCAAAAGCACCUAAUUAAUGCUCUUGUUUUUCUCAAAAAAAUUUGUUUAUCAAUGCAUUAAUUGCAAUACAUGCAUGCAUAAAAUACAUGCAUUGGUCAAUUUUCUCUUAAUACUUGCAUGCAAUGAUUUAAUGCACCUUGGAAUCUGAACAUGUGAUGGGAAACAACCAAAUUGAGCCUUAUAAAAUGAAAAAACUAAAAUUUUGAGAUAAGCCCUAUAAACCGGAAAGGAGGGAGUACUAUGAUACUAUCCUCUACAGAGUAGUAUGACCAGCCUUACCAAUUUGAUAAAUCAAUUUCCAAGUUUCCACUAGUUGUGGUUUCCACCACCAUGAAUAAAUGUACUAGCCAGUAGCAUGGGCUCCACAACAUUCAACCAUGCAGAUCAACUGUUUAUUAAUUAUGUAUGUGGGAUCAUACAUAUUACUUACCUAAUAGUAAAUUUGUUUCUAGUGGUUCACAACACCCAAGAAAUAGCAGAAACCCGAACCAGAACAAGCGCCUCUUCCGACCAGAGAGGGAGUUUGAGGGGGACCGUAGUUCAAAGAAGGAAGAAGGGGGCCAGUUAACAACCAACCACGAUCUAAUACAGCUCCAUAGGAGUUUAGCCAUAUGACAGUCGAAGAACACAUGGUUGGUGUCCUCCCUAGCCCCACAAAGUUUACAAAAAUCGGUCCCGUGAUCAUUUCGCUUGCGAAUUUGAUACGUCGUGGAAAGGCGACCACGAAUGGCCUGCCACAUAAUGUUUCAGAAUAGCCUUGCUUCAUUUGUCCAACCAACUUGAAGCAAACAUAUAUGUGAAUGGAAAUACAAUGUCUGCAUGGCUCAAUGUUUCAUGGAUUCCUAAUUUUUCUAGGAGCCAACACAAAUAACUUCAGCACAAACUGGCUACGGAUAUUUAACAAUCCAAUUAUCCUUGGUCUCAUCGGCAACAUUGAUAAAUAUGGGUAAAACUUGAAGACUAAUAACUAGCUUCAAUAGACCAAAUCAAUUCAGACGCUUCGGUAUUAUCGUGUGACGGAGAAAAACAAUCUAGAACAGGAACCCCAUUACUUGCAUGUGCAAGGCUAGCAGGAGGAUGGGGCAUGACGAGGGAGAGAGAGGAUCCGCAAGACCGUUGAUCAUGACCUAUGACGAGGGAGAGAGAGGAGCCGCAAGACCGUUGAUCAUGACCUCUCAAGGACUAGUCAAAGCCAAUGGAGGGCUUGUUGGGAUUCCGUCCACGGGAUCGAUCACAUCAAAUCACACGAUAAGGCUGGCCAUAGUGGGGGUAACAUAAGUAGUAUUAUGCACCUGGGACUCGCAUACAUGCUUAUGUGGCAGGCAAUUAAAGAAGAGAGAGAUGGUUAUAGUAACAUAUGUAGAUACCGUAACAUAAUAAAUGUAAUACUACUAUGUGUCAUGCAUGGCAAUAAAUGAGACCACCUAUGAUACUAAUCUAUGAUAAUAUGCACUAUAGAGGUAGUAACAUAGACUAGUAACAUAUGCAUGUUACUAGUCUAUGUUACUCCCCACUAUGACCAGCCUAAACACGCACUCGAAAACUGAUAGCCAAGGGCUCUUGUCGUGCCCUUUGAUUCUCUUUAUUUUCUGUUUUUUUGCCAUGGUGUUACAACUUGAUCUCACGGCCAGGGCUGUAUAUAUAUACACACCCAGGCGCCUAAAGAUAUGACUCAAUCCUUUUCGUACUUGGACUUUGAGUACUACCUCCGUCCGGGUUUAUUGGUCCCCAUUGUAUUCCGUGCCAAAUUUUGACCAUAGAUUAAACUAACAAAAUGUUCACGCAUGUCACCAAACAUUAUAUUUUUGAAAACUAUGUUCAAAUACGAAUCCAAUGAGAUAAUUUUUCUUGACAUGCAUUAACAUUUUGUUAGUUAAAUCUUUAAUCAAAAUUUGGCACAAACUAUAAAGGGGACCUAUAAACCAGGACGGAGGUAGUACUAACCUAGCAUGACACGGACUGGACACUACGUAGACUAACCGGACUACUAACUCCUAACGUGAGCUUAACUAGUACUACUAGCCGGACACAAAUAAAUCACUUUCCAACUUGUGUACGUUACUACCAUGCAAAGAAAAUAAACCUAACUUUCAAGAUUAUGCUAACAGGGCUAUGGCUCAUGUGCCGUCGGAAAACAAAAUCCAAUACCACUAGGUCUUUUCUCUUAUCAAGUGAGACCCAGCCACAAAGAUGCCAUGUGGAAACACCAAUCUAAGAGCACUGUAGUCUUCUUCUUUCCUGAUUUUCUUCUUUCUUCUAUUAUCACGUAUCCACAGUCAGUCGAGGAGCACCAUCAUUCUCGAAUGCCAGUAGGAUCAAGGCGAUGCUGAGUGCAAAAGUGCAUAGUGGAAACAUGUGCUCAGAUGAGCUGCAAAUACCUGUAGCCGAAGAGAAGCCCAGAACACAUGCAACAUAGCUAGGCGUACCACAUCCUCAUUCUCAUAGAAUGUCAUCAGCUAGCCAAGACUGAUAGAAUCCUCAUUCUCAUAGUUCACAACAGGACUCAAUGCAAAAAAGGAAGUGUGAUAGGUGUGGCCGUCUGCAAGAGAGCAUGAGUAUUAUCGUGCAGGGCGGCGGACACACCAUAUCUGUUUGACGAAUAAUAAUUGGUUGCUGAUUUGGCCAACACCUAUCUCCUGGGCAAGUUUCAUAUCACGGGUGAAUGAUUCCUACAAGCGUGAUUGAUUUCUGUAGAUCCGGCACUGGUUUUGAUGAUAGAACUGCAGUAAGAAAAUUGGGAAAUAAGAGAUUGCUAUGCUUUGAUAUAUGUGUGAUUACGUGGCAUCUUUUGGACUGAGUCUCUCUUGAUGAAAGGAACGACCUGAUCAUAUACGAUUUUCUUUCCUAUGCCAUUGGAGCAUGAGGGCUCACGGUCGAUAGAGGGAAGUCUCCAUGGCGCCACAAUGUCAAAGACAAAGAAAUCAAACCUUUCUGGUGGUGGAUAAGGGAAGAGAAGGGUUAUCUGCAAUACGAGAUUUAUGUGGUUGACUAUGAUCCCACCUGUGCUCUCAGCUGUUCCUUACCGAACUGAUGGGCACUUUCAAAGUUUCCAUUGGUUGUUGUUUUUUCACAAGAUAUUAAACCUGGAAUCAAUUACUAUAUGGUAGCACGUGCUACAAAACAUUCAAUCAUGCAAAUUAAUAGCUUAUUAUUUGUGCAUGCGGGUGCAUAUAUAUUACUCGUCCGUCUUCACCCGAGAAGAAUCAUGGUCUGUUAGGCGACACACACUUUUAUACUCCCUCCGUUCCUAUAUAAGUCUUUGUUGAGAUUCAAAUCUCUACAAAGACUUAUGUUUAGGAACGGAGGGAGUAGCUAUCAUAUCAAACAGUCAUGGAUGGGAAAGGCCAAUGGUAGUAGUACGAAUAUAGAUGAGACGAGAUGGAAAGAGUAUGCAAUACAUUAUUAGCAGGGAAUAGGAGACAUCGGGAAUCAGAACACGGGUCUUGCUUCACCUCACAUGUCUCUAAUGUAUCCCUAAGACUAGGGACACUUUCAUACUUGAUCCCAAACAGACAAUGCACGUGAGGCUUCUCUACCCGGUAGGUGCCUUAAGAGAAAUUGAAGGGAACAAACUCUUCACUUGGUAUGCUCGAGAAUGUAGUUAAGUAAUUAAUUAGGGCAUAUCUAGGACACAUCUAGAUGUGACAUAAUUAUGUCACAUCUAACCUCGUGUCCACUAUGUUUGUGGUUUUGUUUUUUUUGUCCUGGUUUUUUUGUUUUCUGUUAGUGUGUUAUUUAUGUGAGCUUAGAUGUGACAUCCUUAAAAAACAUCUAGAUGUGAAUUAGACAAACUGAAUUAAUUUACGGGCAUGCAACUUUGCAUAUACUGGCAAUUGUAUUGAUGACUUCCAAAAAGACCUGCUCAGAUUAAUCUCUCACCGAAGCAAAUCUCAAGAGGUGGGCUGAUAAGGCCAGCCCCGCGGGCCGCAUUGUAUCGUGGUGGCAACUCCGCCAGAGUAGAGGUUAGACAACAAGAUCUUUUGAGAGCAACUAGUUAACGAGCCCUCUUUCGGGAGCCUCGCAAUGACCAGCGCCACUUGGCGCGCUCUCAGCCAUUCGCCACGUGUCGCGCUCUGGGCGCUUCCUUCGGAUUUUAUUUUUUUAUUUUUACGCACGCGUUAUUGACUUUUUAAACCGUAUUUUUUUCGGGUUUUGGUUUUCCACCGGUCUUCCUUAGCUUUUGAUAAAAAAAAAUUAUGCAAUACAAUUUUUUUUGCGCGGAAAAAUAUGUUUUUUUCUUUUUGCGAGAGUCACGGCCACCUCUCAGAAACAAAAAAAAAACGCAUUUUCUCUUUUCUUUUCCUUCCGCGAAAGUUAUGGUUUUGCUUCCGCGAGAGGCACGGGUGUGCUUUCACGAGAGUCACGACCAUGCCUCUUGGAAACAAAAAAACGUGUUUUCUGUUUUUUUUGCGAGAGUCACGGUUUUGCUUCCGCGAGAGGCACGGGUGUGCUUUUCUAAGAGUCACGACCAUGCCUCCUGGAAACGAAAAAACGUGUUUUCUGUUUUUUUUUCUUUUGGGGGACUCAUGGUUUUGCUUCCGCGAGAGGCACGGUUGUGGUUUAGCGACAGUCACGGUCGUGCCUCUCGGAAACGAAAAAUAUAUGCAUUUUCUGUGUUUUUUCUUUCGCGAGAGUCACGGUUUUGCUUCCGCGAGAGGCACGGUUGUGCCUUCGCGAGAGUCACGGCCGUGCCCCUCGGGAACGGAAAAAAACGUGUUUUCUGUUUUUUCUCCUUUCACGAGAGUCACGGUUUUGCUUUCGUGGGAGGCACGGUUGUGCUUUCGCGAGAGGCACGGCCGUGCCUUCUCGAAAACAAAAAAAAAAUGUGUUCUCUCUUUUUUUUUCCUUCCGCGAGAGGCACGGUUGUGAUUUCGUGAGAGGCACGGGCGUGCCUGUUUCGUAAAGGGAAAAACCCCGUGCUCCCGAUUCGUUUUUUUUUUCGUUUUUUCGUGAAAAAAAUUUCAUCAAAACCUAUCAACAUGGGAUCUAGUUUUGAAAAUCUCGAGACAAGGAAUCCAACGGUGAAAGCGGAUCGAGAUUUGGCGCACGGUUAGAUAGAUAAAACGUUUUGAAUAAACAGAUCUACGAAAAAGGGAAAACUCCCAGGUUGCGACAACUGGCACGAUGCAUGUGUGCCACUUGUUGCAACCUGGGGAAUUGGAGUGAUCCUUGCAACGAGUACUCCUCAACUAGUGAUUUCGAGAUCUCUUGCUUGCAUAAUUGAGGAGGCGGCUCAGUAGUGGACCUUGGCUGUCAUCGACAAUAGGAGGCCCUGGCCUAUUUAGAAACUUAUUAUGUAAUUCAUAAAUAAAAGGUUGCUUCCUUUCUUCAUAAGAGGAACCAUAUACAGUUGUAACAAGGAGGUUUUGGUUUCCUAGCUAAUGGUUUCUAACAUAUGAAUAUUCACUCCAACCGAACUGCCACAUUUUAUUCCUAGGGAUCUAUAGGUUAUGCUGGAUGGGUUGGUGUUUUGCUUUGUCCACCGUACACUCAUUCAUGUCAAUUUGUGUGCUCUAUCUUUUUUAGAACGAAGUCUCAAGGAGAACCCGGUUUUGAAUUAACAAAUCCAUCAACCGGCUAGGACUACAUCAAACAAACAUAUGAACCAAGGAAAAAGAAACAACAAGAACAUACAUGGUGCUGUGUAAAAGCUCUCUGCCUAUGACAAACAAACUCCUGCCUGCAUCUACUACUAUUACUCCACACAUCGACCGACUCCUGCCUGAAUCUAGAGUAUUAAGUUCAUAAGAACAGAGUAACACAUUAAGCAAGAUGACAUGAUGUAGAGGGAUAAACUCAAGCAAUAUGAUAUAAACCCCAUCUUGUUAUCCUCGAUGGGAACAAUACAAUACGUGCCUUGCAACCCUUUCUGUCACUGGGUAAGGACACCGCAAGAUUGAACCCAAAGCUAAGCACUUCUCCCAUGGCAAGAAAGAUCAAUCUAGUAGGCCAAACCAAACUGAUAAUUCGAAGAGACUUGCAAAGAUAACUCAAUCAUACAUAAAAGAAUUCAGAGAAGAUUUAAAUAUUAUUCAUAGAUAAACUUGAUCAUAAACCCACAAUUCAUCGGAUCUCGACAAACACACCGCAAAAAUAGUUUACAUCGAAUAGAUCUCCACAAGAGAGGGGGAGAACAUUGUAUUGAGAUCCAAAAAGAGAGAAGAAGCCUGUGGUAAACUAAUGAUGGACCCGUAGGUCUGUGGUAAACUACUCACAACUCAUCGGAGGGGCAAGGAUGUUGAUGUAGAAGCCCUCCAUGGUCGAUUCCCCCUCCGGCAGAGUGCAGGCGAAGGCUCCAACAUGGGAUCUUGCGGAUACAGAAGGUUAUGGUGGUGGAAAUUGUGUUUCGUCCGCCUCUCGGAUGUUCUCGGGGUACCUAGGUAUAUAUAGCAGGAAGGAGUACGUCGGUGGCCGUCUGAGGGGCCCACGAGACAGGGGGGCGCCCUCCUAUCUCGUGGGAGCCUUGACUGCUUCUUGACUUGCACUCGAAGUCCUCUGGACCACGUUCGUUCCAAAAGUCACGCUUCCGAAGGUUUCAUUCUGUUUGGACUCCGUUUGAUAUUCCUUUUCUUCGAAAUACCGAAAUAGGCAAAAAAACAGCAAUAUGGGCUGGGCCUCUGGUUAGUAGGUUAGUCCCAAAAAUGAUAUAAAUGUGUAAAAUAAAGCCCAUAAACAUCCAAAAGGGGUAAUAUAAUAGCAUGGAACAAUAAAAAAUUAUAGAUACGUUGGAGAUGUAUCACUAGCUUUUAGGGUUUAGCCUCUACGAUCUCGUGGUAGAUCAACUCUUGUAAUACUCAUAUCAUCAAGAUCAAUCAAGCAGGAAGUAGGGUAUUACCUCCAUCGAGAGGGCCCGAACCUGGGUAAACAUUGUGUCCCCCGCCUCCUGUUACCAUUAGCCUUAGACGCACAGUUCGAGACCCCCUACCCGAGAUCCGUCGGUUUUGACACCGACAUUGGUGCUUUCAUUGAGAGUUCCACUAUGUCGUCACGGUAAAGGCUUGAUGACUCCUUCAAUCAGCUACAGCGACGCAGUCCAGGGUGAGGUUUUCCUCCCCGGACAGAACUUCGUAUUCGGUAGCUUCGUACUGCAGGCCAACUCGCUUGGCCACCUGGAGCAGAUCAAUGGCUACGCCCCUGGCCAUCAGGUCAGGUUUGGAAGCUUGAACUACACCGCCGACACCCGUGGAGACUUGAUCUUUGACGGAUUUGAGCCUACGUCACGUGUGCCGAAUAGUCAUGACGAGCAUGACUUAGAUCUGCCGUCGGACGGUGUUCGGGAGAUCACACAUGCAGCCGCCCCGACCCUUAACCCGGAGCAGGUCAUGCCAUCCGAGGACGGGUGGAUGGACCCCUCCAUGGAAGCCGCACACUCAUCGGCGACAGAGCCAAACACAGACUUUGCCUCCGAUGAAGCCUGUGUAAUCGGACCCUCGGACUCGUCUCCGGCCAUAGUCUCCGAAUCAUAUGCAUCCAUUCCUAUCCAAUCUGAUUGGGCACCAAUCAUGGAGUUUACCUCCACUGAUAUCUUUCAACACUCACCUUUGGGCGACGUGCUAAAUUCACUGAAAUCUCUCUCCCUGUCAGGAGACUCUUGGCCGAACUAUGUAUGGCUUGAGUGGGAAGCAGACAAUGAAGAAAUUCGUUCCCCACCCACCACCCUCUUAAUAGCCACUGUCGAUGACUUAACCAACAUGCUUCAUUUCGACUCCGAAGACAUCGAUGGUAUGGACGACGAUGCCGAAGAGGAACAAGAACCACCGCCCACAAGGCGCUGGACAGCCACCUCAUCAUAUGAUAUAUAUAUAUAUAUAUAUAUAUAUAUAUAUAUAUAUAUAUAUAUAUAUAUUUAUGGUGGACACCCCCAAAGAAAGUGAUGGCGAUGAGGUAACGGAGGAUAAUCCCCUUAAGAAGCAAUGUAAGCACCGACGUCAUUGGCGUCGCUCUAAGCCCCGCCAUAGCAAAAAUAGCGAUACCGGCAUAAGAGACAAUAGCACUUCGGAUGAUGCCGAAGACGAAAACAAUCCCGCCCAGCCAGACUCCGAGCAUGCCGAACGGGAGGAUGGGCAAGUUAGCCCUCAUGAACAGGCAAUGGAUGGAGACUUGGAGGAUGAUAAUUACAUGCCCCUCUCCAAAGACGAGGUGAGCCUCGGCGACGAAGAAUUCAUCGUUCUUGAGGAUUCCGUAGAGCAGGAGCGCUUCAAGCGCCGGCUUAUAGCCACUACAAAAAGCCUGAAGAAAAACCAGCAUCAGCUUCAAGCUGAUCAAGAUCUGCUAACUGAUAGAUGGACUGAGGUCCUGGCAGCUGAGGAAUACGGACUCGAGCGCCCAACCAAAAGUUACCCAAAGCGCAGGUUACUACCUCAACUCGAGGAGGAGGCAUUAAAGCCUACACUACCAGCGCAGGAUACGGCCGACCGGCCACCUCGUGGCCGAGACAAAGCGGCGCAUCAGCCCGAAUACUAGCCCACACCCCGUCGCCAAUCAAACAAAAACACCAAGGCCCGGGGCUACAUGCAGGACCUGCGAGACAUAUUGGAAAACAAAGCAGGACCGUCAAGAUCGAUCUACGGCUCACGGGGGCGCGCCCCAACGCGAGACGACAACCGUCACGCCGGAUAUACUAAAAACAAAUCCGGUCGGGAAGAAUACAACAGAACAGACUCAUUUGAACUGCAUCGUGAUGUAGCCCGGCACAGAGGUGCCGCACACCCCCUAUGCUUCACUGACGAAGUAAUGGAUCAUGAAUUCCUAGAAGGGUUUAAACCCGUGAAUACUGAAUCAUACAAUGGUACAACAGACCCCACGGUAUGGACUGAAGAUUUCUUUCUCCACAUUCACAUGGCCCGCGGGGACGAUCUACACGCCAUCAAGUACGUCCCACUAAAACUCAAGGGACCGACUUGACAUUGGCUGAAUAGCUUGCCAGCAAACUCCAUUGGAAGUUGGGAGAACCUAGCAGACGCAUUCCUGGAUAACUUCCAGGGCACGUAUGUGCGACCACUGGAUGACGGCGAUUUAAGUCACAUAACCCAACAGCCCGGAGAGUCAGCCAUGCAAUUCUGGACUCGAUUCCUCACUAAAAGCAACCAAAUUGUCGACUGUCCGGAUGCCGAAGCCCUAGCGGCCUUUAAGCAUAAUAUCUGUGACGAGUGGCUUGCCCGACAUCUCGGCCAAGAAAAGCCGAAGUCCAUGGCAGCCCUCGUAACACUCAUGACCCUCUUUUGUGCGGGCAAGGAUAGCUGGUUGGCUCGUAGCAACAACACAGCAAGCAAUCCUGGCACAUCAGAGGCUAGAGAUAGCAACGGCAAGCCCCGACGCAACAAACACAAGCGUCGCAAAAAUGGUGAUAACACCGAAGACACGACAGUCAAUGCCGGAUUUAGUGGCUCUAAGUCUGGUCAGCGGAAAAAGGCAUUCCAAAAGAACAAUUCGGGCCCGUCCGGUCUAGACCGCAUACUUGGUCGUCCAUGCCAAAUUCAUGGGACCCCAGGAACACUAGCCAAUCAUACCAACCGAGAAUGCUGGGUCUUCAAACAAGCCGGUAGGUCAGGUAACGAAAACAAGGAGAAAGGGUCUCAAAGCGAUGACAACGACGAGGAGCCCCGAUCACCAAACAAAGGAGGGCAAAAGAAAUUCCCCCCGCAAAUCAAAACGGUGAAUAUGAUAAACGCCAUCCACAUUCCCAAACUGGAACGGACGUGUACUCUUCGGGAUGUCGACUUAACGUAGCCAGUCGCCUCAUAAUACAAACUAUGGCCGAUCACUUUCAAUCGUACGGAUCGUCCGGCCAAUACCAAUCAAGGCAAUUCAGCCGCACUCGUCCUUGACCCAAUAAUUGACGGAUUCCACCUCACACGAGUCCUUAUGGACGGAGGCAGCAGUCUACACCUGUUGUAUCAGGACACAGUGCACAAGAUGGGUAUUCAUCAUUCGAUGAUCAAGCCCACUAAAACCACCUUUAAAGGUUUUAUACCAGGUGUGGAGGCCCGUUGUGCAGGCUCCAUCACUUUGGAGGUAGUCUUCGGAUCACCGAACAAUUACCGUACCGAAGAGUUAAUCUUUGACAUCGUCCCUUUUCGCAGUAAUUAUCAUGCACUACUCAGACGAACCGUGUUUUCUCGAUUCAACACGGUGCCACAUUAUGCCUACCGAAAACUCAAGGUGCCCGGUCCGCGCGGCUUCAUAACAGUUAAUGGCAUGGCCGAACCCCCCCCCCCUCUGUGCCAAAGAGUAUACCACCGCCUUAGCAGAAGAAGCAACGAGUGGCAGCUUUCAAUAAAACCUCAAAGCGACGGCCAAACUCCCGGACAGCGUCAAGGGAGUCCAAACUACUUCGCGACGGGAUAGCCUGGCUCGUCCGGAGCUUAAUUAAAACACUCUGGCAGUAAAAAGAGGCAGAGCUUGGAUAGGCCACACACACUGCGGCUCAACUGCUACGUGGCACACAAACUUUUCAUGCAUUUUCUUUGCAGUUUCACUUUCGCGUAGGCCAGAACUGGUGACAUCGAAACAACUUGAACGCACAAGGGAAUCUUUAGAUAUUCCCCUCGAUGACCAUCCGACCACACCCCGGAUCCGCACAUAGCCUCCUCCCGCUUGGUCUCAGCAGGUUCCGAAAUCAUGUUUAUUUUCCUCGCAUUACCUAUACUCAUACGCAUUGACGUGUUAUUCAAUUACAACAUGUGACUUUAUAUGACGUUCAUCUGCUGUUGUUUCAAAUUGACACUCUUUGUCAAAUGGCAUCCGUACAUCGUGAUAUGACUUAAUAUGCCCACAAUACGACAAUAAAGUCCGACCACCUUCACGGUCGUUAGGCACCCCGAACUUAUAGCAUUAUAUGCAUCAGCUCCGAAUCAUGUCUUGGGUAAAUAGUUGGGUUUGCCCGGCUCCUAUGUUUUGCUGCCUUACGUUCCGCAAUAUCGGCUAGGGCGGCACAACGAGAACUACUGCGAUUGUAUCCCGGUUCUUUCGGACGAGCGCCCUAGUAGAGAAAGCCGAAAACUGACUGUCAUGAUACGGCGAGAGCUGGUCAGCUGUUCGAGAGGUUGUAAAAUAUUUAAGGAUUUCUUCCGCAUUAUGCGAUAACAAAUGCAGCGUGCGAUGGAUCAGCUUUUCUUUCGAUCAGGUGCUUAUAGAGCCCCUCGUGCGGUCUUCUGAACACCAGGGGCUGCGCCUACCUUCCUUUUGUCAAACUCCUAUGGCUAAGUGAGAGUGAUAAAGCCCUAUAGUCUGAUUGCCUGGUUCGUUGCGCUGAACACCUCCUUCAAGGACCCCAAACUAGGAUAAAGAGUGCUCAGGUUUAUCCCGAACACCCCCGUACUUCCUUCGUGGGGGCAGAAGCCGACGACCGACCAACUCUCAGGAUUAAUAUAUAAAACGGCCACGCAGGUGGAAAAACUUUCAAAUAACAGGCAAUAAAAUAAUAGAAAUGACCUUGUUCAACAUUACAAAGGACAACAUGACCGUAUUCAUGGAAAUAUAAUGUCCUUGGUGCAUUACUCCGCCGCAAGGCGGGAUCCUUCUAGGACACUAUCAUAGUAUAAUUCGGGCUUGCGGUGCUCGUUCCCCUUCGGUGGUCCCUCGGUCAUCAGCUUUUCAGCAUCCAUCUUCCCCCAGUGCACCUUUGCAUGGGCGAAGGCCAUUCACGCACCCUCAAUACAGAACGACCGCUUAAUGACAUCAAGUCGAGGGCAUGCACUCACCAUCCACUUCACGAGCCUGAAGUAGCUGCUUGGAAUCAGCUCGGUGGGCCAUAGCCGGAUAAUUAGAUACUUCAUGGCUAGUUCGGCCACCUUAUGCAGUUCGAUCAACUGCUUUAGCUGAUCGACAAGUGGCACCGGAUACACUAGCGCUAGAUACUGCGACUAGAAGAGCUUCUCUGCAGUGCUCCUCUCUUCUGCUCGAUAGAAUUGUGUGGCAUCAGAUAUGCUGCGUGGCAGCUCCGUAAAUACCCCUAGAGAAAUCAGAAUUCAAAUUAUCAACUUGAUUUUCUCCUUUCAAAUACCCGCUUUGUAUAGAAAAAGCCUUACCAGCCGCAAUCUUCCUCGCCUCCUGAAUUUCCUUCAGGGCACCUUGGGCAUCCCCUAGGCAUCACUUGCGGCUUGGCGAGCUUGGGAGAGUUCGGAUUCUUUCCCUGAUAAACUCUACUCCAAGGUCUCGCAUUUCUUCACGGCCUCUUGAAGCUCUCGCUCAGCUUCAAUAACCCUGGCCUCGUGCUUUUUGCGAAGAGCCUGCUCUGCGUCUGCAUUCUCCUUGGCUUCGGCCAUAACCUUCUUAAGGGCCUCAAUUUCGGCUGUUGCCCCUAGAGCACAUCAUAGAAAUAUUUUCAUCAUACUGACUAAUUCAUUUGUGCUGAAUGCGAACAAGGUUUCUGCAUACCUUGGUUAUCCUCCAACUACUUUUUCACUUGGACGAGUUCUCCUUCGACCCGCUCCAGACUCUGCCUCAGUCCAGAGACUUCCGCAAUUUGAGAGGCGACAGUUGCUACAGACGCCUGCUUUUGAACAAAAGAGAGGCGCCAUAAAGUGAGUCUCCUGCGAACAUUUAUUUGAUCCUCUAUUCGGUUCUUUCUUUCACCGAACAGUGUAUCAGGUGCUACUACCUAUACUAUGACACUCUUCGAAACCUCACAAAACAUACCUCAAAGCCCGUUAUAAGGCUGAUGCAGGCUUCAUUCAGUCCACUCUCAGUGGACUGAAUCUUCUCAAUCACCGCACCCAUAACGGCACGGUGUUCAUCGACGACGAAGACACUUUUCAGCGCCGCCAAUAAAGUAUCUGGCACCUCUGGUAGGACAGAGGUUGCCGGUGGAACGGGCAAACCCCCUCCAGUUGAGGGAGGCAGCCUGCCUGCUUCUGGAGCCGUAUUGGUCUCCGGAAUUGCGUCCGCCUGGGGGCCGAACUCAAGAUAGCCCCCGCCAUCGACGUCCGUGGGAGCCUUCUCUCCCAUGUGUCCGACCCCUGAAGUUUGACCUCCUGGUGCUGCGCUUACGAUCUCCCCCCCCCUCCUUGGCCUGGGUCCUUCUGGGAUGAAACCUCGGUGUCAUUCACAUGUCUGGGGGAAGGAGCCUUCGGGGGUGUCCCGUUCUCCAUGGCAUCCAAGCCCAGUAAAUCCUCUGACGAGGAUUAAUCGGUGCGGGACCUUGCCGGACUGUAAAAAAGUAUGGCUUAGAUUAAAAUAUUAUGCCAUGACGAGUCUGGACGCAUAAAUGUAUUCGGAUUCUAUAUACUUACAAGUUCACCAGGGGCUGGGCCCUGGCAUCCCACUCCAGGCUGCUGUCGGCAGCAACGAGGGGCUCCUCUGGAAGGGGAGUUUUUCCUUUGUUAGGCGACUCGAGCUCCAAAGAUGUGGAGGCCGUCCUUUUCUUUCCUCCCCUCACUGGGGAUGGGUCUUCCCCCUCUUCCUCGUUAUCUCCGGAGGAAGAUCGAGAAUCGAAAUCUUCGGAUAUUGUGUCCGAAGUGCCACGGCGGCGAAGGCCGCUGUCGGUGUCAAAACCGGCGGAUCUCGGGUAGGGGGUGCCGAACUGUGCGUGUAGGCAGAUGGUAACAGGAGACAAGGGACACGAUGUUUUUACCCAGGUUCGGGCCCUCUCGAUGGAGGUAAAACCCUACUCCUGCUUGAUUGAUAUUGAUGAUAUGGGUAGUAUAAGAGUAGAUCUACCACGAGAUCAGAGAGGCUAAACCCUAUAAGCUAUCCCCUGGUAUGAUUGUUUUCCGUCCUACGUACUAAAACCCUUUGGUUUAUAUAGCCACCGGAGAGGGCUAGGGUUACACAGAGUCGGUUAUAAUGGGAGGAGAUCUACAUCCGUAUCGCCAAGCUUGCCUUCCACGCCAAGGAAAGUCCCAUCCGGACACGGGACAAAGUCUUCAAUAUUGUAUCUUCAUAGUCCAGGAGUCUGUCCAAAGGUUAUAGUCCGGCUAUCCGGACACCCCCUAAUCCAGGACUCCCUCAGUAGCCCCUGAACCAGGCUUCAAUGACGACGAGUCCGGCGCGCAGAUUGUCUUCGGCAUUGCAAGGCGGGUUCCUCCUCCGAAUACUUCAUAGAAGAUUUUGAACACAAGGAUAGUGUCCGGCUCUACAAAAUAAGUUCCACAUACCACCGUAGAGAGAAUAAUAUUUGCACAAAUCUAAUCUGCUGACGUAUUCCGCAGCGCGACAUCACGCCACGACCAAGCCUUUAUUCGAAUCGUUUUACUGUCCCACCUUAGCGCGUUUAGCGAGGCGGUUUCCUUGGCAUGUCUCGUCGAAGCAGAGAUCGUGUCCCCUCAUUCCGGGAUUCUCAUCAAUACGGGCGUGGGUAACCCAAUCGUGCCUGUUGGUAUGUCUCCUCAAUCGAAGGCGAGUCCCAAACGGUCAUGGGAGGGCUCUAGGUAUUCAAACUCUUUAUAAAGAGACCAAGGCUCGACUCCUUUCUUUCAAUAUCAAUCGAAUCCGCCUCUCACCUUGAGUUCCAACACCCAAAGCUCCAGAUUCAAGCGCUUCGGACCUCCGAUGAAGUCCGGUUCCGACCUUCAAGGCCGGUAGAUGCCUUCCUCCGUUACGGAAGAAGACGUGCUAAAGCUAAGAGAUGCCAGGUAUCUAACCGGCGAAAUCUUGCAUAGGCUGCCUGCUCAAGGGCAGGUUAUUCCCACUCCCAAGCCUGGUGAGAGCAUGGUGUUCGCGUCUCACUUCCUUCGGGGGCUAGGCUUCCCGACGGACCCCUUCGUGAGGGGGCUCAUGUUUUAUUAUGGGCUGGAAUUUCAUGACUUGGAUCCGGAGUCCAUCCUCCAUAUCUCAUCGUUCAUUGUCGUGUGCGAGGCCUUCUUCCAUAUUACUCCUCACUUCGGAUUGUGGCUUAAGACCUUCAAAGUAGAGCCGAAGAUGAUCUAGGGGCAGCACGCAGAGUGCGGAGGGGCUUUCAUAAGCAAGAAUGCUGACGCUCCAUGGCCCGAGGGCUCUUUUCAAGAGGAGUUUAGCUUAUGGCAACGAGAGUGGUUUUAUAUCACAGCUCCCAGGGGCACCAAGUGGGUGGCGCCACCUGCCUUUCGCCCGGGUCCCCCACCAUAGCUAGCGUCAUGGGUCAAUAAAGGGUUUAACUGGAGGCCGUCCAAGGACGUGCCCUUGUUGCAGGGCCGCAUUCGAGAUCUCCUAGAACGAGACAUCAACCUGCCCUGCAAAAGUCGCCCCCUCCGCCUGUAGACAUCAACCACGAUCCCUCCAACAUUUUGUGGGUGCGACGCCCAUGGAGAUGUACAAAUUGUUAUUCGGAUCACAAGCAAUGUGUUCGGACUCGUCCGAGGAUGCAGGUUUGAGCUGCAAUCGCCCGGAUACUCAAGUAAGUAGCCCUGUACCCGGACACGCUAUCCGUAUAUUUAUCAUAAAAUUGCCCUUAAAAGAGUUGUCCCUUAAACAGGAGUGGAUAGAGAAGACAAAGCUAAUCAGGUGUCCGUCCCCCCUCCCUGAGACUACGUCGAAUCCCGUGUUAACCAGGAUGCUGGAGGUUGCGCCUUUGGAAGAAGGCGAAGAGGGGAAAAAGGAAGCUACCGCCUCCCCGAAGGAGGCUGUCAGGAAAGGAGGAAUCGAGAAUUCCUCUAACAAGGGGAAAAAGAGGACCGCCUCUGAAGACCCGGAGACCAUGGUCUCAAAGCGGGGGAAGAAAUCUUCCUUAGAGGGUCCGGCGCCGGGGGAUGCCACGGUCGCAUUGUGCCCCCAAGGGGAUCAGCCCUCCACCGGGCUGUAAGUAAAGAGGGGAGUUUUAAAAUGAGAGACACCCCUGUUCUAUUUCUGAGGAAGAUAGCCGAAAUUUUACCUUGUAGUUUGGAUCUCAGCCCUUCUCAGCAGAGCUCAUCUUCAGGGGGGUCUUCGUCCGGAGAUGAUGGAGAGCGGAACGCCUCCCCCUGCCAUACCACCUUGCGAGGCGGGUGACCCUGAGGUGUCGUCACGGAAGGUUUCUUCGAAUCCGGCAGGGCCGGAAGGCAGUCGUAUGGCCCCCAAGGCCCUCCGUGUCCGGCCUUCAAAAAUGGCCAUCGGACGAGUCCAGCACCGCCCGGCGCACGGUCAGAGGAGCUGAAGGAUCUGCUUGGGCGAGCGUCUAUCUCAGAAGAACAACGUGCGUUGAUGGCUACGGUGAUUGGAAGGAUUUCAUCCACGGAGAGCGGGUUGUACAAGGCCGUCAGGAGUUUACUGACAGGUUUUGAGGUACGCGAAAUGAUGUACCUUUUGACAGAUCCACAUAUAUAAGAUGCGCCCUGUAUAGGUAGUAGCCCCUAAGACUCUAUGCAUUGUCAAAAAUGACGGCCCGCCGAGGAUCAUAAUCCCAAGUAUAAUAUGUCGCCUUUCCUAUGUAGGUGGCGAAGUGUUCGUUGGCUAGCCGGACUGAUGAAUUUACCGAGCUAAAGCGGCAACUUGACGUGGCAGAUGCCGACAUCGUGCUUGUCAACAAGCGGCUUGACGAGGCACAAGGUAUGUAAUUUCUCCGAAGACACCUGGUAAGAGGAGCUUGAUGCCCGUACCUUACAACAUGUGUGCUUGAUGGAGAUGGUGCCGCUGCCAUGGAGAACCUUCGGGCGGAACUUACCCGAGCCAAGGAGCAGGCCAGGAAAAGCGAUGCGGCUGCCUUAAAGGCGGCUGAAGAGCUGAAAGCCGAACAGUCUGCUCACUGCCAAAGCAAGAAGGAAAUGGCCGAGAUGGCUGUAAAGUUGAAGAAUGCUGCCGACCGUUGCAUGCUUCUUGAAAAAGAAGAUCUGGCGGCACAGAAGGACCUAGAGAAGGCCACUACCGAGGACAAGGAUACUCUUUCUACGAUGAGAGCUAUGAAGGAGGAGCUACGUCAGGCCGGAGAUAUCACGGCUGGAAAGCCCUUUAUGCUGCGGAUGAAGUUCGGGGAUCCUAAAUAUGCUCCGUUGGACCGGCUGUGGAGUGCGGAGAACACUUAUCUGGACUUGGCGGCGAGUGCCGCGGACGCGGCCGAACACUUCCGAGAUCAAAAGGACCACGAAGUGGAAAAGCUUUUUUGGUCGCAGUUCCACAAUCCAGAGCGCCCACUUCCAUUAACCGAUCGUUUGGCCGCAUGGCGGAGCUUAAUAGGUUAUCCGGAAUCGCCAUGAAGUAGGUCGUGAGUCAUCUGUGGCCGGAAAGGCCCGAGCCGAAUAGUUAUUUUAGCUUGGUGCAGCAGUUCCUUGGUGCGGUGCCGCAUAUUAAUGCAAGGAAGAGGUCAGCGUGCAUAGAGGGUGCGCGGAUGGCUCUUGCCCGGGUCAAGACAUACUGGGCGGAGAUGAAGGCCAUCGCUGUUGCAUCCCGAUAUUCGGACGAGAGCCGAGUACCUGCCGAGCACUAUUUUCAGGAAGUUCUGCAGGGCGCUCGUUUAAUAGAGACACAGUGCUCGAAGGACAUUAUGUUCGAAUAACAUGUAUUAUUGUAAAACAAUGUUUUGAUGGAAUAUAAAAGCUUUUUAUACUUGUGCCUUCAAGAAUUAGAAUACCUCCUGUGCGGCUGUUAAUGUAUAUGUGUAUAUAACCGGAAAGAUGGCAGUCUUCGGCUUCAGCCCCCACUCAUAUAAUGCGGGGGUGUUCGCAGAAGGCGCAUUUUCACACUUGAUCCAACGUCUUGGUCCUGUUAAGGAGGUGAUAGCGCAUCGAACUAGGCAACCGGACUAUAAUGCUUUAUCACUUUCACUUAGCCAUAGGAGUUUGACAGUGGGGCUACUAUAUAGCCCCUAGGGGCACCGCAUUCCGGCGGGUCAUCGAGUGGUUGACCAGUCUCACGCUAUAUCAUGACAGUCAGUUUUCGGCUUUCUCUACUGAGGUGCUCGCCUGGCCGAACCGGGGCACAAUCGCAGUAGUUCUCUUGGUGCCGUCUUAGCCGAUAGAGCGGAACGUAAGGCAGCAAAACACAGGAGCCGGGCAAACCCAACAUUUGACCAAAGACAUGAUUCGGAGCUGAUGCAUAUAAGGCCAAACUCACGACGCCGAACACUCCCUAAGGUAUUCGGUCUUUAUGAAAACGGGCUGAACAACGCCCUUGGUAAGAAGCCCCUGGUGUCCAGGUACGUGCAAAAUUCUGACGUGGCCACAUGCCAAGACGCCAUCCUCCUCCUCGGUUAUACCAAGAAACCGGGGGAUGUGUAUCAACAAGAGACAGUGAAAAAGGUUUACGCAGGGUCUUAAUCUGAAAAGAAUCCUUGGAACGGGUCCCUACUGCACGUCUGCGCCCGUGUCUCCGUUGUGCCGUAUCCUGGACGGGUGUAGCACAGUGUUCAUCUAUAAAAGAGAGGAACUAAUGGUAAAUUGUAUAGGUGCACUAGUUCGGCGAAGUGAUGAAGAUACAAGUGCAAAAUAGAUAGUAGAUAUAUGUUUUUGUAAUCUGAAAAUAUAAAAACAGCAAGGUAGCGAGCGGUAAAAGUGAGCGUAAACGGUAUUGCAAUGAUAGGAAACAAGGCCUAGGGUUCAUACUUAAACUAGUGCAAGUUCUCUCAACAAUAAUAACAUAGAUAGAUCAUGUAACAAGCCCUCAACAUGCAAGAAAGAGUCACUCCAAAGCCACUAAUAGCGGAGAACAAACGUAGAGAUUAUGGUCAGGUACGAAACCACCACAAAGUUAUUCUUUCGGAUCGAUCUAUAAAAGAGUUUGUACUAGAAUAACACCUUAAGACACAAAUCAACCAAAACCCUAAUGUCACCUAGAUACUCCAUUGUCACCUCAAGUAUCCGUGGGCAUGAUUAUACGAUAUGCAUCACACAAUCUCAGAUUCAUCCAACCAACAUAAAAGUACUUCAAAGAGUGCCCCAAAGCUACUACCGGAGAGUCAAGAACGUGUGCCAACCCCUAUGCAUAGGUUCCCAAGUGUCACGAGACCCGCAAGUUGAUCACCAAAACAUACAUAAAGUGGAUCAAUAGAAUAACCCAUUGUCACCACGGUUAUGCCACGCAAGACAUACAUCAAGUGUUCUCAUAAAGACUCAAUCCAAUAAGAUAACUUCAAAGGGGAAACUCAAUUCAUCACAAGAGAGUAGAGGGGGAGAAACAUCAUAAGAUCCAACUACAAUAGCAAAGCUCGGGAUACAUCAAGAUCGUGCCAUAGAUGGAACAUGAGAGAGAACACGAGAGAGAGAGAUCAAACAGAUAGCUACUGGUACAUACCCUCAACCCUGAGGGUGAACUACUCCCUCCUCGUCAUGGAUAGCGUCGGGAUGAUGAAGAUGGCCUCCGGUGAUGGGAUCCCCCUCCGGCAGGGUGCCGGAACAGGGUCCCGAUUGGUUUUUGGUGGCUACAGAGGCUUGCGACAGCGGAACUCCCGAUCUAUUUUCUGUUUUGGAAGUUUUAGGGUACGUAGGUAUAUAUGGGUGCAGGGGGUACGUCGGUGGAACUCCGGGUUGCUCACGAGGUAGGGGGGCGUGCCCAGGGGGGCGCCACCACCCUCGUGGGCAGCCCGGGACUCCCUUGGCGUGCAUUCCAAGCCCAUCAGGUUGGUUCCCUUCCAAAAUUAACUUCUCCAGUUGAUUUCGUUCCGUUUUGACUCCGUCUGAUAUUCCUUUUCCUCGAAACACUGAAAUAGGCAUAAAACAACAAAUCUGGGCUAGGCCUCCGGUUAAUAGGUUAGUCCCAAAAAUAAUAUAAAAGUGGAUAAUAAAUCCCAAUAUUGCCUAAAACAGUAGAUAAAGUAGCAUGGAGCAAUAAAAAAUUAUAGAUACGUUGGGGACGUAUCAAGCAUCCCCAACCUUAAUUCCUGCUCGUCCUCGAGUAGGUAAAUGAUAAAAAAGAAUUUUUGAUGCGGAGUGAUAAUUUGGCAUAAUUUCAAUGUAAAACUUCUUAAUUGUGAUAUGAAUAUUCAGAUUCGAAAGAUUCAAGACAAAAGUUCAUAUUGACACAAAAAUAAUAAUACUUCAAGCAUACUAAUCAAAGCAAUCAUGUCUUCUCAAAAUAGCAUGGAAAAAGAAAGUUCAUCCCUACAAAAUCAUAUAGUUAGGCUAUGCUUCAUUUUCGUCACAGAAAGAUGUUCCCAACUUCUAUACCCCCGAUGACAAGCCAAGCAAUUGUUUCAUACUUAAAUAAUCUCAAACUUUUUCAACCUUCACGCAAUACAUGAGCGCGAGCCAUAGAUAUAGCACUAUGGGUGGAAUAGAAUAAGAUGUUGGGGAUUGUGUGGAGAAGACAAAAAAGGAGAAAGUCUCACGUUGACGAGGCUAAUCAACGGGCUAUGGAGAUGCCAAUCAAAUGAUGUCAACAUGAGGAGCAGGGAUUGCCAUGCAAUUGGAUGCACUAGAGCUAUGAAUGCUCAACAAAACAAAACUAGUGGGUGUGCAUCUAACUUGCUUGCUCAUGAAGAUCUAGGGCAUUUGAGGAAGCCCAUCGUAGGAAUAUACAAGCCAAGUUCUAUAAUGAAAUAUUCCCACUAGUAUAAAAAGACUUAUGAGACUCACUACAUGAAGAAAAAGGUGCUACUUUGAAGCACAAUAUAUGAGACUCACUACAUGAAGAACGAGGUGCUACUUUGAAGCACAAGUGUGGAAAAAGAGAUAGUAGCAUUGCCUUUUUCUUUUAUUUUUUUGGGCCUUUCUUUUUAUAUAUAUAUAUAUUUUGGCCUUUCUCUUUUUUAUUUAUUUAUUUGGGCAAUGCUCUAAUAAUGAUGAUCAUCACACUUCUAUUGAUUACAACAUAAGGAUUACAACUCGAAACUUAGAACAAGAUAUGACUCUAUAUGAAUGCCUCCGGCGGUGUACCGGGAUGGUGCAAUGAAUCAAGAGUGACAUGUAUGAAAAAUAAUGCAUGGUGGCUUUGCCACAAAUACGAUGUCAACUACAUGAUAAUGCAAUGGCAAUAUGACAAAAGUAAUGUAUGUCAUGAUGAUGAUGAUGGAAGUUGCAUGGCAAUAUAUCUCGGAAUGGCUAUGGAAAUGCUAUAAUAGGUAGGUAUGGUGGUUGUUUUGAGGAAGAUAUAAGGAGGUUUAUGUGUGAUAGAGCGUAUCAUAUCACGGGGUUUGGAUGCACCGGCGAAGUUUGCACCAACUCUCACGGUGAGAAAGGGCAAUGCACGGUACCGAAGAGGCUAGCAAUGGCGGAAAGGUGAGAGUGCGUAUAAUCCAUGGACUCAACAUUAGUCAAAAGAACUCAUAUACUUAUUGCAAAAAUUUAGAAUUCAUCAAAAAUCAAGUACUACGCGCAUGCUCCUAGGGGGAUAGAUUGGUAGGAAAGACCAUCGCUCGUCCCCGACCGCCGCUCAUAAGGAUGUACAAGCCAGGUACACUUCAUGUUUUAAAUUUGUUACACAACUUUAACCAUACGUUCAUGCUACGGGACUUACAAACUUCAACACAAGCAUUUCUCAAAUUCACAAUCACCCAACUAGCAUGACUUUGAUAUUAUCACCUCCAUAUCUCAAAACAAUUAUCAAGCAUCAAACUUAUCUUAGUAUUAUUUUCACUCAAAAGAAAGGUUCACAUAUCUUGAACACCAAGUAUAUUAACAUUAAGCAAAUUACCAUGCUAUUAACGACUCUCAAAAUAAUCUAAGUGAAGCAUGAGAGGCCAAUAGUUUCUUUAAAACAAAUCCAGCACCGAGCUCUUAAAAGAUAUAAGUGAAGCACUAGAGCAAAAAUUAUCACGCUCAAAAGAUAUAAGUGAAGCACUGUGAGCAAAACUAUCAAGCUCAAAAGAUAUAAGUGAAGCACAUAGUGUAUUCUAACAAAUUCCAAAUCAUGUAAGGCUCUCUCUCAUUAAAGAAUUUCAGAUCUUGAUACUUUAUUCAAACAGCAAGCAAAGCUAAAGAAAACUACAAUGCAAGGAUAGCACAACUCAUGUGAAGAAGCAAAAACUUAGGCUCAACCGGUACUAACCGAUAGUUGUUGAAGAAGAAAGGUGGGAUGCCUCCCGGGGCAUCCCCAGCUUAGAUGCUUGAGACUUCUUGAAAUAUUAUCCUGGGGUUCCUUGGGCAUCCCCAAGCUUGAACUUUUGUGUCUCCUUAAUUCCUCUCAUAUCAUGGUUUCUCUUUUUAUCAAAAGCUUCAUUAACAACAAACUCAACAAGAACUCGUGAGAUAGGUUAGUAUAAACCAAUGCAAAACCCUAUCAUAUUCUACUGUAACAAAUCACUAUUAUUGAACAUUGAAUACUAAAUGACUCUGUAUAUUUAAUACUCCUAUCCUCAAAUAUAAUCACUAAACAAUCAAACAUAUGCAAACAAUGCAACCAUAACAGCAAUCUGCCAAAACAGUACAGUCUGUAAAGAAUGCAAGAGUGUCAAUACUUCCCUGACUCCAAAAAUUAUAAACUAAAAUUCCCAUUGUAAUAAAUUUAUCAGAUCUCAGUAUGCAAAAAGAUUCAACGUUAGACCAUGCUCUGACUUUUCUAGGGAAUAUUUGCAACAGCGGUAAAAUUUCUGUUUUCAAACAGCAACAUGCAAACUAGCAAAAUAAGCAUGGCAAAGGCUAUCCUUGACUUUUUUAUUGAACCUAAAGAUUCAAAACAUUAUUCUAACUAACAGCAAGCAAAAACUAACAAAAUAAAAUGACACUCCAAGCAAAACACAUAUCAUGUGGGGAAUAAAAAUAUAGCUCCAAGUAAAGUUACCGAUGAACGAAGACGAAAGAGGGGAUGCCUUCCGGCGCAUCCCCAAGCUUAGUUGCUUGGUUGUCCUUGAAUAUUACCUUGGGGGUGCCUGGGGCAUCCCCAAUCUUACGCUCUUUCCACUCCUUAUUCCAUAGUCCAUCGAAUCUUUACCCAAAACUUGAAAACUUCAACCACACAAAACUUCAACACAAAACUCGUAAGCUCCGUUAGUAUAAGAAUAUAAAACCACCACUUAGGUACAGUAAUUAACUCAUUCUAAAUUCAUAUUGGUGUAAUAUCUACUGUACUCCAACUUAUCUAUGGUUCAUACCCUCCGAUACUACUCAUAGAUUCAUCAAAAUAAGCAAACAACACAUAGAAAACAGAAUCUGUCAAAAACAGAACAGUCUGUAGUAAUCUGUAUAAAACUUAUACUUAUGGAACCCCAAAAAUUAUUAAAUAAAUUGCUGGACCUGAGAAAUUUGUCUAUUAAUCAUCUGCAAAAAGAAUCAACCUAAAAUCACUCUCCAGUAAAAUGGCAGCUAAUCUCGUGAGCGCUAAAGUUUCUGUUUUUCACAGCAAGAUCACAUAAACUUCACCCAAGUCUUCCCAAAGGUUCUACUUGGCACUUUAUUGAAACAAAAGCUAUAAAGCAUGAUUACUACAGUAUCAUAAUCAUGUGGACACACAAAAACAGUAAAGGUAAAUAUUGGGUUGUCUCCCAACAAGCGCUUUUCUUUAAUUCCUUUUAGCUAGGCAUGAUGAUGACAAUGAUGAUCACAUAAAAGAUAAGAAUUGAAACGUAAUGGGAGCAUCAUGAAUCAUAUUACUAGCACAUUUAAGUCUAACCCACUUCCUAUGCAUCGGGAUUUUGUGAGCAAAAAACUUAGGAGAACAAUAAUCAACUAGCAUAGGAAGGUAAAACAAGCAUAGCCUCAAGAAUUUAAGCACAUAGGGAGGAAACUUGACAUUAUUGCAAUUCCUACAAGCAUAUGUUCCUCUCUCAUAAUAAUUUUCAGUAGCAUCAUGAAUGAAUUCAACAAUAUAACCAGCACCUAAAGCAUUCUUUUCAUGAUCUACAAACAUAGAAAAUUUACUACUCUCAACAUAAGCAAACUUUUUCUUUAUAACAUACGUAUCAUCACAAUAAUCAUCAUAAAUAGGAGGCAUGCUUUCAUCAUAGUAAAUUUGCUCAUCAAAGCUUGGGGGACAAAAAUAUCAUCUCCAUCAAACAUAGCUUCCCCAAGCUUGUGGCUUUGCAUAUCAUUAGCAUCAUGGAUAUUCAAGGAAUUCAUACUAACAACAUUGCAAUCAUGCUCAUCAUUCACAUAUUUCAUGCCAAGCAUUCUAUGUAAUUCUUCUUCUAGCACUUGAGCACAAUUAUCCUUUCCAUCAUACUCACGAAAGAUAUUAAAAAGGUGAAGCGUAUGAGAAAAACUCAACUCCAUUUUUUGUAGUUUUCUUUUAUAAACUAGACUAGUGCUAAAACAAGAAACAAAAAGAUUUGAUUGCAAGAUCUAAAGAUAUAACUUCAAGCACUCACCUCCCCGGCAACGGCCCCAGAAAAGAUCUUGAUGUCUACUACACAACCUUCUUCUUGUAGACGUUGUUGGGCCUGCAAGUGCAGAGGUUUGUAGGACAGUAGAAAAUUUCCCUCAAGUGGAUGACCUAAGGUUUAUCAAUCCGUAGGAGGCGUAGGAUGAAGAUGGUCUCUCUCAAACAACCCUGCAACCAAAUAACAAAAAGUCUCUUGUGUCCCCAACACACCCAAUACAAUGGUAAAUUGUAUAGGUGCACUAGUUCGGAGAAGAUAUGAAGAUACAAGUGCAAAAUAGAUAGUAGAUAUAGGUUUUUGUAAUCUGAAAAUAUAAAAACAGCAAGGUAGCGCGCGGUAAAUGUGAGCGUAAGCGGUAUUGCAAUGAUAGGAAACAAGGCCUAGGGUUCAUACUUUCACUAGUGCAAGUUCUCUCAACAAUAAUAACAUAGAUAGAUCAUAUAACAAGCCAUCAACAUGCAACAAAGAGUCACUCCAAAGCCACUAAUAGCAGAGAACAAACGUAGAGAUUAUGGUCGAGUACGAAACCACCACAAAGUUAUUCUUUCGGAUCGAUCUAUAAAAGAGUUCGUACUAGAAUAACACCUUAAGACACAAAUCAACCAAAACCCUAAUGUCACCUAGAUACUCCAUUGUCACCUCAAGUAUCCAUGGGCAUGAUUAUACGAUAUGCAUCACACAAUCUCAGAUUCAUCCAACCAACGUAAAAGUACUUCAAAGAGUGCCCCAAAGCUACUACCGGAGAGUCAAGAACGUGUGCCAACCCCUAUGCAUAGGUUCCCAAGUGUCACGAAACCCGCAAGUUGAUCACCAAAACAUACAUCCAGUGGAUCAAUAGAAUAACCCAUUGUCACCACGGUUAUCCCACGCAAUACAUACAUCAAGUGUUCUCAAAAAGACUCAGUCCGAUAAGAUAGCUUCAAAGGGGAAACUCAAUUCAUCACAAGAGAGUAAAGGGGGAGAAACAUCAUAAGAUCCAACUACAAUAGCAAAGCUCGGGAUACAUCAAGAUCGUUCCAUAGAUGGAACACGAGAGAGAACAUGAGAGAGAGAGAGAGAUCAAACACAUAGCUACUUGUACAUACCCUCAGCCCCGUGGGUGAACUACUCCCGCCGCGUCAUGGAUAGCGCCGGGAUGGUGAAGAUGGCCUCCGGUGAUGGGAUCCUGUAGGGGAACGUUGCAGAAAAUUAAAAUUUUUCCUACGGUUUCACCAAGAUCAAUCUCUGAGUUCAUCUAAGCAAUGAGUCAUGGGAGAGAGAUUGCAUCUACAUACCACUUGUAGAUUGCGUGCGGAAGCGUUCGAGGGAACGGUGAUGAUGGAGUCGUACUCGCCGUGAUUCAGAUCACCGAUGACCAAGUGCUGAACGGACAACACCUCCGCGUUCAACACACAUACGGUACGGACGACGUCUCCUCCUUCUUGAUCCAGCAAGGGGAAAGUAGAGGUUGAGGAAGAAGGCUCCAGCAGCAGCACGACGGCAUGAUGAUGGUGGAGAGGCAGUACUCCGAUAGGGCUUCGCCAAGCGCACAACGGAGGAGGAGAGGUGUUGGGGAGGGGAGGGGCUGCGCCUUGGAUCAGGUGUUCAGCCCUCCCCUCGCCCCUCUAUUUAUAGGGGAAGGGGGAAGGGGGCCGGCCCCCUCUAGAUGAGAUCUAGAGGGGGGGGGCCAGGGAGGGGGCUUGCCCCCCAAGCAAAGGGGGUGCGCCCCCUUUAGGGUUCCCCCGCAAACCCAAGGCGCAUGGGCCCAAGGGGGGGGGCGCCCAGCCCUCCAGGGGCUGGUUCCCUGCCCCACGCGGCCCAUGUGGCCCACCUAGAGGGGUGGCCCCUCCCAGUGGACCCCCGGAACCCCUCCGGUGGCCCCGGUACAAUACCGAUAUGCCCCCGAAACUUUCCGGUGUCCGCAUGACAACUUCCCAUAUAUAAAUCUUUACCUCCGGACCAUUCCGGAACUCCUCGUGACGUCCGGGAUCUCAUCUGAGACUCCGAACAACAUUCGGUAAUCACAUACAAGUCUUCCUAAUAACUCUAGCGUCACCGAACCUUAAGUGUGUAGACCCUACGGGUUCGGGAAACACGCAGACAUGACCAGACGACUCUCCGGUCAAUAACCAACAGUGGGAUCUGGAUACCCAUGUUGGCUCCCACAUGCUCCUCGAUGAUGUCAUCGGAUGAACCACGAUGUUGAGGAUUCAAUCAACCCCGUAUGCAAUUCCCUUUGUCAGACGGUAUGUUAUUUGCCCGAGACUGGAUCGUCGGUAUCCCAAUACCUCGUUCAGUCUCGUUACCGGCUAGUCACUUUACUCGUACCGUAAUGCAUGAUCCUGUGACCAGACACUUGGUCACUUUGAGCUCAUUAUGAUGAUGCACUACCGAGUGGGCCCAGUGAUACCUCUCCGUAAUCCGGAGUGACAAAUCCCAGUCUCGAUCCGUGUCAACACAACAGACACUUUCGGAGAUACCUGUAGUGCACCUUUAUAGUCACCCAGUUACGUUGUGACGUUUGGUACACCCAAAGCACUUCUACGGUAUCCGGGAGUUACACGAUCUCAUGGUCUAAGGAAGAGAUACUUGACAUUGGAAAAGCUCUAGCAAAACGAACUACAUGAUCUUGUGCUAUGCUUAGGAUUGGGUCUUGUCCAUCACAUCAUUCUCCUAAUGAUGUGAUAUCGUUGUCAAUGACAUCCAAUGUCCAUAAUCAGGAAACCAUGACUAUCUGUUGACCAACGAGCUAGUCAACUAGAGGCUUACUAGGGACGUAUUGUGGUCUAUGUAUUCACACGUGUAUUACGAUUUCCGGACGAUACAAUUAUAGCAUGAAUAAAAGACAAUUAUCAUGAACAAGGAAAUAUAAUAAUAAUCCUUUUAUUAUUGCCUCUAGGGCAUAUUUCCAACAGUCUCCCACUUGCACUAGAGUCAAUAAUCUAGUUACAUUGUGAUGAAUCGAACACCCAUAGAGUUCUGGUGUUGAUCAUGUUUUGCUCGCGAGAGAGGUUUAGUCAACGGAUCUGCGACAUUCAGAUCCGUAUGUACUUUGCAAAUAUCUAUGUCUCCAUCUUGAACAUUUUCACGGAUGGAGUUGAAGCGACGCUUGAUGUGCCUGGUCUUCUUGUGAAACCUGGGCUCCUUGGCAAGGGCAAUAGCUCCAGUGUUGUCAUAGAAGAGUUUGAUCGGCCCCGACGCAUUGGGUAUGACUCCUAGGUCGGUGAUGAACUCCUUCACCCAAAUUGCUUCAUGCGCUACCUCUGAGGCUGCCAUGUACUCCGCUUCACAUGUAGAUCCCGCCACGACACUCUGCUUGCAGCUGCACUAGCUUACUGCUCCACCAUUCAACAUAUACACGUAUCCGGUUUGUGACUUAGAGUCAUCCAGAUCUGUGUCGAAGCUAGUGUCGACGUAACCCUUUACGACGAGCUCUUCGUCACCUCCAUAAACGAGAAACAUGUCCUUUGUCCUUCUCAGGUACUUCAGGAUAUUCUUGACCGCUGUCCAGUGUUCCUUGCCGGGAUUACUUUGGUACCUUCCUACCAAACUUACGGCAAGGUUUACAUCAGGUCUGGUACACAGCAUGGCAUACAUAAUAGAUCCUAUGGCUGAGGCAUAGGGGAUGACGCUCAUCUCUUCCUUAUCUUUUGCCGUGGUCGGGCAUUGAGCCGAGCUCAAUCUCACACCUUGCAUUACAGGCAAGAAACCUUUCUUGGACUGAUCCAUUUUGAACUUCUUCAAAAUCUUAUCAAGGUAUGUGCUUUGUGAAAGACCUAUGAGGCGUCUCGAUCUAUCCCUAUAGAUCUUGAUGCCUAAUAUGUAAGCAGCUUCUCCAAGGUCCUUCAUUGAAAAACACUUAUUCAAGUAGGCCUUAAUGCUCUCCAAGAAUUAUAUAUCAUUUCCCAUCAAAAGUAUGUCAUCUACAUAUAAUAUGAGAAAUGCUACAGAGCUCCCACUCACUUUCUUGUAAACGCAGGCUUCUCCAUAAGUCUGCAUAAACCCAAACGCUUUGAUCAUCUCAUCAAAGCGAAUGUUCCAACUCCGAGAUGCUUGCACCAGCCCAUAAAUGGAUCGCUGGAGCUUGCACACUUUGUUAGCAUUCUUAGGAUCGACAAAACCCUCCGGCUGCAUCAUAUACAGUUCUUCCUUAAGAUGCCCGUUAAGGAAUGCCGUUUUGACGUCCAUCUGCCAUAUCUCAUAAUCAUAGUAUGCGGCAAUUGCUAACAUGAUUCGGACGGACUUAAGCUUCGCUACGGGAGAGAAAGUCUCAUCGUAGUCAAUCCCUUGAACUUGCCGAUAACCCUUAGCGACAAGUCGAGCUUUAUAGACGGUAAUAUUACCAUCCGCGUCCGUCUUCUUCUUAAAGAUCCAUUUGUUUUCUAUCGCUCGCCGUUCAUCGGGCAAGUCUGUCAAAGUCCAUACUUUGUUUUCAUACAUGGAUUCUAUCUUGGAUUUCAUGGCUUCAAGCCAUUUGUUGGAAUCUGGGCCCGCCAUUGCUUCUUCAUAGUUUGAAGGUUCACCGUUGUCCAACAACAUGAUUUCCAGGACAGGGUUGCCGUACCACUCUGGUGCGGAACGUAUCCUUGUGGACCUACGAAGUUCAGUAGCAACUUGAUCCGAAGUACCUUGAUCAUCAUCAUUAUUUUCCUCUUCAGUUGGUGUAGGCAUCACAGGAACAUUUUCCUGAGCUGCACUACUAUCCCAUUCAAGAGGUAGUACUUCAUCGAGUUCUACUUUCCUCCCACUUACUUCUUUCGAGAGAAACUCUUUUUCCAGAAAGGAUCCGUUCUUGGCAACAAAGAUCUUGCCCUCAGAUGUUAAGUAGAAGGUAUACCCAAUGGUUUCUUUAGGGUAUCCUACGAAGACGCAUUUUUCCGACUUGGGUUCGAGCUUUUCAGGUUGAAGUUUCUUGACAUAAGCAUCGCAUCCCCAAACUUAAAGAAACGACAGCUUAGGUUUCUUCCCAAACCAUAAUUCAUACGGUGUCGUCUCAACGGAUUUAGACGGUGCCCUAUUUAAAGUGUAUGUAGCUGUCUCUAGAGCGUAUCCCCAAAAUGAUUGCGGUAAAUCGGUAAGAGACAUCAUAGAUCGCACCAUAUCCAAUAGAGUGUGAUUACGACAUUCGGACACACCGUUACGCUGAGGUGUUCCAGGCGGCAUGAGUUGUGAAACGAUUCCACAUUUUCUUAAGUGUGUACCAAAUUCGUGACUUAAAUAUUCUCCUCCACGAUCCGAUCGUAAGAAUUUUAUCUUUCGGUCACGUUGAUUCUCUACUUCAUUCUGAAAUUCCUUGAACUUUUCAAAGGUCUCAGACUUGUGUUUCAUCAAGUAGAGAUACCCAUAUCUACUCAAGUCAUCAGUGAGAGUGAGAACAUAACGAUACCCUCCGCGAGCCUCAACGCUCAUUGGACUGCACACAUCGGUAUGUAUGAUUUCCAACAAGUUGGUUGCUCGCUCCAUUGUUCCGGAGAACGGGGUCUUGGUCAUUUUUCCCAUGAGGCAUGGUUCGCAUGUGUCAAAUGAUUCAUAAUCGAGAGACUCUAAAAGUCCAUCAGCAUGGAGCUUAUUCAUGUGCUUGACACCAAUGUGACCAAGGCGGCAGUGCCACAAGUAUGUGGGACUAUCGUUAUCAACUUUACAUCUUUUGGUAUUCACGCUGUGAAUAUGUGUAACAUUACGUUCGAGAUUCAUUAAGAAUAAACCAUUGACCAUCGGGGCAUGACCAUAAAACUUAUCUCUCAUAUAAAUAGAACAACCAUUAUUCUCGAAUUUAAAUGAGUAACCAUCUCGUAUUAAACGAGAUCCAGAUACAAUGUUCAUGCUCAAACUUGGCACUAAAUAACAAUUAUUGAGGUUUAAAACUAAUCCCGUAGGUAAAUGUAGAGGUAGCGUGCCGACGGCGAUCACAUCGACCUUGGAACCAUUCCCGACGCGCAUCGUCACCUCGUCCUUCUCCAGUCUCCGCUUAUUCCGCAGCUCCUGCUAUGAGUUACAAAUGUGAGCCACGGCACCGGUAUCAAAUACCCAAGAGUUACUACGAGUACUGGUAAGGUACACAUCAAUUACAUGUAUAUCAAAUAUACCUUUAGUGUUGCCGGCCUUCUUGUCCGCUAAGUAUUUGGGCAGUUCCGCUUCCAGUGACCCUUCCCCUUGCAAUAAAAGCACUCAGUUUCAGGCUUGGGUCCAUUCUUUGACUUCUUCCCGGCAACUGGCUUACCGGGCGCGGCAACAUCUUUGCCGUCCUUCUUGAAGUUCUUCUUACCCUUGCCCUUCUUGAACUUAGUGGUCUUAUUGACCAUCAACACUUGAUGUUCUUUCUUGAUUUCAACCUCUUCUGACUUCAGCAUUGAAAAUACUUCAGGAAUGGUUUUCACCAUCCCCUGCAUAUUGUAGUUCAUCACAAAGAUCUUGUAGCUUGGUGGGAGCGACUGAAGGAUUCUGUCAAUGACCGCCUCAUCCGGGAGGUUAAUGUCCAGCUGGGACAGGCGGUUGUGCAACCCAGACAUUUUGAGUAUAUGCUCACUGACAUAACUAUUUUCCUCCAUCUUACAACUAUAGAACUUGUCGGAGACUUCAUAUCUCUCGACCCGGGCAUGAGCUUGGAAAACUAGUUUCAGCUCCUCGAACAUCUCAUAUGCUCCGUGUUGCUCAAAAUGCUUUUGGAACCCCGGUUCUAAGCUGUAAAGCAUGCUGCACUGAACGAGGGAGUAAUCAUCAGCGCGAGACUGCCAAGCAUUCAUAAUGUCUUGGUUCUCUGGGACGGGUGCAUCACCUAGCGGUCCUUCUAGGACAUAUUGUUUUUUGGCAGCUAUGAGGAUGAUCCUCAGGUUCCGGACCCAGUCCGUAUAGUUGCUGCCAUCAUCUUUCAGCUUGGUUUUCUGUAGGAACGCGUUGAAGUUCAUGUUGACUUGAGCGGUGGCCAUUUGAUCUACAAGACAUAUUUGCAAAGGUUUUAGACUAAGUUCAUGAUAAUUAAGUUCAUCUAAUCAAAUUAUUGAAUGAACUCCCACUCAGAUUUGACAUCCCUCUAGUCAUCUAAGUCUUACACGAUCCGAGUCGACUAGGCCGUGUCCGAUCAUCACGUGAGACGGACUAGUCAUCAUCGGUGAACAUCUCCAUGUUGAUCGUAUCUUCCAUACGACUCGUGUUCGACCUUUCGGUCUCUGUGUUUAGAGGCCAUGUAUGUACAUGCUAGGCUCGUCAAGUUAACCCUAAGUGUUCUGCAUGUGUAAAUCUGUCUUACACCCAUUGUAUGUGAACGUAAGGAUCUAUCACACCCGAUCAUCACGUGGUGCUUCGAAACGACGAACUUUAGCAACGGUGCACAGUUAGGGGGAACACUUUCUUGAAAUUAUUAUAAGGGAUCAUCUUAUUUACUACCGCCGUUCUAAGUAAACAAGAUGCAUAAAACAUAAUAAACAUCACAUGCAAUUAUAUAGUAGUGAUAUGAUAUGGCCAAUAUCAUAUAGCUCCUUCGAUCUCCAUCUUCGGGGCUCCAUGAUCAUCUUCGUCACCGGCAUGACACCAUGAUCUCCAUCAUCAUGAUAUCCAUCAUUGUGUCUUCAUGAAGUUGUCACGCCAACGAGUACUUCUACUUCUAUGGCUAACGCGUUUAGCAAUAAAGUAAAGUAAUUUACAUGGCGUUCUUCAAUGACACGCAAGUCAUACAAAAAUAAAGACAACUCCUAUGGCUCCUGCCAUUUGUCAUACUCAUCAACAUGCAAGUCGUGAUUCCUAUUACAAGAACAUGAUCUCAUACAUCACAAUAUAUCAUUCAUCAUUCAUCACAACUUCUGGCCAUAUCACAUCACAUGACAAUUGCUGCAAAAACAAGUUAGACGUCCUCUAAUUGUUGUUGCAUCUUUUACGUGGCUGCAAUUGGGUUCUAGCAAGAACGUUUUCUUACCUAUGAAUAACCACAACGUGAUUUUGUCAACUUCUAUUUACCCUUCAUAAGGACCCUUUUCAUCGAAUCCGCUGCAACUAAAGUGGGAGAGACAGACACCCGCCAGCCACCUUAUGCAACUAGUGCAUGUCAGUCGGUGGAACCGGUCUCAUGUAAGCGUACGUUUAAGGUUGGUCCGGGCCGCUUCAUCCCACAAUACCGCUGAAGCAAGAUAAGACUAGUAGCGGCAAGCAAGUUGACAAGAUCUACGCCCACAACAAAAUUGUGUUCUACUCGUGCAAUAGAGAACUAUGUUGGGGAACGUAGCAGAAAUUCAAAAUUUUCCUACGUGUCACCAAGAUCUAUCUAUGGAGAAACCGGCAAGGAGGGGAAGGAGAGUGCAUCUACAUACCCUUGUAGAUUGCUAAGUGGAAGCGUUCAAGAGAACGGGGUUGAAGGAGUCGUACUCGUCGUGAUCCAAAUCACCGGAGAUCCUAGUGCCGAACGGACGGCACCUCCGCGUUCAACACACGUACAGCCCGGUGACAUCUCCCACGCCUUGAUCCAGCAAGGAGAGAGGGAGAGGUUGAGGAAGACUCCGUCCAGCAGCAGCACAACAGCGUGGUGGUGAUGGAGGGCGUGGCAAUCCAGCAGGGCUUCGCCAAGCACCGCGGGAGAGGAGGAGUAAUUGGGAGAGGGGGAGGUCUGCGCCAGAACAUGGGUGUGGCUGCCCUCCCACCCCCACAUAUAUAUAGGGGCAAGGGAGAAGGGGGCCGGCCCCCUCAAAUCCAAUCUGAGGAGGGGGCGGCGGCCAAGGGGGGGAGGAGUGCCUCCCAAGUCAAGUGGAGGCCCUCCCCCUUAGGGUUUUCCCCUUCCCAUGCGCAUGGGCCUUGGGGGGGCUGGUGCCCCUGGCCCAUUAAGGCUAGGGAGCCCCCCUACAGCCCAUGCUACUGUAUUGGACGUGGUGGAACAAUUUCCGGACCUCCGGACCCCUCCGGAAUCCUCCGGAACCUUCUGGAAGCUUCCCGAUACAAUACCGAAAAAACCCAAACUUUUCCCGGAACCCGAACAACAACUUUCCAUAUAUAAAUCUUUACCUCUGGACCAUUCCGGAACUCCUCGUGACGUCCGGGACUCAUUCGGGACUCCGAACAACAUUCGGUAACCACAUAUGAACUUCCUUUAUAACCCUAGCGUCAUCGAACCUUAAGUGUGUAGACCCUACGGGUUCGGGAACCAUGCAGACAUGACCGAGACAUUCUCCGGUAAAUAACCAACAGCGGGAUCUGGAUACCCAUGUUGGCUCCCACAUGUUCCACGAUGAUCUCAUCGGAUGAACCACGAUGUCAAGGACUCAAUCAAUCCCGUAUACAAUUCCCUUUGUCUAACGGUAUUCUAGUUGCCCGAGAUUCGAUCUUCGGUAUGCCGAUACCUAGUUCAAUCUCGUUACCAGCAAGUCUCUUUACUCAUUCCGUAACACAUCAUCCCAUGAUCAACCCCUUGGUCACAUUGUGCACAUUAUGAUGAUGUCCUACCGAGUGGGCCCAGAGAUACCUCUCCGUUUACACGGAGUGACAAAUCCCAGUCUCGAUUCGUGCCAACCCAACAGACACUUUCGGAGAUACCUGUAGUGCACCUUUAUAGUCACCCAGUUACGUUGUGACGUUUGGUACACCCAAAGCAUUCCUACAGUAUCCGGGAGUUGCACAAUCUCAUGGUCUAAGGAAAAGAUACUUGACAUUAGAAAAGCUUUAGCAUACGAACUACGAUCUUUGUGCUAGGCUUAGUAUUGGGUCUUGUCCAUCACAUCAUUCUACUAAUGAUGUGAUCCCGUUAUCAAUGACAUCCAAUGUCCAUGGUUAGGAAACCGUAACCAUCUAUUGAUCAACGAGCUAGUCAAUAGAGGCUUGCUAGGGACAUGGUGUUGUCUAUGUAUCCACACAUGUAUCUGAGUUUCCUAUCAAUACAGUUAUAGCAUGGAUAAUAAACGAUUAUCAUGAACAAGGAAAUAUAAUAAUAACUAAUUUAUUAUUGCCUCUAGGGCAUAUUUCCAACAGUCUCCCACUUGCACUAGAGUCAAUAAUCUAGUUCACAUCGCCAUGUGAUUAACACUCACAGGUCACAUCGCCAUGUGACCAACAUCCAAAGAGUUUACUAGUGUCAUUAAACUAGUUCACAUCAUCAUGUGAUUAAGACUCAAUGAGUUCUGGGGUUUGAUCAUGUUUUGCUUGUGAGAGUGGUUUUAGUCAAUGGGUCUGUAACAUUCAGAUCCGUAUGUACUUCGCAAUUCUCUAUGUCAUAUUGUAAAUGUUGCUUCCACGGUCCACUUGAAGCUAUUCCAAAUGGUUGCUCCACUAGACUUAUCCGGUUUGCUACUCAGAGUCACUCGGAUAGGUGUUAAAGCUUGCAUCGACGUAACCCUUUACGCCGAACUCUUUAUCACCUCCAUAAUCGAGAAACAUGUCCUUAUUUACUCCAAGGACAAUUUUGACCGCUGUCCAAUGAUCCAUUCCUGGAUCAUUCUUGUACCCCUUGACUGACUCAUGGCAAGGCACACUUCCGGUGCGGUACAUAGCAUAGCAUACUAUAGAGCCUAUGUCUGGAGCAUAGGGGACGACCUUCGUCCUUUCUCUCUUUUCUUCCGUGGUCGAGCUUUAAGUCUUAACUUCAUACCUUAUAUCUCAGGCAAGAACUCCUUCUGUGACUGAUCCAUCUUGAACACCUUCAAGAUCAUGUCAAGGUAUGUGCUCAUUUGAAAGUAUUAUUAAGCAUUUUGAUCUAUCUUAUAGAUAUUGAUGCUUAUUGUUCAAGUAGCCUAAUCCAGGUUUUCCAAUGAAAAACACUUUUCAAAUAAACCUAUAUGCUUUCUAGAAAAUUCUACAUCAUUUCUGAUCAUCAAUAUGUCAACAACAUAUACUCAUCAGAAAUUCUAUAGCGCUCCCACUCACUUCUUUGGAAAUACAAGUUUCUCAUGAACUUUGUAUAAACCCAAAAUCUUUGAUCAUCUCAUCAAAGCGCACAUUCCAACUCCGAGAUGCUUACUCCAGUCCUUAGAAGGAUCGCUAGAGCCAGCACACCUUUUAGCAUCCUUAGGAUCGACAAAAACUUUCUGAUUGUAUCGCAUACAACCUUUCCUUACGAAGACUGGUAAGGAAACUCGUUUUGACAUCCAUCUGCCAGAUUUCAUAAAUGUAGCUAAUGCUAACAUGAUUUCGACGGACUUAAGCAUCACUACGGAUGAGAAAAUCUCAUCGUAGUCAACUCCUUGAACUUGUGAAAAACUCUUCACCACAAGUCGAGCUUCAUAGACGGUGACAUUACCGUCCAUGCCCGUCUUCUUCUUAAAGAUCCAUUUAUCUCAAUGGCUUGCCAAUCAUCGGGCAAGUCCACCAAAGUCCAUGCUUUGUUAUGACACAUGGAUCCUGUCUCGGAUUUCAUGGCUUCCAACCAUUUGUCGGAAUAUGGGCCCACCAUCGCUUCUCCAUAGCUUGUAGGUUCAUUGUUGUCUAGCAACAUGACCUUCAAGACAGGAUCACCGUACCACUCCGAAGCAGUACGUGUCCUUGUCGUCCUACGAGGUUCGGUAGUGACUUGAUCCGAAACUUCAUGAUCACUAUCAUAAGCUUCUACUUCAAUUGGUGUAGGUGCCACAGGAAAAACUUCCUAUGCCUUGCUACACAUUUGUUGAAGUGACGGUUCAAUAACCUCAUCAAGUCUCCACCAUCCUCCCACUCAAUUCUUUCGAGAGAAACCUUUCCUCGAGAAAGGACCCAAUUCAAGAAACAAUCCCUAUUGCUUUCGGAUCUGAAUUAGGAGGUAUACCCAACUGUUUUGGGUGUCCUAUGAAGAUGCAUUUUAUCCGCUUUGGGUUCGAGCUUAUCAACCUGAAACCUUUUUCACAUAAGCGUCGCAGCCCCAAACUUUUAAGAAACGACAACUUAGGUUUCUCCAAACGGUGUCGUCUCAACGGAAUUACGUGGUACCCUAUUAAAGUGAGUGCGGUUGUCUCUAAUGCCUAACCCAUGAACGAUAGCGGUAAUUCGAUAAGAGAUAUCAUGGUACACACCAUAUCCAAUAGGGUGCAACUAUGAUGUUCGGACACACCAUCACACUAUGGUGUUCCAGGCAGUAUUAAUUGUGAAACAAUUUCCACAAUGUGUUAAUUGUGUGCCAAAGCUCGUAACUCAGAUACUCAUCUCUAUGAUCAUAUCAUAGACAUUUUAUCCUCUUGUCACAAUGAUCUUCAACUUCACUCUGAAAUUACUUGAACCCUUCAAUAAUUCAGACUUGUGUUUCAUCAAGUAAAUAUACAGUAUCUACUUAAAUCAUAUGUGAAGUAAAACAUAACGAUAUUCACUGCAUGCCUCAGCACUCAUUGGACUGCACACAUCAAAGUGUGUUACUUCCAACAAGUUGCUAUCUUGUUCCAUCUUACUGAAACCGAGGCUUUUCAGUCAUCUUGCCUAUGUGGUACGAUUUGCAUAUCUCAAGUGAUUCAGAAUCAAGUGAGUCCAAACGAUCCAUCUGCAUGGAGUUUCUUUAUGCGUAUACACCAAUAGACAUGGUUUGCAUGUCUCAAACUUUUCAAAAAUGAGUGAGUCCAAAGAUCCAUCAACAUGGAGCUUCAUCAUGCAUUUUACACCAAUAUGACAUACAUGGCAGUGCCACAAGUAAGUGGUAGUAUCAUUACUAUCUUAUAUCCUUUUUGGCAUGAAAAUGUGUAUCACUACGAUCGAGAUUCUAUAAACCAUUCCUUUUAGGUGCAAGACCAUUGAAGGUAUUAUUCAAAUAAACAGAGUAACCAUUAUUCUCCUUAAAUGAAUAACUGUAUUGCGACAAACAUAAUCCAAUCAUGUCUAUGCUCAACGCAAACACCAAUAACAAUUAUUUAGGUUUAACACCAAUCUCGAUGGUAGAGGGAGCGUGCGAUGCUUGAUCAUAUCAACCUUGGAAACACUUCCAACACGUAUCGUCAGCUCACCUUUAGCUAGUCUCCGUUUAUUCCGUAGCUUUUAUUUGGAGUUACUAACACUUAGCAACCGAACCUGUAUCUAAUACCCUGGUGCUACUAGGAGUACUAGUAAAGUACACAUUAACAUAAUAUAUAUCCAAUAUACUUCUAUUGACCUUGCCAGCCUUCUUAUCUACCAAGUAUUUAGGGUAAUUCUACUCCAGUGGCUGUUCCCCUUAUUACAGAAGCACUUAGUCUCGGGUUUGGAUUCAACCUUGGGUUUCUUCAUUGGAGCAGCAACUGGUUUGCCAUUUCAUGAAGUGUCCCUUCUUGAAACUAGUGGUUUCACCAACCAUCAACAAUUGAUGCUCCUUCUUGAUUUCUAGUUUCGCGGUGUCAAACAUCGUGAAUACCUCAAGGAUCAUCUAUCCCUGAUAUGUUAUAGUUCAUCACGAAGCUCUAGCAGCUUGGUGGCAAUGACUUUGGAGAAAGAUCACUAUCUCAUCUAGAAGAUCAACUCCCACUUGAUUCAAGUGAUUGUUGCACUCAGACAAUCUGAGCACAAUCUCAACGAUUGAGCUUUUCUCCGUUAGUUUGCAGGCUUAGAAAAUUGUCGGAGGUCUUGUACCUCUUGACGUGGGCACGAGCCUAAAAUCCCAAUUUCAGCCCUCGAAACAUCUCAUAUGUUCCGCGACGUUUCGAAAAACGUCUUUGGUGCCUCAACUCUAAACCGUUUAACUGAACUAUCACGUAGUUAUCAAAACGUGUAUGUCCGAUGUUCGCAACAUCCACAGACGACCAUUGGGGUUCAGCACACUAAGCGGUGCAUUAAGGACAUAAGCUUUCUUUUGUCCGCAUAAUCGCUACUGUCAACUUUCAACUAUAUUUUCACUAGGAACAUAUCUAAACAGUGGAACUAAAGCGCAAGCUUACGACAUAAUUUGCAAAGAUCUUUUGACUAUGUUCAGGAUAAUUAAGUUCAUCUUAUGAACUCCCACUCAGAUAGACAUCCCUCUAGUCAUCUAAGUGAUUACAUGAUCUGAGUCAACUAGGCCGUGUCCGAUCAUCACGUGAGACGGACUAGUCAUCAUCGGUGAACAUCUUCAUGUUGAUCGUAUCCACCAUACGACUCAUGCUCGACCUUUCGGUCUCUUGUGUUCCGAGGCCAUGUCUGUACAUGCUAGGCUCGUCAAGUCAACCUAAGUGUUUCACGUGUGUAAAUCUGGCUUACACCCGUUGUAUGUGAACGUAAGAAUCUAUCACACCCGAUCAUCACGUGGUGCUUCGAAACGACGAACUUUCGCAACGGUGCAUAGUUAGGGGGAACACUUUCUUGAAACUUUAAUGAGGGAUCAUCUUAUUUACUACCGUCGUUCUAAGCAAAUAAGAUGCAUAAACAUGAUAAACAUCACAUGCAAUCAAAUAGUGACAUGAUAUGGCCAAUAUCAUAUUGCUCCUUUUGAUCUCCAUAUUCGGGGAUCCAUGAUCAUCAUCGUCACCGGCAUGACACCAUGAUCUCCAUCAUCAUGAUCUCCAUCAUCGUGUCUCCAUGAAGUUGUCUCGCCAACUUAUUACUUCUACUACUAUGGCUACCGGUUAGCAAUAAAGUAAAGUAAUUACAUGGCAUUGUUCAAUGACACACAGGUCAUACAAUAAAUAAAGACAACUCCUAUGGCUCCUGCCAGUUGUCAUACUCAUCGACAUGCAAGUCGUGAUUCCUAUUACAAGAACAUGAUCAAUCUCAUACAUCACACAUAUUCAUCACAUUCUUCUUGGCCAUAUCACAUCACAUAGCAUACCCUGCAAAAACAAGUUAGACGUCCUCUAAUUGUUGUUUGCAUGUUUUACGUGGCUGCUAUGGGUUUCUAGCAAGAACGUUUCUUACCUAUGCAAAACCACAACGUGAUAUGCCAAUUUCUAUUUACCCUUCAUAAGGACCCUUUUCAUCGAAUCCGUUCCGACUAAAGUGGGAGAGACUGGCACCCGCUAGCCACCUUAUGCACCAAGUGCAUGUCAGUCGGUGGAACCUGUCUCACGUAAGUGUACGUGUAAGGUCGGUCCGGGCCGCUUCAUCCCACAAUACCGCCGAAACAAGAUUGGACUAGUGACGGUAAGCAUAUUGAACAAAAUCAACGCCCACAACUACUUUGUGUUCUACUCGUGCAAAGAAUCUACGCAAUAGACCUAGCUCAUGAUGCCACUGUUGGGGAACGUAGCAGAAAUUCAAAAUUUUCCUACGUGUCACCAAGAUCUAUCUAUGGAGAAACCAGCAACGAGGGGAAGGAGAGUGCAUCUACAUACCCAUGUAGAUCGCUAAGCGGAAGCGUUCAAGAGAACGGGGUUGAAGGAAUCGUACUUGUCGUGAUCCAAAUCACCGAAGAUCCUAGUGCCGAACGGACGGCACCUCCGCGUUCAACACACGUACAGCCCGGUGACGUCUCCCACGCCUUGAUCCAGCAAGGAGAGAGGGAGAGGUUGAGGAAGACUCCGUCCAGCAGCAGCACACCGGCGUGGUGGUGAUGGAGGAGCGUGGCAAUCCUGCAGGGCUUCGCCAAGCACCGCGGGAGAGGAGUAAUUGGGAGAGGGUGAGGGCUGCGCCAGAACAUGGGUGCGGCUGCCCUCCCACCCCCACAUAUAUAUAUAGGGGCAAGGGAGAAGGGCCCGGCCCCCUCAGAUCCAAUCUGAGGAGGGGGCGCGGCCAAGGGGGGAGGAGUGCCUCCCAAGUCAAGUGGAGGCCCUCCCCCUUGGGUUUUCCCCUUCCCGUGCGCAUGGGCCUUGGGGGGGCUGGUGCCCCUGGCCCAUUAAGGCUAGGGCGCCCCCCUACAGCCCAUGCUACUGUAUUGGACGUGGUGGAACAAUUUCCGGACCUCCGGACCCCUCCGGAAUCCUCCGGAACCUUCUGGAAGCUUCCCGGUACAAUACCGAAAAAACCCGAACUUUUCCCGGAACCCGAACAAGAACUUUCCAUAUAUAAAUCUUUACCUACGGACCAUUCCGGAACUCCUCGUGACAUCCGGGAUCUCAUCCGGGACUCCGAACAACAUUCGGUAACCACAUAUGAACUUCCUUUAUAACCCUAGCGUCAUCGAACCUUAAGUGUGUAGACCCUACGGGUUCGGGAACCAUGCAGACAUGACCGAGACGUUCUCCGGUAAAUAACCAACAGCGGGAUCUGGAUACCCAUGUUGGCUCCCACAUGUUCCACGAUGAUCUCAUCGGAUGAACCACGAUGUCAAGGACUCAAUCAAUCCCGUAUACAAUUCCCUUUGUCUAACGGUAUUGUACUUGCCCGAGAUUCGAUCUUCGAUAUGCCGAUACCUAGUUCAAUCUCGUUACCGGCAAGUCUCUUUACUCGUUCCGUAACACAUCAUCCCGUGAUCAACCCCUUGGUCACAUUGUGCACAUUAUGAUGAUGUCCUACCGAGUGGGGCCAGAGAUACCUCUCCGUUUACACGGAGUGACAAAUCCCAGUCUCGAUUCGUGCCAACCCAACAGACACUUUCGGAGAUACCUGUAGUGCACCUUUAUAGUCACCCAGUUACGUUGUGACGUUUGGUACACCCAAAGCAUUCCUACGGUAUCCGGGAGUUGCACAAUCUCAUGGUCUAAGGAAAAGAUACUUGACAUUAGAAAAGCUUUAGCAUAUGAACUACGAUCUUUGUGCUAGGCUUAGUAUUGGGUCUUGUCCAUCACAUCAUUCUACUAAUGAUGUGAUCCCGUUAUCAAUGACAUCCAAUGUCCAUGGUUAGGAAACCGUAACCAUCUAUUGAUCAACGAGCUAGUCAAUAGAGGCUUGCUAGGGACAUGGUGUUGUCUAUGUAUCCACACAUGUAUCUGAGUUUCCUAUCAAUACAAUUAUAGCAUGGAUAAUAAACGAUUAUCAUGAACAAGGAAAUAUAAUAAUAACUAAUUUAUUAUUGCCUCUAGGGCAUAUUUCCAACAAACUACGCAUAGACCUAGCUCAUGAUGCCACUGUAGGGAAACGUUGCAGAAAAUUAAAAUUUUUCCUACGGUUUCACCAAGAUCCAUCUAUGAGUUCAUCUAAGCAACGAGUCAUGGGAGAGAGAUUGCAUCUACAUACCACUUGUAGAUUGCGUGCGGAAGCGUUCGAGGGAACGGUGAUGAUGGAGUCGUACUCGCCGUGAUUCAGAUCACCGAUGACCAAGUGCUGAACGGACAGCACCUCCGCGUUCAACACACGUACGGUACGGACGAUGUCUCCUCCUUCUUGAUCCAGCAAGGGGAAAGGAGAGGUUGAGGAAGAAGGCUCCAGCAGCAGCACGAUGGCAAGAUGAUGGUGGAGAGGCAAUACUCCGACAGGGCUUCGCCAAGCGCACAACGGAGGAGAAGAGGUGUUGGGGAGGGGAGGGGCUGCGCCUUGGAUCAGGUGUUCAGCCCUCCCCUCGCCCCUCUAUUUAUAGGGGAAGGGGGAAGGGGGCUGGCCCCCUCUAGAUGAGAUCUAGAGGGGGGGCGGCGGCCAGGGAGGGGGCUUGCCCCCCAAGCAAAGGGGGUGCGCCCCCUUUAGGGUUCCCCCCAAACCCUAUGCGCAUGGGCCCAAGGGGGGGGGGCGCCCAGCCCUCCAGGGGCUGGUUCCCUACCCCACGCGGCCCAUGUGGCCCACCAAGAGGGGUGGCCCCUCCCGGUGGACCCUCGGAACCCCUCCGGUGGCCCCGGUACAAUACCGAUAUGCCCCCAAAACUUUCCGGUGUCCGCAUGACAACUUCCCAUAUAUAAAUCUUUACCUCCGGACCAUUCCGGAACUCCUCGUGACGUCCGGGAUCUCAUCCGAGACUCCGAACAACAUUCGGUAAUCACAUACAAGUCUUCCUAAUAACCCUAGUGUCACCGAACCUUAAGUGUGUAGACCCUACGGGUUCGGGAGACACGCAGACAUGACCGAGACAGCUCUCCGGUCAAUAACCAACAGCAGGAUCUGGAUACCCAUGUUGGCUCCCACAUGCUCCUCGAUGAUGUCAUCGGAUGAACCACGAUGUCGAGGAUUCAAUCAACCCCGUAUGCAAUUCCCUUUGUCAGACGGUAUGUUACUUGCCCGAGACUCGAUCGUCGGUAUCCCAAUACCUUGUUCAGUCUCGUUACCGGCAAGUCACAUUACUCGUACCGUAAUGCAUGAUCCCAUGACCAGACACUUGGGCACUUUGAGCUCAUUAUGAUGAUGCACUACCGAGUGGGCCCAGUGAUACCUCUCCGUAAUCCGGAGUGACAAAUCCCAGUCUCGAUCCGUGUCAACACAACAGACACUUUCGGAGAUACCUGUAGUGCACCUUUAUAGUCACCCAGUUAUGUUGUGACGUUUGGUACACCCAAAGCACUUCUACGGUAUCCGGGAGUUACACGAUCUCAUGGUCUAAGGAAGAGAUACUUGACAUUGGAAAAGCUCUAGCAAAAUGAUCUACACGAUCUUGUGCUAUGCUUAGGAUUGGGUCUUGUCCAUCACAUCAUUCUCCUAAUGAUGUGAUCCCGUUGUCAAUGACAUCCAAUGUCCAUAGUCAGGAAACCAUGACUAUCUGUUGACCAACGAGCUAGUCAACUAGAAGCUUACUAGGGACGUAUUGUGGUCUAUGUAUUCACACGUGUAUUACGAUUUCCGGAUAAUACAAUUAUAGCAUGAAUAGAAGACAAUUAUCAUGAACAAGGAAAUAUAAUAAUAAUCCUUUUAUUAUUGCCUCUAGGGCAUAUUUCCAAUAGAUCCCCCUCCGGCAGGGUGCCGGAACAGGGUCCCGAUUGGUUUUUGGUGGCUACAGAGGCUUGUGGCGGUGGAACUCCCGAUUUAUUUUCUGUUUUGGAAGUUUUAGGGUACGUAGGUAUAUAUGGGUGCAGGGGGUACGUCGGUGGACCUCCGAGUUGCUCACGAGGUAGGGGGGCGCGCCCAGGGGGGCACCCCCCACCCUCGUGGGCAGCCUGGGACUCCCCUGGCGUGCAUUCCAAGCCCAUCAGGUUGGUUUCCUUCCAAAAUUAACUUCUCCAGUUGAUAUCAUUCCGUUUUGACUCCGUCUGAUAUUCCUUUUCCUCGAAACACUCAAAUAGGCAUAAAACAGCAAAUCUGGGCUGGGCCUCCGGUUAAUAGGUUAGUCCCAAAAAUAAUAUAAGAGUGGAUAAUAAAGCCCAAUAUUGCCUAAAACAGUAGAUAAAGUAGCAUGGAGCAAUAAAAAAUUAUAGAUACGUUGGAGACGUAUCAACGUCUUUCGGCCCAGGCCUAUUAACGGCCCGUGGUGAAACUGGCCCGCAAUGAACAGUGUAUCACUCUACACCCACUAACGGCCCAUGGUGAAACUGUCCCAUAAUGAAUAGUAUAUCACUUUAUACCCAUUAAGGGCAUGAUAACCCACAAGUAUAGGGGAUCGCAACAGUUUUCGAGGGUAGAGUAUUCAACCCAAAUUUAUUGAUUCGACACAAGGGGAGCCAAAGAAUAUUCUCAAGUAUUAGCAGCUGAGUUCUCAAUUCAACCACACCUGCAAACUUAGUAUCUGAAGCAAAGUGUUUAGUAGCAAAGUAAUAUGAUAGUAGUGGUAACGGUAACAAAAGUAAAGACACCAAAAGUAAUGUUUUCGGUAUUUUGUAGUGAUUGUAACAGUAGCAACGGAAAAGUAAAUAAGCGAGAACCAGUAUAUGGAAAGCUCGUAGGCACCGGAUUAGCGAUGGAUAAUUAUGCCGGAUGCGGUUCGUCAUGUAACAGUCAUAACAUAGGGUGACAUAGAACUAGCUCCAGUUCAUCAAUGUAAUGUAGGCAUGUAUUCCGUAUAUAGUCAUACGUGCUUAUGGAAAAGAACUUGCAUGACAUCUUUUGUCCUACCCUCCCGUGGCAGCGGGGUCCUAUUGGAAACUAAGGGAUAUUAAGGCCUCCUUUUCAUAGAGAACCAGAACAAAGCAUUAGCACAUAGUGAAUACAUGAACUCCUCAAACUAUGGUCAUCACCGGGAGUGGUCCCGAUUAUUCUCACUUCGGGGUUGUCGGAUCAUAACACAUAGUAGGUGACCAUAGACUUGCAAGAUAGGAUCAAGAACACACAUAUAUUCAAGAAAACAUUAUAGGUUCAGAUCUGAAAUCAUGGCACUCGGGCCCUAGUGACAAGCAUUAAGCUUAGCAAAGUCAUAGCAACAUCAAUCUCAGAACAUAAUGGAUACUAGGGAUCAAACCCUAACAAAACUAACUCGAUUACAUGAUAAAUCUCAUCCAACCCAUCACCGUCCAGCAAGCCUACGAUGGAAUUACUCACGCACGGCGUUGAGCAUCAUGAAAUUGUUGAUGGAGGAUGGUUGAUGAUGACGACGGUGACGGAUCCCCCUCUCCGGAGCCCCGAACGGACUCCAGACCAGCCCUCCCGAGAGAGAUUAGGGCUUGGUAGCGGCUCCGUAUCGUAAAACGCGAUGAUUUCUUCUCUCUUAUUUUUUUCUCCCCGAAAGCCAAUAUAUAGAGUUGGAGUUGGCGUCGGAGGGCCAACAGGGGGCCCACGAGGUAGGGGGGCGCGCCCAGGGGGGGCGCACCCCACCCUUGUGGAUAGGGUGUGGGCCCCCUGGCCUUCAUCUUUGGCGACGAUUUUUUAUUGUUUUUUCUAAGGUGUUCCGUGGAGUUUCAGGUCAUUCCGAGAACUUUUAUUUUCUGCACAUAAAACAACACCAUGGCAAUUCUGUUGAAAACAAUGUCAGUCCGGGUUAGUUCCAUUCAAAUCAUACAAGUUAGAGUCCAAAACAAGGGCAAAAGUGUUUGGAAAAGUAGAUACGACGGAGACGUAUCAACUCCCCCAAGCCUAAACCCUUGCUUGUCCUCAAGCAAUUCAGUUGACAAACUGAAAGAGAAAAAGAAAAACUUUUACAAACUCUCUUUGCUCUUGUUGUUGUAAACAUGAAAAGCCAGCAUUCAAGUUUCAGCAAUUAUUAUGAACUAACCAUACUAACAAUAACACAAAGGUCUCACAAUUACUCAUAUCAAUAGGAUAAUCAGCUAGCGAGCCAUAAUAAUAAAACUCGGAUGACAACACUUUCUCAAAAUAAUCAUAACACGAUAUAACAAAAUGGUAUCUCGCUAGCCCUAUCUGAGACCGCAAAAGAUAAAUGCAGAGCACCUUUAAAGAUCAAGGACUGACUAAACAUUGUAAUUCAUGGUAAAAGAGAUCCAGUCAAGUCAUACCCAAUAGAAACCAAUAAUAAUGAAUGCAAACGACAGUGUGCUCUCCAGCAGGUGCUUUUUAAUAAGAGGGGUGAUGACUCAACAUAAAAGUAAAUAGAUAGCCCCUUCGCAGAGGGAAGCAGGGAUUUGUAGAGGUGCCAGAGGUCGGUUUUUAAAAUAGAGAUUGAAUAACAUUUUGAGCGGCAUACUUUUGCUGUCAACGCAACAACUAUGAGAUGCCAAUAUCUUCCAUGCUACACAAAUUAUAGGCAGUUCCCAAACAGAAUGGUAAAGUUUAUACUCCCCCUCCUCCACAAGCAUCAAUCCGUGGCUUGCUCGAAACAACGAGUGCCUCCAACAUCCAAUGGGUCCCAGGGGGAGUUUUGUUUGCAGUUAAAUUUGAUUUAGUUUGCACAAAGCAUGGGACUGGGCAUCCCGAAGACCAGCCAUUUUCUCGUGAAUGAGGAGCGGAGUCCACUCCUCUUGAGAAUAACCACCUAACAUGGAAGAUAAGCGCAGCCCUAGUUGAAACAUGAGCUUCUCGAGCAUACAAAAUAGAAUUUCAUUUGAAGGUUUGGAGUUUGGCACAUACAAAUUUACUUGGAACGGCAGGUAGAUACCGCAUAUAGGAAGGUAUAGUGGACUCAUAUGGAACUACUUUGGGGUUUAAGGAGUUUGGUUACACAAGCAGUAUUCCCGCUUAGCACAGGUGGAGGCUAGCAAAAGACUGGGAAGCGACCAAGUGAGAGAGCGACAACAGUCGUAAACAUGCACUAAAAUUAAUUUACACCGAAUACAAGCAUAAGUAGGAUAUAAUCCACCAUGAACAUAAAUAUCAUGAAGGCUAUGUUGAUUUGAUUCAACUACAUGUGUGAACAUGUGCCAAGUCUAGUCACUCAAUUCAUUUAAAGGAGGAUACCAUCCCAUCAUACCACAUCAUAAUCAUUCUAAUAGCAUGUUGGCACGCAAGGUAAACCAUUAUAACUCAUAGCUAAUCAAGCACGGCACAAGCAACUAUAAUCUUAAAAUGUCAUUGCAAAUAUGUUUACUUCAUAAUAGCUGAAUCAGAAACGAUGAAUCAUCAUAUUUACAAAAACAAGAGAGGUUGAGUUCAUACCAGCUUUUCUCAUCCCAAUAAGUCCAUCAUAUAUCAUCAUUAUUGCCUUUCACUUGCAUGACCGAACGAAGUGUAUAAUAAUAAGAGUGCACGUGCAUUGGACUAAGAUGGAAUCUGCAAGCAUUCAACUCAAGAGAGAAGACAAGUAAUAUGGGCUCUAAGUUAAAUAAUCAUUCAUGCAUAUAAGAGCCACUAAGCAAUUUCAAUAUAGUCUUCUCGACCCCCAAAGAAAGUAAAAGAAAUGAAAACUAUUUACACGGGAAAGCUCCCAACAAGCAAAAGAAGAACUGGAAAUAUUUUUGGGUUUUCUUUUUAAUUACUAUAGCAAGGAAAUAAACUACUACUAAUUUUUUUUUGGUUUUCUCAAGGUUUAUCAAACACACAAGAAGAAAGCAGGAAAAGGAAAAUAAACUAGCAUGGAUAUUACAGUGAAAGAGUAUGAGCACCGACAUCUAGCAAUGAGUGUGUGUGAACAUGAAUGUAACAUCGGUGGGAAAUACGUACUCCCCCAAGCUUAAGCUUUUGGCCUAAGUUGGUCUAUUGCCAGGGAUAGCCCGACGAAUACCCGUAGGUGAAGCUGGGGUCAUACUGUGAUGAAGAAGGCUCCGGCUGCCACUGACUGGCAACCUCCUUUGGAUCCCAAGAAUAAACAGAUAGUCGUGGAGCCUCAUCUUGUGGUUCCGGUUCCGGGGCUGGUGCAAGAUUCCGAUAGGCUUGAAUCGCCGUCCACGAAACGAUGUGAGGACCUGCAGAUAAGUUAAACAAAGAAGGAGCAGGCAAAGUAAUAGUCUCAGGGUGAUGUUUAUCAAAGUAUAAUUUAUAUUUGAGCUCCCCUUCGCGACCCUUAACAAGAAAAUCAUGAGCUAUCAUACUCUUAUAAUCUAAGUAAGCACGGGGCAGUGCUGUUUCUUCUUCCUCCUCAUGCCUAAUAGGUAUUUCAAAAUGUUCAGCUAGGCGUGAAGCAUAAAUGCCUCCAAAGAUGGGGCCCUUAGUAUGGUUCGGACUUAACCGUCUAUCAACAAUUCCACCCAUACUAACAGCGUUAUUGCGGUAUAAACCAUGGAACAAAAUAAUAAUAUCAGGAAUACUAAGGUUCCCACAGUUUCCGCAUCCAAUCAAGCAACGACUAGCAAAAAAGGCAAAGUAGCGUAAAACAGGAAAAUGUAUGCUAGUGAUCCUCGCAUCAGAAACCUUCUUGGUUCCUCCCACUGUGAUAGUGUUAAUAAAAGUUUCUACUUUGCUACUGUGGGGUUCAUCUAAGGUGCCCUCAAAGGGUAUUCUGCAAACCUCGCAGAAUUCAGCUAAGGUCAUCCUCUUAACAACGUCAUAUAAAUGAAACUCUACUCAUGGAGGUGAUUUCUUGGGCAAAAAGUAGAAGUUUUGCACAAAGGUAUUUGUGAGUAAGAGAUACUGGUGACGUAGGUCGCGGAGGAACUUGGUGAGGCCGGUGUUCUCAAUCAAUAAAUAGAAAUCCUCAUAAAUCCUGGCUCUCCUCAAGAAAUCAUCUGAAGGCCAUUCACACGGCCGGACCUCCGCGGUGCGAGGCAAAUUAAAUUUGGGCUUCUUCUCUUCUUCCUUUUGUUUUUCCUUCAAGCUUCGGCUUGACGAGCCCCUCAAAAGUCUGUUCAUUAUUUCUGAAACAAUCUGAAAUUUUUAGUAACUUCAAAUAAAAGUGAACCAACUUCAUUAAAAUUGAUAGCAACAAUUCCCACAAGUGCCUAGAGCCUAUAUAAAGUAUUGGAACUACUUUGAACCAUAUAAAUUUGACAUGCAAGCUCAAGAACAUGGUCACCUAUGCAGCACAAAUUUGCAAUGAAUAAAGCACUAGAACAAAAACUAAUUGGUCCAAUGGAGGAGUCACAUACCAAGGAACAAUCUCCCCAAGCAGUUUUGCGAGAGGUGCCUUGAGCAAGGAGAUCGAAAAUCACAACAACGGGGGCUGGAACUUGUGCCUGAGUUGGUUUUUCGUGUUUGUGUGAGAUAGAGGAAGAAGAAGGGUGCAGGAAUAAGUGGAGGAGGGCCACCGUGGGCCCACGAGGCAGGGGGCACGCCCAGGGGGGUAGGGCGCGCCCUCCACCCUCGUGGCCAGGUGGCAGCUCCCCCCAUGGUGAUUUUUGCACAGUAAAUCCUCAAAUAUUCCCGAAAAAAUCAUAUUAAAUUGGCAUGGCAUUGUGAGGACUUUUAUUUCCGGGAUAUUUUUAUAUUGCACGGAUAAGUCGGGAAACAAACAGAAAAAUACUAUUUUACUUUAUUUCUACUAAAUAACAGGAAAUAUAAAGAGGGUACAGAAGGUUGUGCUUCUAGUUUCAUCCAUCCCAUGCUCAUCAAAAAGAAUCCACUAACAAGGUUGAUCAAGUCUUGUUAACAAACUCAUUCCGAUAAUCAUGGAACCGGAGAAAUUUCGAAUAGCACUAAGUUACCUCAACGGGGAUAUGAAAAUCCCCAACAAUAAGAAUAUCAUACUUUUUCUUGAUAGUAGGUAGAGGAAAUUCAAAACCUCCAAAUAUAAUCGAUGGAAUUUUUCCAAUAGAGUUGAUACUAUAAACUUGAGGUUGUUUCCUCGGAAAGUGUACCAUGUGCUCAUUGCCAUUAACAUGAAAAGUGACAUUGCCUUUGUUGCAAUCAAUAACAGCCCCUGCAGUAUUAAGGAAAGGUCUUCCAAGAAUAAUAGACAUACUAUCAUCCUCCGGAAUAUCAAGAAUAACCAAGUCCGUUAAAAUAGUAAUGUUUGCAACCACAACAGGCACAUCCUCACAAAUACCGACAGGUAUGGUAGUUGAUUUAUCAGCCAUUUGCAAAGAUAUUUCAGUAGGUGUCAACUUAUUCAAGUCGAGUCUACGAUAUAAAGAGAGAGGCAUAACACUGACACCGGCUCCAAGAUCACAUAAAGCAGUUUUAACAUAAUUUCUCUUAAUGGAGCAUGGUAUAGUAGGUACUCCAGGAUCUCCAAGUUUCUUUGGUAUUCCACCCUUAAAAGUAUAAUUAGCAAGCAUGGUGGAAAUUUCGGUUUUAGGUAUAUUUCUUUUAUUAGUAAUGUUAUCCUUCAUAUACUUAGCAUAAGGAUUUGUUUUGAGCACAUCAGUUAUUCGCAUACGCAAAAAGUUGGGUCUAAUCAUUUCAGCAAAGCGCUCAAAAUCCUCAUCAUCCUUUUUCUUGGAUGGUUUCGGAGGAAAAGGCAUGGGUUUCUGAACCCAUGGUUCCCUUUCUUUACCAUGUUUCCUAGCAACGAAGUCUCUUUUAUCAUAAUGUUGAUUCUUUGAUUGUGGGUUAUCAAGAUCAACAGCAGGUUCAACUUCUACAUCAUUAUCAUUACUAGGUUGAGCAUCAUCAUGAACAUUAUCAUUAACAUUAUCACUAGGUCCAUGUUCAUUACCAGAUUGUGUUUCAGCAUCAGACAUGGAAAUAUCAUUUGGAUUCUCAGGUGGUUCAGUAAUAGGUUCACCAGAAAUUUGCAAGGUCCUAUCGUUUUUCUUUUUCUUCCUCUUAGAAGAACUAGGUACAUCGAUAUUAUUUCUCUGAGAAUCUUGCUCGAUUCUCCUAGGGUGGCCUUCAGGAUACAAAGGUUCCGGAGACAUUCUACCAGUUCUAGUAGCCACUCUAACAUCAUAAUCAUUUUUCUUACUAUUCAUUUCAUCAAGCACUUCUUUCUAAGCUUUAAGUACUUGUUCUACUUGAGUGGUAAACAUAGAAGCAUGUUUGCUAACAAGUUUAAGUUCACCUCUAAUAUCAGCCAUAUAAUCACCCAAGCUUUUAAUCAUAAAGGUAUUCUAUUUUAGUUGUCUACCAAAAUAAGCAUUAAAGUCAUCUUGCUUAAACAUAAAGUCAUCAAACUCAUCCAAGCACUGACUAGCAAUUUUAGUAGGAGGGACUUCAGCUUUAUCAUAUCUAUAGAUAGAAUUUACCUUUACUACCUAUGUCGGGAUAUCGGGAGGUUCUUCAGUAAAAAAGUAAUUGAGAUCAUAUACUUCUUCAAUAGGCGGUAAAUUAAGACCAUGUAUUUCUUUAAUAGGAGGUAAAUUCUUAACAUCUUCAGCUUUAAUACCUUUUUCUUUCAUAGAUUUCUUUGCCUCUUGCUUAUCUUUGGAACUGAGAAAUAGAACACCUCUCUUCUUCAGAGUUGGUUUAGCAAUAGGUUCAGUAAUUGGCUCUGGAGCUAGCUCAAGAGGUGGCUCAGGAGGUGCCCAAUUAUUUUCAUUUGUCAACAUAUUGUUCAAUAGAAUUUCAGCUUCAUCCGGUGUUCUUUCCUUGAAAAGAGAACCAGAAAAACUAUCCAGGUAAUCUCUGGAAGCAUCAGUUAGUUCAUUAUAAAAGAUAUCAAGUAUUUCAGAUUUCUUAAGAGGAUGAUCAGGCAAAGCAUUAAGUAACUUGAGAAGCCUCCCCCAAGCUUGUGGGAGACUCUCUUCUUCAAUUUGCACGAAGUUGUAUAUUUCCCUCAAAGCAGCUUGCUUCGUAUGAGCAGGGAAAUAUUUAGUAGAGAAGUAAUAAAUCAUAUCCUGGGGACUUUGCACACAACCAGGAUCAAGGGAAUUAUACCAUAUAUUAGCAUCACCCUUUAAUAAGAACGGAAAUAUUUUGAGUAAAUAAAUGUAGCGCAAUCUCUCAUUAUUAGUAAACAGGGCAGCUAUAUCAUUCAACUUAGUAAGAUGUGCCACAAUAGUUUCAGAUUCAUAACCAUAGAAAGGAUCAGAUUCAACCAAAGUAAUUAUAUCCGGAUCAACUGAGAAAUCAUAAUAAUCCUUAUCGGGAACACAGAUAGGUGAAGUAGCAAAAGCAGGGUCGGGUCUCAUUCUAUCUCUAAAAGAUUCUUUGCUCCAUUUAACUAGCAACCUCUUAAGUUCAUAUCUAUCCUGGCAAGCAAAAAUAGCUGCAGAAGAUUCUACAUCAAAAAGAUAACCCUCAGGAAUAGCAGGCAUAUUCUCAUCAUCACUAUCAUCAUCGUAUUCAGGUUCAAUAAUUUCUCUUUAUCUAGACCUAGCAAUUUUCUCAUCAAGAAAUUCACCAAGGGGCACAGUAGUAUCAAGCAUAGAAGUAGUUUCAUCACAAUUAUCAUGCAUAGAAGAAGUGGCAUCAUCAAUAACAUGCGACAUAUCAGAAUUCAUAGCAGUAGCAGGUUUAGGUGUCGCAAACUUACUUAUAACAGAAGGGGAAUCUAGUGCAAGGCUAGAUGGCAGUUCCUUACCUCCCCUCGUAGUUGAGGGCAAAAUAGUAGUUCGAUCAUCUUUCAAGUUCUUCAUAGUGUCCAGCAGACAUAAAUCCCAAGGAACUCAAUGAAUAGAGCUAUGCUCCCCGGCAAUGACGCCAAAAAAGGUCUUGAUAACCCACAAGUAUAGGGGAUCGCAACAGUUUUCGAGGGUAGAGUAUUCAACCCAAAUUUAUUGAUUCGACACAAGGGGAGCCAAAGAAUAUUCUCAAGUAUUAGCAGCUGAGUUGUCAAUUCAACCACACCUGUAAUAUUCUCAAGUAUCUGCAGCAAAGUGUUUAGUAGCAAAGUAAUAUGAUAGUAGUAGUAAUUGUAACAAAAGUAAAGACAUCAAAAGUAAUGUUUUUGGUAUUUUGUAGUGAUUGUAACAGUAGCAAUGGAAAAGUAAAUAAGCGAGAACCAGUAUAUGGAAAGCUCAUAGGCACCGGAUUAGCGAUGGAUAAUUAUGCCGGAUGCGGUUUGUCAUGUAACAGUCAUAACAUAGGGUGACACAGAACUAGCUCCAGUUCGUCAAUGUAAUGUAGGCAUGUAUUUCGUAUAUAGUCAUACGUGCUUAUGGAAAAGAACUUGCAUGACAUCUUUUGUCCUACCCUCCCGUGGCAGCGGGGUCCUAUUGGAAACUAAUGGAUAUUAAGGCCUCCUUUUAAUACAGAACCGGAACAAAGCAUUAGCACAUAGUGAAUACAUGAACUCCUCAAACUAUGGUCAUCACCGGGAGUGGUCCCGAUUAUUCUCACUUCGGGGUUGUCGGAUCAUAACACAUAGUAGGUGACCAUAGACUUGCAAGAUAGGAUCAAGAACACACAUAUAUUCAAGAAAACAUUAUAGGUUCAGAUCUGAAAUCAUGGCACUCGGGCGCUAGUGACAAGCAUUAAGCAUAGCAAAGUCAUAGCAACAUCAAUCUCAGAACAUAAUGGAUACUAGGGAUCAAACCCUAACAAAACUAACUCGAUUACAUGAUAAAUCUCAUCCAACCCAUCAUCGUCCAGCAAACCUACAAUGGAAUUACUCAGCACGGCGGUGAGCAUCAUGAAAUUGGUGAUGGAGGAUGGUUGAUGAUGACGACGGCGAUGGAUCCCCCUCUCCGGAGCCCCGAACAGACUCCAGAUCAGCCCUCCCAAGAGAGAUUAGGUCUUGGCGGCGGCUCCGUAUCAUAAAAUGCUAUGAUUUCUUCUCUCUUAUUUUUUUCCUCCCCGAAAGCCAAUAUAUAGAGAUAGAGUUGGCAUCGGAGGGCCACCAGGGGGCCCACGAGGUAGGGGGGCGCCCCCACCCUCGUGGACAGGGUGUGGGCCCCCUGGCCUUCAUCUUUGGCGACGAUUUUUAUUUGUUUUUUCUAAGGUGUUCCGUGGAGUUUCAGGUCAUUCCGAGAAUUUUAUUUUCUGCACAUAAAACAACACCAUAGCAAUUCUGCUGAAAACAGCGUCAGUCCGGGUUAGUUCCAUUCAAAUCAUACAAGUUAGAGUCCAAAACAAGGGCAAAAGUGUUUGGAAAAGUAGAUACGACGGAGAUGUUCAGUUGGGCCGUUUCUAGCAAAUGUUAUCUUUCGGACUUCUCAGAGCCCAUUUAUUCUUGGGCUCAUUUCUAGCAUUCGUUUACUUACGACCCGUUACUGUCAUUUUCUGCUUCUGGGCCAAAUUCAGCCCGUGGUUACAUCGGCCCAUUUGUGGUCCGUUAAUACGUUGGGCUGUUUUCAUAGCAUCAUCAAAUACGGCCUAUUAACGAUGGCCCGUUAUGGUCAUACGGCCCGUAUAAGGCCCAUUGAUGAUACGGCCCAUAGAAGGCCCAUUGUUUCUACGGCCCGUAGAAGGCCCAUUGUUUCUACGACCCGUAGAAGGCCCAUUGUUUCUACGGCCCGUAGAAGGCCCAUUGUUUCUACGACCUGUAGAAGGCCUACUGUUUCUACGGCCCGUAGAAGGCCCACUGUUUCUACGGCCCGUAGGAGGCCCAGUGUGACUACAGUAAAUAUUAGCCCAUGGUUAUUGUGGCCUAGUUUUAAAAAGAACUGCACUGACUACAAGCAAACAAAUAAACAAGACAACAAGGAAAUAAAUAAGCAAGCAACUUAUGCUAGGCUAUCACGGCUGUUACACAUAUUACAUCCAGUGGGUAUCAAAGUUCGCCACCAGUGCAAAUAUAGGGAACAAAGCAGCAUAUCAUAUACACUGGUUGUCAAAGUUGGCGACUAGCACAAAUAAACGCCGCAGCAAAACAAAUCCAGAACUAAAACCACUCCAGAAGAUCUCAAGAAACAAUAUCCUGGGUACCCAUAAUGCUGGCAAGAUGGUUAGCAGGCUUAUUAACUUUCUCUUGUUUGGCGCUUAAAUCCUCCGGCGCUUGCUGUUGCACCAGAAAAUAUGCAUCUGAAUUCUGCAGGGACUUCCUUAGUCCUUCAGCUUCCUGUCGCAGCACAUCUGAUUGAUGUCUUUCAACUUGAAGUUGAGAUUCAAGAAGACGAACUGAUUCAGGCAGCGAGUUCAAAGAGCUUGUGCCAACAGUAGUGCCUAGUAACUCAAACACUACAUCAAGACAUGACUUUUGGGUUCCCUCACUAUCGUCAAGAUAGUUUUUAUCAGCUUUCUUGGAGACCAACGGGGAUGUCUCACUAUCUUGAACCUUAUCUGCAUUACUUCCUUUACCAUUGGAUAACGCGGUACUGUUCUCCAAUAUUUUGUCCGCAUUCUAAAAGAGAAACAAGUAGACACAUCACAUGUUUACCAUGUUUUAUAUGAAACUCAUUUUGGUAAAUGAGUUCAGUAGUAAAGUGGACAGGGUAACAACAUGAAACAAACAUAUAUCUAUGUUCCAUGGUCACUUUAUGGUCUAUAUCAUUCUAGUUUUUGUUGCCAAAUCAAGAUAGAGACACAGUUCAAAUAAUAUUUGUUCAAGACAAAGCAGAAUAGACAGAAUAUAAGUGUGGGUAACUAUAGAGCAAUAACAACACUUGUAAUGUGCAUGACAUGAGAACAUAACUGUUUAUUCAAUUGAAACUAAAAUCAACAUAGAGCAGGUUACAACAGCAAACCAGUUAAAGAAAUAGGUUUAAAACAUACCUGUUGUGCCAUUGGAGUUUCAAUUCCAUCCUUCAAAUUUGAAAAUAGUUGGUAUGAGUAAAUAUAGCAAUGCAAGAGCAAAGGAGUAUGAACCAUAGCUACAGAACCUGACCUGAGAACAAAUCUUCUUCUCCUUUAAGCGUUGAGUUGGGAUUCGGAGUGGUGGUCCUCGUUCUUUGGGCACUGCAGUUCCCUUACUAACCGCUCGUGUUUGGGUGCUCUGUGGUGGAGAUGGUGCUGUGUCAACUGGAACUGGGUUACUAUCUGCCGGGGUUGGGGUUAGAAGGGGUGUAGCUGGUUCUCUAUCCAACUGGGUAGGGGUACAAUCUGCGAGAGUCUGGGUUAUGUGUGGUGGAUUUGGUCCUUGGGCAAGUACAACCGUGGUUCUAUAUGCAUCAACUAGUAGCACUAUCUUUUUUGAAGACCAUGUUGUUACUCCCUUAGAUACUGCCAUCAUGCUCUCCAAUUCAAAUGGCUGAUAAACAAGAAAAGUAAUUGAAAGUAUAGACAUUGUAUGAUAAAAAGGUGCAAUGGAUAGUGGGGAAUAAAAGAGGGCAUGAAAUAAUUCAUAUUUAUGUUGUCUAACCAAACAGGAUAGCAUGACACAAUUUCACAUAUAUGAUGGCUAACUAAACAGGAUAGCAUGACACAAUUUCACAUUAUGAUAGCUAACUAAAAAAGAUGGAAAUACAUAGUUCAAAAUAUGAGACUAUGUAAACAGGAUGACAUGACAUAACUAUAUAAUGUGUUUAUUAAAUAGGUUGGCAUGCCAUAAUUCACAUACAUUCAUGGAUAGAAUGCCAUAAUUCUAAAUAUGAUGACUGUAAACACUAAACAGGAUGAGAUGAUAUAACUAUAUGAUGUCUUUAUUAAAUGGGUUGCCAUGACAUAAUUCAGAUAGAUGAUGUGUAUGUACUAUGUAAACAUGAUGGCAUGAUAUAAUUCAAAUAUAUGAUUUAUACAGUAAGCAAGUAAGCAGAUGGCAAUCUAUAUAUGAUGUAAAAACUAAGCAAUGCAAGACAACAUGCAUGACAUGGGUAAUAUAACCUUGCCAAGUUUGAGCAUAGACCUCAGGGGGGAAAUAGGACUGGUCAUCAGUCUCUGAAUCCUCCUCUGAGGACCUCUCUGUAGCCAGCAAGAUGUCUGCUUCAGCAGGUAGCAUUGUCUGCUCUGAAUACCUUGUUUUCACUCCAGAUACUUCCAUCACCGCUUCAAAUGGCUGAUGCACAAGAAGAGUAGUUGAAUAUACAAACGUUGUCGACAAAUGGAACACGUAAUACAAAAAAAGAUAGCAUGAUAUAAUUCACAUACAUGAUGAUUGGCUAAACAGCAUGGCAUUGCAUAAUUCACAUAUAUAAUGCCUUUGCAACAAGAUAACAUUGUAUAAUUCACAUAUAUAAUGUCUUGCAACAAGAUGGCAAUGCAUAAUUCACAUAUAUGGUAAUUAGACACUGAAUAGGUGGCAUUCACACAAAGCAUGUCUAAACUAAUCAAAUGGCAUAGCAAUGCGAGACAACAUACACACGAUAUGAGCAACAUAACCCUGCCAAGUUAGAGCAUACACCUUGGGGGGGGAUAGGACUGGUCAUCUGUCUCUGAAUCCUCCCCUGAGGAGCUAUCCAUAACUAGCGAGAUAUGCGCUUCGUCAGAUAGCAUAGUUUACUCUGAAGACCUUGUUUUCACUCCAGAAUUUUCCAUCACCGUGUCAAAUGGCUGAUGCACACGAAGAGCAGUUGAAUGUACUAACAUUGUUGACGAAUGUAAUAUGUAACAAAAAAAAGGAUGGCCUGAUAUAAUUUACAUAUAAGAUGACUGGCUAAGCAGGAUGGCAUUGCAAAAUUUACAUAUAUGAUGCCUGGCUAAACAAGGUGGCAUUGCAUAAUUCACAUAAACGAUGAAUAAACUAAACAGAUGGUAUUCGCACAAAGUAUGUCUAAACUAAGCAGAUGACAUAUUUGAUGUAUAAAGUAAGCAAUGCAAGACACCAUAUGCAUGAUAUAACCAACAUCAGCAUGCCAAGGUAGAGCGAAGACCUCAGGGGUUGAAUAGGAGUUAUCUUCUCCUUCUAAAUCCCCCUCAGAAUAGAUAUCUUCCUCUCGAUUACAAUCCGAAAUGCGUGGAGGGGGGGCUACCUUUGCGCCUACCAUGGAGCGACGUCUGCAUGAAAUUAUAUUGCCACGCAAGGCUCGUAUCUUUUGCUCUACAUGUUCAGUUCCAUUGUUUACAAUAAUUGUCAUGCAUAGGAAUAAAACAUAGUGAGAUUAUGUCAGGAGUGCAUGCAGAAAUCCAGAGUGAUGGUAGCAACCUGUGGAUAGACCCAAAACCAAUAAUAGCAGGCAGAUAAUGGCUUCAGUUAAUAAAUACAGAUAAUGGCUUCUUUACUGUUUGUUUCCCACCCAACAUGGAACUCAUAGUAGACACCAGAGAUUAACCAGAUAGUAGAUAGAUACUAUUGAUAGGGGCCCCAAUAUGUACCCCACAACUAUUUAAAAACUCAAGUUUGACCAUUAGUUUGGAGCUGACUCAGAGUCUAAUCGGUGAACAGGACGAUAAAGUAGCAUGUAAUAUUAAGUGAUGCAUAAUGUAAGCAGACACAAAAGAGUGCGACCUCUCUUGCGGACCCGUGUAGUCCUCGAGGUCAUCUGCUCGGUUGAUGCUGGUAAUGCAGUUUUCAUGGCUGCCAGCGGUGGGGAAGAAGAUCUGAGGCCGCGAAAGACAGUCUAGAGGCCGGAUCCCUGAUGUGCUGGACCCUUUUGUCGUUGGAGCAGCUGAGCUGGGGUGGAUGACGGCACAGCAGGACCGGGAUAAACCACGCAAGGUUUUCUUUGACAACUAUCUGUAAGAGAGGUAAUUCUGUAAGGGCUCGUUUGAAUUGUAGGAUUCCAACAAUGCAGGGAUAGGAAAUAGACAUGAAUAGGAUAGGAAUGCACGUGCAAAACAGAGAAUUUAAAAACACAGGAUUUCUGCCAAUCUAGGUGUUUGAUUCAAAACAAUUGGAAGAUCACAAGAUGCAAAGAAGCAUGGUGAGAUUAAGUCAAACCACAAGAAAAUGUACGGUUAUAAUGCUAUUAUGCUACUAUCUCUUAGUCUUGUGCUUCAUGAAUAGGAAUUUGAAAAGGAGGACAAGUGAAAAUUAAAAUUCCUACGUUUUUUUUCUUUUAAGGAGACAUUAAAGGAACAAAUCCGUGUGCUCAGUGGACAAUAUAUAUAACAUGUAGAGUAAAAAAGAGAUGCAACAAGUGUACAACCUCUUUGGCGAAGCCAUGUCGAUCUCAGCGUGAUUGGGUUGGCCGGUGAGGACGCUCUGGCUGACUUUGCUGUUGAAGGAGGGGAAGAAGAUCUUAGGCGUCUGGAGAUGGAGCCCGAGGUACUGCUCCGCUGUGAUGGAGGGUUUCGUCGUUGGAGCAGCUCCGGUGAGUUGUACGACACCGAGGCUGAAGCAGGACAAGAGAGACAACAAACAACGAUAACCUGAGUGGAAUUUUAAUAGCAUCUCCAAUACAUGACGUAAAAUACAUAACCACAAUGUUCUAGAUGUAAAAUACAUCAACCGCUCAUCUCUGAACUUAACUGUCAAAACUGAACUUAACCGUCGAAACUGAACCUAACUAUCAAAACUGAAUUUUGCUACCGAAACUGAAUUUUGCUGUCGAAACUGAACGCAUUAGAAAGGUGAGGCUACACGUCGGUUGACUGACUUUUUCAUCUCUGGUCAAUCUAUUUUGCAGCCGUUGGAUACGAAAUCAAGGGCCUGUGGUUCAUCUUCAACCUCCACCCCCCCUGAGCCGCCAGCCACCACCGGCCAAACUGCAGCCCCCCGCUACCCGUGGCCGGUAAAGCGCCGCUCUGCCCGCCUCGAAAACACUCCCCACCGCCGGUCCGCCGCCGCCCCGGCCAUCCCUCUNNNNNNNNNNNNNNNNNNNNNNNNNNNNNNNNNNNNNNNNNNNNNNNNNNNNNNNNNNNNNNNNNNNNNNNNNNNNNNNNNNNNNNNNNNNNNNNNNNNNNNNNNNNNNNNNNNNNNNNNNNNNNNNNNNNNNNNNNNNNNNNNNNNNNNNNNNNNNNNNNNNNNNNNNNNNNNNNNNNNNNNNNNNNNNNNNNNNNNNNNNNNNNNNNNNNNNNNNNNNNNNNNNNNNNNNNNNNNNNNNNNNNNNNNNNNNNNNNNNNNNNNNNNNNNNNNNNNNNNNNNNNNNNNNNNNNNNNNNNNNNNNNNNNNNNNNNNNNNNNNNNNNNNNNNNNNNNNNNNNNNNNNNNNNNNNNNNNNNNNNNNNNNNNNNNNNNAAUGCUAAGAUAGAUAGUGGGGUACCUCUCCGGCGAGCCCCCUCCCCGCUGUGGCUGGUUCUUCCUUCACCCCUGCGAGCCCACCCCUUGGAAAUCGACUUACCCAAAAGUCGAUUCAGUCGACUGAAGUGUAGCCAAAUCGGAUCAGCAUCGCAAGCAAGAGCAAGAGCGAGAGCAGCAGCGCGAGCAAGAGCAAUAGCAAGAGCAGACCAGGCAGGGGACCGAGAGCAAGAGAAGAGCAGUAGCGCGAGCGCGAGCUAAAGCAGCAGCAACUCCUACUGAUGUGGACGUCGCCGCCGAGGGAGCGACGCCGUGGAGGAAGUGGCCGGCGCCACCGCCGUGGAUGGAGCCGCGCCGUGUCGGCUCGGGACCGAGUGCCGGCAGCACCGUGAGAUCGAAUCAAGAAGAAAAUGCGGCGAUUAGUGUACAACCUCUUUGGUGGCGCCAAUUAGGUCGCAGCUUCAUCCGAGGAAACGGUGAUGAUGAUGCUCUUAUGGUGGUGCAGGUGAAGACGGUGGUGUGGGAAUGGAGGUGUCACGAAAGACGAGGGGAACAUCGGGGCAGCUCCUUGGACGUGGAGGACGAGGUGGCUGAACCGGCGGGACGAUGAGAUCGACGACGGAUCCUCAUCUGGUAUGGUGGAUGAGGGAUGUGGAGGUGUUGCUGUGGACGACGUCGUCGGGGAAGAAGCUCUGGCUGGGUGGCAGAUGGAGCAGGGUGUGGGGUUUCGUCGCGGGUUUUCGCGGCCUCGGUUUAUGAAUGGGUGGGCGGAUGGGAUGGCAGUGGGGAACCAUGGCUUAGAAGACGCGCUUGUCCAAAAUGUGGGGUAAGUUACGAAAGUAACCCCCACUGAUUUGAGGCGGUUCUUUCGGUUCAGGGGUACCACGAGCAUUUCGCGUGUCGGGAUUUCACAGGAGGUGGGAGUUUUCGCGCGUGUUGUAAUUUUGGAAUAGCAAGGCGCGGGUUGAGAUGGAGGGAGUUGUCGGAGCACAACGAGACAAAGAUAUAUCUUAAAUAUUUCGGGCUAACAAGGCGCGGGUUGAAAUUUCCGGACAAGCCUAACGUGUUCUGUACCAAAUCAAUGCGCACUACAAAUGUCAUUCAAAACUUUGAAUUCAUGUUAUGUUCAAUUAAAAUAUUUCGCUACGUGUAUAAUGCAUGCAACCUACUACUCAAAUGAACGUUUUAGUGCAUUCCAAACGUAUAUACUACCGCUUCAAUAUGAACUAAAUUUGAAUAAGAUCUACAGUAAUGAUUGUUGUGAAGUCAAAGUAUUUGAAUUCGUUUCUAUGUUUUAAUAAGAUCUACAAUCAUCAUUAUUGUCAAGUUAAACCAUCGUUUGUGUAUUAUCUUCACAACACACCACAUGAUCAGUAUCGAGUUACAUAUGAACUAUGUGUACUAUAUGAACUCGAACUAGAUUUCUUGAAUCCAGUUUAUUUUGAUUUCAAAUCACAUUACAUUUCUAGCUCUAGCUAGAUCUUCAUAAUCUAAACCAUGUCUCAUAUGUAUAAUGUGUUUAUCACAUUAUGUAUGGUGCCCCGCCCCCUACGCCUACAAGUAUUUAGAUGUGAGUUGCAAACACCACACAUUACCACAAAUUCAAAUAAAAUGUGAGAAUGUUCGAUAUAUAGUAUUGUUUAGAUUGCUCAAUAUUUAGUUGUAAGCUGCAAAAGCCGCACAUUAUCACAAAUUCAACUAAAAUGUGAGAUUGUUUGAUGUAUAGUAUGGUUUAGAUUGUUUGGCAUUUAGCUGUGAGUUGCAAACAUCAUGCAUUAUCACAUUAUGGUAUAACAUGUGCACAGCACGUGUAUCACGGCUAUAUUCAUGCAUGCAAUGUUUAAAACACUAUGAUCUCCUAUUCAAAUAUAUGAAUCCGCUUUCAUAUAAAAUUAUGAUCUUUGUUAGUCUCUUACACCCACACAAUCCUCUAACCUUUGUAGCUACCACUAACUUUCUCUCGUGCAUGCACACGCCCUCCUCACCCUCCCCCUUCCUCGGCAUUAUAUCCACCGGGCACAUUCAUUUUUUCCUUUAGGUCGUUCUCCCAGAGUCUCCACAACUAAUUUUCGACACACACCGAUCGAUAAACCUCUCCAGCGAUGCCUGCCUAUAGCAUACACACACAGCUUCAAUCUCCUCCUUUAUGUGUCCUUGCCUCGUGUCUCUCAUAUGGUCAGACAAACGUGUAAACUCUCACCCCUCUUUUAAUUGAUCUCACAACCGCACACUCCUCCCCCUAUCUAGCUAGUAGUUGGGCCUCUCGCACCACCUCCUAGCUCCAUUCUCUCUGUCUAUCCGUCUCGAUGGGCCUUAUUAGCCUCUAAUAAAUGGACGUACACCGACCGAUCUCUCGCUAUACAUAUAGCCAUCUAGGUCCUUAUAACUCGUUUUUACCCACACAUCGAUCGAUCUACCUCAUUAGUUGUGUCUCUCCCUUCCUCCGACAAACAACAAUUGAUCUACUGAUCUAGUUAGGUUUGCUUACCAAACACAUGGUUCCCCUUCAUCAUCCAUGGAUGCGUCCCGACAGAUCUAUCACGCACAUGCACACACAGAAACACAUCCCAACUCUUAUUGAUAACAUUGCAGUUCCACCCUCAGUUUGUCUAGUAGGCCUCUCCCAACAUCUCCGAGAAGCAACUCCAUCACCCAUCCAGCACUCUACCCCUCUCCCUCCCUCUCCUUCCCUCUCUCUCUCUCUCCUCUCUCUCUCUGUCCCAUCAUAUUUCCCGUCCUUCAGUUAUGUAUGGAUGUCGAUCGAUCUCCCUCAUGACAUAGCUGGGUCUCUCCUUCUCAACACAUAUACGAGUCGUUCUACCUCUAUAGUNNNNNNNNNNNNNNNNNNNNNNNNNNNNNNNNNNNNNNNNNNNNNNNNNNNNNNNNNNNNNNNNNNNNNNNNNNNNNNNNNNNNNNNNNNNNNNNNNNNAGUCAUGUCUCCCUGCCACACACAAACUUGACAUGUGCCCUCCAACGUUCCGGUAGGCCAGUCGCCCUAUAUCUUUGACUUGCACACACACACACGCAAUUUCGAUGGCUCUCUUCAUCGAUCUCGCACCAACCCGUACUUGAUCCUCUCUUCGACUCUAUCAAUAGGUAUGACCCCUCCCUCUCUUUUCGUGGAUUGCCCAACCCUCGAUGUAUGAUAUGGAUAGGCCUCCAUUUCACACACAUUGCAUGCAAAAUUUUGUUUGAGAUGUCAUCGACACAUAUUCCCACAAAUAAUUCACAAAAUCAACCCCACCCCACCCCCACCCCCACCACAAAACAAAAAACACUCACGAACAUGGUUUGUAUCUCUCACACACACCCACGUAGGUGGGGGAUGUGCACGAAGAGAAGAGGUGCAUGCACGGCGCACGUACUCCCGUCUCUUUCCGAACCACACCCGCGCGGGUACACGGUGGAGCUCAUUUCUAUAUGGAAAAGGCAGCCCACGUGGUAAUUUGGCACGUGUACUGGUUGUCCACUUGGUGGAGGGAGGACCGUCUGCCACGGGUGAACAAACAAAUUGCGACUUGACGCGUUAUGUUAAAUUAAAAAAAGAGGCAAACCAUGUGGGGCCUACCUUAGAGGCAAGGCUCUAUACAAUGGAGUACUUUUGAUGUGUCCCGUCAACUCGCAGAACAAGGAGAAACUUGCUUAGUACGCCAUCUCCCCCGCCCACGUGCGCGGUGGCUCGCAGGAUGAGGUGAAGCUUGCUCCUCCCUCGCCCAUGCGCGCGGUGGCUCGCUGGACGAGGAGAAAAAAUUACUACUCCCUCCAUUUACUCCUCGUCCCUAAUACCUUGGUUAUAGAGAUUAUAUCAUAUUGUUUGGAAUAUAUAUGUCCUUAGUAGAUUUCAAUAUGAACUACUAGUACAUACUCCAAACACUGAUGUAUAUAGACGUAUUUUAGAGUGUACAUUCACUCAUUUUGCUCCGUAUGUAGUAGCACUCUCCCUCGCCCCUCGACCCUCGCCCACGUGGUGGACGUGCAGCAAUUCAUUCGGUCUCAUAUAGCUAGAACGAUAUAUACUGCACUACCAUUAUUGCUCAACUUCCCAAAGAGGCGAAGAGCCAAUCGCAAGGUUAAUAUUUUGGAGAUGCCAAGCGCAAGGUUAUAGGAGAACGAGUAGUAGGUGCCCCGUCAUUUAUAAAUAUAUUUUUUUCUUCAGUGGCACGUACGCAAUGUGAUAGGUUCAUAUGGAGAGAAAAGGAAACCGCUCCACUAUAUACAUAGUCAGGACGGGCCAGCCUACACGGUUGCUUGCUGGGGUUGCUCUCUUCACACUCUCUCGCACAAAACGACUGUGGCCAUAUCUCUAACAUCCCGGCGGUUCACGUCCGCUUGGGGAAGGGGUGGAUGCUUAGUGUAGAUGCAGUGGCCGUCGCCGACGGCGAAAACCCACUGUCGGCACGUCCCGAUCACGGGUCCCCGCCAUUCUCUCUCACAAAGCCGGUGAGGUUGCCUUCGUCCCUUGCUUACUGCCGCGACGUUGGCAGUUGCCGCCUCCCACCGCCCUCCUCAAGGUCGAGCUAUGUCCCUCAGGUACAACUCCCUUUACAGCCGGCUUGCACCACUGCUCCAGCUGCCCACAUCACUCCCUGUGGAUAUUUCUCUACUUCUUUGCCCCGCACAUACCUGAUACAUCUACUGGCUUCUACGUACUGUAUUUGUGAUGAGUUUAUGUCUCAUCAACUAGUCCUAGUAAUCUUAUUCUAAUCACGCUUCUUCAAUUUCUUUGCCACAGGGUUGCUCAUCUUGAUUUUGGUGAAACUGCACAAAAUGAUCCGAUGGUCAAAAGGUUGCAAACUUCAUUUAUUAGGAAGCUCGAACGUUGCCAGCAAAUUGAGGCCUGGUCAGGGUUCACGGUUCAAGGGCUAGGGACUAUAUGGAUCGUUUUUUUCUUUAGCUGCCUCUGUUCCAAAAUAAGUGUCAACUUUAGUAGUAGUACAACUUUGUACUAAAGUUUGCACAAAGUUGAGGCACCUAUUUUGGAACGGAGGGAGUACAUAUUUGCUAUGAUCUGUCAAUCAUUGAGAUGCAAUAGCAUGCAUGUUAGUCUCCUUUGUAUUUGAUGAAAUGUUGCAACGGGCAACCUUGGACGCAAGAUACAUGUAACAGGAGCUGGAAGCUUCAUAGCAUUCUACAAAUUUAUCUCGCUGAUAAAUUACAGUACGUACUAGUACUAUACUAGUACUUCCUCCAUUCCUAAAUACAAGUCUUUGUAGAGAUUCACCAUUAACCACAUGCGGAUGUAUAUAGAUGCAUUUUAAGUGUAGAUUCAUUCAUUUUGUUCCGUAUGUAGUUCACCUAGUGGAAUCUCUACAAAGACUUAUCUACUAGUAAUAGCUAGCCCCCACUACUAGGAAUUCUCUAUCCUCUCCUUGAGCCACAUCAUCAAAAUUGACGUAGCCGUUAGAUGAAGUAAAUUAGUCAUAAUAGCCGUCUGAUCUAGAUGUUGAGAGGCUCAGCACUAAGCCACAUGCAAGCAUGCAGAAAUACCGUGGCACAUGCAUGUGAGUGGGUUUUAAAUCACAUCAACAUGUCUGCAUGCAAGCAUGCACCGGUAGCAUGCAUGUAAGUGAGCUUUUAAGUCCCAUUAACAUGUCAAAAAGAAAAAUAUAAUCCCAUUAUGCAGUAGGAGUUGGCUGAUCUUUUUUCCUUAUGUGGGAUGAUCUAAAUGAUGAUGGGAGUUUAUUUAGUUUGGCUACCACAUUUGUCAUGCGGCUAUAGAUUUUUUUUUUAGUUCUAUGAAAUCGAUAAUUUUAGGCAGAGAGAUAUACCAUUGUUCCGCGGCAACGAGCGGGGACUCAUCUAGUAAUAUUUAGGAACGGAGGGAGUACUAUGUAAAGAGUUAGGUGUUGCACGGUGAUAGGGUCAGGUGGGCCAUGUAAUCACUGAGCCUGCGUGUUUUCACUGCUCUUGCACUCCUCCGCUGUAAGAAUGGAGAAAAUUGCAAUCUACUACCUCCUUUCGCUGAAAGCGUGGGACAUCCAGCAGUCCAACCACCACAGUAAUAAAGACCAAUGAGCCGUCAAAUCACAUAGACCCAGAAGUAAGUUGGACGGACGAAGCAACCAUCACUCUUGCGCCAGUGAGAGGUCGUGUCCGCUCUACCCGGGCAUGAAUGCGGCACCGAUUCCUUGCAGUGGCACUGACCGUUUCAGGAGGAAAGUGCGCGCGGGCGGUGGUGGGGCUUUGGGUGGGACAGGCUGGUCAGGAGCGGGCGUGGCAGCUGUCCGUAUGUCCCUACCGGACACGCCGGGAAACGAGAGGAUGCACCGACUCUCGCGGAGUCGUACACUACACACCAUAUCUCUGUAGGAGUAGGUCGAUCUGUCGCACUCUCUAACACACACAUGUUGUUAAACACACACACGCACACGCACGCACCUUGGUCCUGUUGCACCUUCUAACGUGACUUAUUACACUUAGACGGAGGGAGUAGUAAGUAUACGAGAUACGGUGGCACACUGACUUAAGUCGAAUACAAGUGCCCAAAAUUUGUGUGCAUGUUAUAAUAAGGAUUCACUUAAAAUAGUACGUGAGCAAACAGAGGGAUCAAUUGGACAGUGUUCCCGAGAAGUAGCGAGAUGUGUGAGGUAGUAAGAUACACCGCUGGCGCUUCUAAUUUUUCUUAUUAAUUUGUUUGUUUCACCCUCUGACUGGUGGGACCCAACGUACUACAUGGAGAGAGGUAAGGUGACUAAGGCUGCAUUAUUUCCGCACCACUGUGGAUAGUCUUACCACCAAAGCCACAUGACAUGAUUAUGAUUGAAAUCCUAAUGACUCCCACACACACAAAAAAAACACGGCAUGCCUGUCACACGUAUGCAGGAAUGUAUAAAGGGUAUUUUCCUCUCGUUGAACAUAACGGGAGGGUUGUGUAGCUGGUUAGACUAUUCGCUCAUCAAACUUGAGGUCUCGGGUUCGAUAACUACACUUGAGCAUAAUUUUAGCCAGGAGGAUUCUUUGACUGGUCAAAAUGUUUUCUAGGGUUUGCACACUUCACACUCUCUCUCCAGUAUAUAUAUAUAUACACGCUGGAGCCUCAAGGCUUGUAGUUGCUCUCUUCACACUCUCUCGCCCUCUCCCGCUGGAUCCUCAACGCUUGUAGUUGCUCUCUUCACACUCUCUCGCCCUCUCCAGAUCUAAACAAGACUUCGUUCUCCUCUCUCUCCCCUCACUGCUGCUCAAAGAGCCAGCAGGAUCCGUCCACCGGGAAGGGAAGGAGGAUUAACGCUGUCACCGUUGGCGAGGGAGGGAAUCCACUACUGGCGCUGCUGUUCACUUUCCACCCAGCGGCGGCGCGGGAGGGCCUCCGACCCCUUCUUCUUCGCCGCCGUCCCGUCGCCCAGCGAACCACGCCCCAAGAACCUUAAGGUAUAUUUUACUUACUCCACAUGCAUUGCUCUAGCUGCAUGUAUACCAUGAAUCUAGGACAUGGUUCAAAGAGGAAAGGAGUGGGGGAAAGUAGUGGGAAAAGUUGUAUAUAGCAUGAAUCUAGGAUGUGGUUCAAAGAGGAAAUGAAGGGGGAAAGUUGUAUAGCAUGAAUCUAGGACGUGGUUCAAAGAGGAAAGGAAUGGUGGAAAGUAGUGGGGAAAGUUGUAUCACAUAAAUCUAGGACGUGGUUCAAAGAGGAAAGGAAGGGGCAAAAGUACUAGUUCAAAAAGGAAAGGAAGGGACAAGGCUGUAGAGUCUGAGCAGGACUAGAUUUGCUGCGCUCACAUAGGGAAAGGUGUCUAAAGAUAACAAAACUGGGACCAACACAAAUAUGCUCCUUGGUUGUUUGUUCUUUGUUGCAACAGACUGUGCAUGACCAUAGUACAUCGGUAGAUGCACAUGGUGCUCGUGCAUCCACUGUCCCGUGCAACUCAUUAGCUGUUGUUAAUCUAUGGCCAUGCUUGGUUAAAAACUCCCUAGUCCCUACCUGCUUGGUUCUAGGGACUAAACAUGGACUAGAGGUUAUUAAAUGACAUGAUAAAAGACCAUGUUACCCCUAGUAAUGAACUAAUAGAAACAAGGUGCGAUGCGUGGCAGGGGCAACUGUUAGAAAAAGUCCCAAAAAGACUCCCUCGAGGUCUUCUUUCUUUAGUCCCAAAUGCCCACUUUUAGUCUUAAAAAGUCCCUCCUGUUUGGUUUAGAUGUGACUGACACGGAGUUUUUUAGUGCCUACACCAAAAUGUCCCUGUAAACAAACACCCUCUAAUAAUGCCGCUAGAUAAUUGAUGCAAUGCCACAGUUAAAAGCAAAUUACAUGUUUAACGAAUUUUAUUGUUAAUAUAAUCUCUAUGUUAAUAUUAAUCAAUGCCACCGUUUGAGAAAUGCUAUUAUCUUGCUUUCUUUCCCAUUUAGAUAAGGUAGAUUCUUCUUUUUGUUGGCUUCUGUGUCAUCCACCGUUAUUGACCACUAAUUGUUUCCUUUGCAGCUCUGUGUAAACAGUGUUAUCUACUUCACCUUGUUACCCUUAUGACCUUUUGUUGCACUGCACAAAACACUUUUGUUUUAAGAGUGUUUUGUGCAGUUCAACCAAAAUGUCACACCGACAACGUUGCUUGAUUGCUUGAUCUUAGUGGAACUCCACAAGAGGAGAUCUUACUUCCUAUCCGUUAAGGACGAUUUGGUUCAGAUCUUAUUCUUGUGAGUUGUUUGAAUUCCGCAUCAUGAGAGGUCAGUACUAGCCUUCUUUCACAUGAUUCUGCAGUGUGCUUUCAUAUGUUGUGCUACUUGUACGAUAAUGUUGCUUGAUUUUAGUGAACUGCACAAAUGGAGACAAGACUUCCAAUCUGUAUGUGCACCGUAAUAUCCCAUUGAGGUAAGAUAAGGAUAUUUCACAACUGCUGGCCUGUAUUUUGCCACUUUAGUAGCAGCGUGGGUUUAGGGCCUAUUAGUAGCGCGGGGGGCAGCGCUACUAAUAAGGCGCUACAGCUAACUUAUAGCAGUAGCGCGGGUGCCACCCGCGCUACUACUACCAGCGCGGGUUUUUUUUGAUUUUUUCCAAAAAAAUAUUUCGAUUUUUCCCUAAUUUUCAAAUUUCUGAAUUAUUUUAAUCAUCCCUCAUCGCUGCUCAAUUUAAUCUCUAAUCACCCCUCAUCAUUCGAAAUCAUCUAACUUCCCGGACGGUCACCCAUCCUCUCACUACUCCAGCCUGAGCACGCUUAACUUCCGGGUUCUAUUCUCCCUCGUUUCCAAGUCUGCACUUGUUGUUUUCCUGACAAUAGUAAGAUGUCAAUCCUAUUAACCUCAGGAAUUUAGCUUGAGCAUGAAGUCACACAUUUCACUAUUUGACUUUGAAACUAUUGUUCUAAAAAAUUAGUAACACUAAUAUUUCUCGAAUAAUUAGUUUGACCACAGUUUGACCAGAUUUGACCAAAAUUCAAAAUAACUAAAAUAAUUAUUUAGUAAAACUAAUAUUCUAGAAUAAUUAGUUUGACCAUUGUUUGUCCACAGUUUGACCACACAGUUUGAAAUUUUUUCGAUUUUUUCCACUCUAAAUCUUAAAAGCCCCAUAACUUUUUUUCUGUUUGGUUUUUGAGGAUUUAAAAAAUGAUUAACGGGGUUCCCCCGGUUAAAUUUGGAUGUAACUUUUCGAGUAGAUGAUUUCUCAUAUAAAAAACUUUUUCAUCCGAGUUAGUAUGCAAAAGUUAUGCCCAUUUUUACAAAUUCUCGAGAGAUUUUGCAAAUAAAGUCGAAAUUCAUAUUUGCAAAUUUUCCCAACAACUAGACCACAUAUCAGAUGGGAAACUUAUUUUCUUUUAUUUUUUUGACAUUUUCAUCAUUUUCUUUUAUUUUUUUAAAACUGAAAAGGCGAUCCACAAGGGAGGUAGAGUUUCAAAAUGGGACCUUUAGUAGCAGCGCGGUUUUUUACCCCCUCGCUACUACUAUGGCACCACUUAGUAGUAGCGAGGGCUAAAAACCAACGCUACUGCUAGCAAACUUAGUAGUAGCGAGGUUUUAAAAACCCGCGCUACUACUAUGGCUUGUCCCGGGCGGCACGGUAGAGACCGCUUAGUAGUAGCGAGGGUUAAAAACCCGCGCUACUGCUAUAAACUUAGUAGUAGCGAGGUUUAAAAACCUGCGCUACUGGUAAGUAGCAGUAGCGAGGGUUUUUAACCCUCGCUACUAGUAACUUUCUGUGUAUAGGCUUUUCCCUAGUAGUGUGACUUAACUGCAGGUGCAGUUGCGUAACUGACAUGUGGCCUGUUGGGCCCACGUGUCAGUCAGCCAACUGCACCAGCAGUUAAGUAGAAGCAGUGUUCUUCUCCUGCGCAGCUCUCCGACUCCACGUCGCCGCCAAGAAGCUAACUGGUCGUCAAUGGUCAACCCGCCUAGCUUGGCUUCAACCGGAGGGUAGCAGCGGUGGCCUUACUUGGACCCGAGCGGCGACGACCUACCGUGUUCUACUCUUCCUUGUUUUCUAUGUGGCGCAACCUCGUUGGCAGCGGGGCGGGGCCUCGGCGGAGCCGGUGAUGCCUCUGUCUCGUUGCCGGCGGGCGGCGCCUCAGCGAAGCGGUGGAAAUCCUCCCCCAUGUUGCCGGCAUGGUGGGUCCUCAGCUCAGCCGGCGAUGUCCUUUGCCUCGUUGUUGGAGGGGCGGGGCCUCGGCGGAGCCGGCGGUGUCCUUUGCCUCGUUGUUGGCGCCGCGGGGCCUCGGCGGAGCCGGCGGUGUCCUCUGCCUCGUUCUUGGCGCCGCGGGGGGUCGGUGGAGCAGGGCGUCAUUAACGCCAGUGGAGCGGGGACUCGUCGGAGCCGGCAUUGUCCUCUGCCUCGUCCUCGGUCUCGCCGAACAUCACCUUGUCCGCUUCAUCGCCCUUUUGCUAGCCUCUUUGUAGGCGACCGCAGCCUCCGCCACCUGCAUGCGGUACCGCCAGCGCUCGAGGCGGCACUUGCGGGCGGAGCGGUACGAGUCGAGCAAUGCCUCCUGCUCCGCCCGCGCCGCGACGAUCUGCUCCUCCGCCUGCAGGUGCUCCUGGAGGAGAUGGUGGUUGUAGGCGGUGUCGGCCUGCGCCUCCCGGAACUGCUCCUCACGCAUCUGCCUCACCCUAUCCAUAUAUUGGGCACGGGCCUCGCCGAUCGUCAUGGUGCAAUGCACCGGCGAGGAUGGCGCGGACCAAGCAGCUCGAGCAGUAUUUGUGUUUUUGAGGUGUGAGCACUACAGAGUUUUUCGAUGUUUACCCCAGAUAUUAAUUUUUCUCCUCUGAACAACAACGUAAACAUCGUUGCAGGUAUUAACUGGGCAGGCUGUGGCCCAUCUAGCCCAGGCCAGAUAUCCAGCCCAGAUAUUAAUUUUUUUCAAGCUGAAAAUGGCUAGCCCAACUAUACUUUUUUUAGGAAUACCCAGGCAAGGUCAAGUUGUUAUUCUCCGCCCCGCUGGGCUGCAAAUCUUUCCUAGGAGGGAUGCAUUAGGCUUAACAAGGAAAUGGGCUUUAAGAAAUAAUAAAUGGGAUGUAAUUAUAAAAAUAGGGUAGUAACUAUAAAAAAAUGCACCAAACAGUGAUUACUUUAUAAAAUAUUAUUUUUGGAAUAUUGAAAAUUUUAAUUUCAUUAAUUGUUGCGAGAGGAAUGUUUCGUUGGAUUUUUACGGAAUAUAAAUUUAUAUUGAAAUUGUAUUUAAUUUGACUAAAAUUUCAGGAUAAAAAUAUUCGGAUCCCAUCAAAAUGUGGGAAAUUUUAUUGAAUUCUGUUUUGAACGGUUGGUUGAAAUGGCUGUACUUUUAACAAACUGUAAAUGGGCUGUAGUAAAUUCCAUUAGAAUUCAAAAAUGGGCUAACACAUUCUUACAAAUCUCAAAUGGGCUAUAAGUUCUCUGCCACACACUUCUGGCCUUACUAAGUUCACGCGUCCCCUAAAAAAUAGAGUUGACAGGUAUGCAAGGCUUUGUCAACUUAUAGUCAACACACGGUUCUAGUAGCAGUGGCCGUUGGAUGUCCAUCCAACAGAUGCCGUGCUUCUUCUUCAAUCUCGGAUAUUCUAGCUUCACUCGCCAAAAAAAUGAUUCAUCCCCCUAACAUCUGGGGUGCACCAUUUUGGAAGCUGACCUGUGGGCCUACUAAGUUGACGUACCAAGGGCUUUGUCAACUUAGUCAAUAUAAACGAUUCUAGCUGCAGUGACCGUACGAUGUCCAUCCAACGGCCGUCGUGCUUCUUCAACCUCUGGUCUUCUUGCUCCAGCCGCCCAAAGCAGCACCGGUCGUGCCGCCUGCUCCUGCCUCCCGUGGCCGGCUGUGCUGCCGCGAAGGCCUCAUCGCCCCCUACUACUCCCACCGCUGGCCAGGCCAUCCCUCCACUCACCCACACCCCUUGUUAUUCUGCGGCGACGGCAGCGCAGCAGAACCAGUGAACCCUCGUACUCCUCUCCGCGUGUGCAUCCACUGCCGCGUCUUCCCUGGCUCCGCGUCGUCCCCUUCCUAGGCCUCGCUGGUCAAGGAACGACUUCCAUCAGACGUGGACUGUACGUGAAGAGGCUGACAGCUGGGUCCACGGCAGCCGCAAGGAAGUGCCUCCUUAUUACACGCAAAAUAGUUAUUCCUCCACCUCACAGCGGGGACCCACCGGACGGGCCACCGUAUUUCGCGAAAAAAAUGAUUUGCCCCCUGACUGCUGGGACCCACGAGCUACAUAUUCGCACGCAAGGAAGUGCGUCCGAAAAAAGAACAAUUCGCCCCCCUGACUGCUGGGACCCACCAGCUACAUCUUUGCACGCAAGGAAGUGCGUCCGAAAAAAAAACGAUUCGCCCCCCGACUGUUGGAACCCACCAGCUACACCUUCGCACGCAAGGAAGUGCAUCCGGCAAAAAAAAACGAUUCACCCCUGACUGCUGGGACCCAGCAGCUACACCUUCGCACGCAAGGAAGUGCGUCCGGGUAAAAAAAAUGAUUUGCCCCCCCUGACUGCUGGGACCCAGGAGCUACACCUUCGCACGCAAGGAAGUGCGUCCGGGCAAAAGAAUAACGAUUCGCCCCCCUGACUGCUGGGACCCACCAGCUACAUCUUCGCAGGCAAGAAAGUGCCUAACAGUCGGGACCCACCUGGUCGAAGCGUACGUAGCGUUGUCAUCCUGUUCAUGAACGUGUACGUACAUACUGGUCGAUGUAGAGGCGUGCACGUGUCGUAGUAGAGGCGUGCACGUGUCGUAGUAGAGGCGCGCAUGUAGCAUGUACACGUACGUACAGCGGCCAGGGUGCAAGAAAGAAAAUACGGUCACGUAUGUGUACAUACGGGUGGGGUCUCGAACGCCUAGUCGCGCAUAGUACGGCGAGGGCUCGUGUUCAUGGGGAGGCAAUGGAAUGCGUCGUAUUCAUGUGGAGGCAAUGGAAUGCGUCGUGUUCAUGGGGAGGCAACGGAAUGCGUCGUGUUCAUGGGGAGGCAACGGAAUGCGCCGUGUUCAUCGGGAGGCAACGGAACGCGUGGGAGCCAACCGGCUGGGUCGGAACGGAAUGCGUGGUCGUGUUCAUCAGGAGGGCUUGGACGGAACAGGUGGUGGAAACGAGGCCUGGCGUACCGCACAAUGGAGGAAACGGACCUCCUAUGUUUGGAACGGGGUCCUGUUGAUCGGGAGGGGUGUGGCGUACCGCAAAACGGAGGAAACGGACCUCCUAUGGNNNNNNNNNNNNNNNNNNNNNNNNNNNNNNNNNNNNNNNNNNNNNNNNNNNNNNNNNNNNNNNNNNNNNNNNNNNNNNNNNNNNNNNNNNNNNNNNNNNNNNNNNNNNNNNNNNNNNNNNNNNNNNNNNNNNNNNNNNNNNNNNNNNNNNNNNNNNNNNNNNNNNNNNNNNNNNNNNNNNNNNNNNNNNNNNNNNNNNNNNNNNNNNNNNNNNNNNNNNNNNNNNNNNNNNNNNNNNNNNNNNNNNNNNNNNNNNNNNNNNNNNNNNNNNNNNNNNNNNNNNNNNNNNNNNNNNNNNNNNNNNNNNNNNNNNNNNNNNNNNNNNNNNNNNNNNNNNNNNNNNNNNNNNNNNNNNNNNNNNNNNNNNNNNNNNNNNNNNNNNNNNNNNNNNNNNNNNNNNNNNNNNNNNNNNNNNNNNNNNNNNNNNNNNNNNNNNNNNNNNNNNNNNNNNNNNNNNNNNNNNNNNNNNNNNNNNNNNNNNNNNNNNNNNNNNNNNNNNNNNNNNNNNNNNNNNNNNNNNNNNNNNNNNNNNNNNNNNNNNNNNNNNNNNNNNNNNNNNNNNNNNNNNNNNNNNNNNNNNNNNNNNNNNNNNNNNNNNNNNNNNNNNNNNNNNNNNNNNNNNNNNNNNNNNNNNNNNNNNNNNNNNNNNNNNNNNNNNNNNNNNNNNNNNNNNNNNNNNNNNNNNNNNNNNNNNNNNNNNNNNNNNNNNNNNNNNNNNNNNNNNNNNNNNNNNNNNNNNCUGUUCAUCCAAUCGAUCGGCUUCAGUUAGCAGUAGUAGCGAAGGAAUCGCUCCAUCGGGUUCAGUUAACAACCAUCGAUCGAUCCCUCGGGUUCAGUAACACGUAGCCUGCAGUGCAAUCGCUCGGGUUCAGUUAGAGCCCAACGCCUCGCUCGGGUUCAGCUAGAGCCAACGCCUCGCACACACACGCGUACGUACGAGAGAAACGCGCAUCGCUCGGCCCCCGACCUCCCACCGUAACCGGCAACUCCCCGAAAUUUUCCUCCCCCUUGCUUCUACCACGGUUUUUUCCGUCAUGGACGACUCAAAGAAUGUCAUGCAACUGCGUCUCCGGCCCGCCUAGGACGAAAAGCCCAUUUUCUAUCAUGAUUUUUUGUCAUAGAAGUAGGAGCGCACCACAUCUAUGAUGAUACCGGGUUUUCUCACAAUUAUCGUCAUAGAAGUGUCAUAUGUAUGACAGAAAAAAAAAUUGUUCGGCCCAAAAUGUCACGGAUGUGUCUUUUUUUUGUAGUGUGCCUAACCGAUAAACGAUAGUAGUAAUUCGAUAAGAUACAUCAUGGUACGCACCAUAUUCAAUAGGGUGCAUUUAUGAUGUUCGGACACACCAUCACACUAUGGUGUUCCAGGCGGUAUUAGUUGUGAAACAAUUUCCACAAUGUCUUAAUUGUUUACCAAAAUCGCAACUCAGAUAUUCAUCUCUAUGAUCAUAUCAUAGACAUUUUAUCCUCUUGUCACGAAGAUCUUCAACUUCACUCUGAAAUUACUUGAACCUUUCAAUAAUUCAGAUUUGUGUUUCAUCAAGUAAAUAUACUCAUCAUCUACUCAAAUCAUCUGUGAAGUAAGAGCAUAACGAUAUCCACUUUGUGCCUCAGCACUCAUUGGAUUGCACCCAUCAAAAUGUAUUACUUCCAACAAGUUGCUUUCUUGUUCCAUCUCACUGAAAACGAGGCCUUUCAGUCAUCUUUCCCAUGUGGUAUGAUUUGCAUGUCUCAGGUGAUUCAAAAUCAAGUGAGUCCAAAUGAUCCAUCUGCAUGGAGUUUCUUCAUGCGUAUAUACCAAUAGACUUGGUUCGCAUGUCUCAAACUUUAGUGUAAAGAUCCAUCAACAUAGAGCUUCUUUAUGUGUUUUAUACCAAUAUGACUCAAAUGGCAGUGCCACAAGUAGGUGAUACUAUCAUUACUAUCUUUUGGCUUGAACAUGUGUAUCACUACGAUCGAGAUUAAAUAAACCAUUCAUUUUAGGUGCAAGAACAUUGAAGGUAUUAUUCAAAUGAACAGAGUAACCAUUAUUCUCCUUAUUUUUAUAAUCGUAUUGCGAUAAACAUAAUCCAAUCAUGUCUAUGCUCAAUGCAAACACCAAAUAAUUAUUAUUUAGGUUUAACACCAAUCCCGAUGGUAGAGGGAGCAUGCGAUGUUUGAUCACAUCAACCUUGGAAACACUUCCAACACACAUCAUCAUCUCACCUUUAGCUAGUCUUUGUUUAUUCCGUAGCUUUUAUUUCGAGUUACCAACACUUAGCAACCGAACCGGUAUCUAAUACCCUGGUGCUACUAGGAGUACUAGUAAAGUACACAUUAAUAUAAUGUAUAUCCAAUAUACUUCUGUCGAUCUUACCAGCCUUCUCAUCUACCAAGUAUCUAGGGUAGUUCUGCUACAGUGACCGUUCCCCUCAUUACAGAAGCACUUAGUCUCGGGUUUGGGUUCUACCUUGGGUUUCUUCACUAGAGCAGCAACUGAUUUACCGUUUCGUGAAGUAUCCCUUCUUGCCCUUGCCCUUCCUGAAACUAGUGGUUUUACUAAACAUCAACAAUUGAUGCUCCUACUUGAUUUCUACUUUCGCGGUGUCAAACAUCGCGAAUAACUCAAGGAUCAUCAUAUCUACCCCUGAUAUGUCAUAGUUCAUCACGAAGCUCUAGUAGCUUGGUGGCAGUGACUUUGGAGAACCAUCACUAUCUCAUCUUGAAGAUCAACUCCCACUCGAUUCAAGCGAUUGUAGUACUCAGACAAUCUGAGCACAUGCUCAACAAUUUGAGCUUUUCUCUCUUAGUUUGUAGGCUAAGAAAUUCGUCAGAGGUCUCAUACCUCUUGACGUGUGCACUAGCAUGAAAUCCCAAUUUCAGUCCUUGGAACAUCUCAUAUGUUCUGCGUAAUUUCAAAAAACGUCUUUGGCACCUCAAUUCUAAACCGUUUAGCAUUACGCACUGAACUAUCACGUAGUCAUCAAUACGUGUAUGUCAGAUGUUCGCAACAUCCACAAAUUACGCUCGAGGUUCAGCACACCGAGCAGUGCAUUAAGGACAUAAUCCUUCUCACAGCAAUGAGGACAAUCCUCAGUUUACGGACCCAGUCCGCAUAAUUGCUACUGCCAACUCUCAACUAAAUUUUCUCUAGGAACAUAUCUAAAAUAGUAGAACUGAAACAUGAGCUACGACAUAAUUUGCAAAGACCUUUUGACUAUGUUCAUGAUAAUUGAGUUCAUCUAUGAGGCUUCUACACCAGGUAUGAUGCCUUUAAAGGUUGUCUUUGUGGGUUUAAUCCCUGAGGGAUCUAUACCCAUUUUUCGCACUGUAUCCUAAUAGAGCACGUUCAGGCUGCUGCCGCCGUCCAUGAGGACUUUAGUGAGGUGAAAUCCGUCAAUGAUUGGGUCUAGGACCAAUGCGGCGAAUCCGCCGUGAUGGAUGCUUGUGGGGUGGUCCCAUCGAUCAAAGGUGAUCGGGCAGGAGGACCAUGGGUUGAACUUUAGGGCGACUGGCUCCAACGCAUAGACGUCCUUGAGGGCACACUUCCGCUCCCUUCUCGGGAUGUGGGUUGCGUAUAUCAUGUUCACCGUCCGCACUUGCGGGGGGAAGCCCUUCUGUCCUCUGUUGUUCAGCGGCCGGGGCUCCUCCUCGUCACCGCUACGCAGCCCCUUGUCUCUGGUUUCGACACUUAACUUGCCUGCCUGCUUGAACACCCAACAGUCCCUGUUGGUUUGGUUGGCUGGUUGUUCGGGGGUGCCGUGUAUCUGGCACAAGCGAUCGAGUAUCCGGUGUAAGUUGGAUGGGCCCGGAGGGUUUCUUUUGAAUGGCUUCUUCCGCUGACCGGGUUUAGAGCCUCUGAAUCCGGCAUUGACUACCGUAUCCUUAGUAUUGUCGCCAUUAAUGCGGCGCUUGUGCUUGUUGCGACGUGACCUACCAUUGUUGUCCUUGGUAUCCGAAUUGCCAGGGCUCUUGGUUAUGUUAUUGCUACGAGCUAGCCAGCUCUCUUGGUUAGGAACCGUGUCCAGAAUUGUCUGGCCGAUUCCUCUGGCUGCUGGAUUAUGUGGCUUAGGUCAUCGGCGUCUGGUGGUUGCACAUAAGUGCCCUGGAAGUUAUCGAGGAAUGCGGAUUCCAGGUCCUCCCAGCAACUUAUUGACUCUGCUGGCAGGCUGUUAAGCCAAUGCUGAGCAGGUCCUUUAAGCUUGAGCGGGAGGUAUUUGAUGGCAUGUAGAUCAUCACCACGGGCCAUGUGGAUAUGAAGGAGAUAAUCCUCGAUACAUACCGCGGGAUCUGUUGUGCCAUCGUAUGAUUCGAUGUUUACGGGUUUAAAACCCUCUGGGAUUUGAUGAUCCAUUACUUCGUCUGUGAAGCAUAGUGGGUGUGCGGCGCCCCUAUAUUGGGCUAUAUCGCGACGUAGCUCGGAUGAGCUUUGUCUGUUGUAUUCGGCGCCGGGUUGCGGCUUGGAUUGAGGGUCGAAAGGCCUCUCUGUCGCGACCACGGUGUGGCCGAUCGGGCGCAUCGUACGCUGGUGAUGUAGGUUUAGUUGCUUCCUCCUCUAGUUGGGGUAGCAGCCUGCGCUUUGGGUAACUCUUGGAGGGGCGUUCGAGUUUAUACUCUUCGGCCGCCAGGACUUCGGUCCAUUUGUCGGCUAGUAGGUCAUGGUCAGCUCUAAGCUGCUGCUGUUUUUUCUUGAGGCUGCUUGCCAUGGCCAUAAGCCUGCGUUUGAAAUGCUCUUGUUCGAUGGGAUCCUCUGGCACGACGAAUUCGUUGUCGUCGAGGCUUGCCUCAUCUUUGGAGGGAGGCAUAUAAUUGUCGUCCUCGACCUCUGUGCCUGCCGCUCUAUCAUGAGGGCUGGCUCCUUCAUCCUCCCGCGUUGAAUCCUGCUGGAGGGGGUCGUCUUCGGCACUGUCCGGGGUGUUGACGUCUCCGGUGCCGGAUUCGCCGUUCUUGCUUUGGCGGGAUUUAGAGCGCCGCUGCUGACGUUGGCGCUUGGGUUGCUUCUUGGAGGGGUCAUCAUCCGCUUUUUCAUCGCCAUCCCCUGCUUUUGGGGUGUCCACCAUGUAUAUGUCAUAUGACAAGGUGGCCUUCCAGUGCCCUAUAGGUGCUGGUUCUUGGUCGCCUCCCGCAUCGGCGUCCAUACCAUCGGAGUCCGGCACCUUGGAGUCACAGUCCUUGCAAAGGACUAGGCUGGUAUUCGGCUCUAUCGCCAUAGACAUUGCGGCUUUAGGGGCGGCGUCCAACCAUCCGUCCCUGACUAGCGCAGUCGGCUCCGAGCUGAUGGUCAGAGCGGACACCUGAGCGGCACUCUGGGCGCUGCCCGGCGGCAGAGCUAGAUCAUGCCCAUUGAGACAGUGCGGCUGGCUCGGCCGUGGCUCGAAUCCAUCGAAGAUAAAGUCCCCGCGGAUGUCGGCUGUGUAGUUUAGGCUUCCAAACCUGACCUGAUGGCCAGGGGCGUAGCUUCUGAUCUGCUCCAGAUGGCCAAGCGAGUUGGCCCGCAGUGCAAACCCGCCGAAUAUGAAGAUCUCUCCGGGCCGAAAAGUCUCACCCUGGACUGUUUCGUGGUUGACGAUCGAAGAAGCCAUCGGGCCUCAAGGUGACGACACAGAGGAACUCUCAAUGAAAGGACCAAUGUCGGUGUCAAAACCGGCGGAUCUCGGGUAGGGGGGCCCGAACUGUGUGUCUAGGCGGAUGGUAACAGGAGACAAGGGACACGAUGUUUUUACCCAGGUUCGGGCCCUCCCGGUGGAGGUAAAACCCUACUCAUUCUUGAUUAAUAUUCAUGAUAUGGGUAGUACAAGAGUUGAUCUACCACGAGAUCAGAGAGGCUAAACCCUAGAAUCUAGCCUAUGGUAUGAUUGUUGUUCGUCCUACGGACUAAAACUCUCCGGUUUAUAUAGACACCGGAGAGGGCUAGGGUUACACAGAGUCGGUUACAAUGGGAGGAGAUCUUCAUAUCGUAUCGCCAAGCUUGUCUUCCACGCCAAGGAAAGUCCCUAUCCGUACACGGGACGGAGUCUUCAAUCUUGUAUCUUCAUAGUCCGGGAGUCCGGCCAAUGGUCAUAGUCUGGCCAUCUGGACACCCCCUAAUCCAUGACUCCCUCAGUAGCCCCUGAACCUGGCUUCAACGACGACGAGUCCGGCGCACAAAUUGUCUUCAGUGUUGCAAGGCGGGUUCCUCCUCCGAAUACUUCAUAAAAGAUGUUGUACACAAGGAUAGUGUCCGGCUUUGCAAAAAUAAGUUCCACAUACCACCGUCGAGAGAAUAAUAUCUGCACAAAUAAUCUGCUGACGUAUUCCGCAACAUGGCAUCACGCCGCAGUCAAGACUUCAUUCGAAUGGUUUUACCGUUCCACCUCAGCGCAUUUAGCAAGGCGGUUUCCUUGGCACGUCUUGUCGAAGCAGAGAUCGUGUCCCCUUAUUCCGGGAUUCUCAUCAAUACGGGCGUGGGUAACCCAACCGCGCCAUUAACUAUGGCGCUUGGGGGAUAAGCGAGUUUUAUUAGGCCGGUGGGGGCUCGUAGUUUCGGCCGCCCAUAUAAGGGAAUAAGGAUCUACCCUUUCCAUUUAUGCCUUCUUCCUCCUUUUCUUAUCCCUCCCUGCGCACUCGAGCUCCAACACCCAAGCUCGCACUUCCCACCUCAACCUUCUCCAACCAUGUCCGGAGCAGGAGGUAGAUGGAUGGCCUCCUCCGUCAUAGAGGGGCAAAUCAAAAAGAUGAGGGAGGUGGGAUACCUGUCUGACGCCAUCGCGCACCGGCUUCCAGAUGCGGGGCAACUCAUCCCCACCCCCAGGCCCCAUGAGAGGGUUGUUUUUCUCCCCCAUUUCCUCCGCGGACUGGGCUUUCCUCUUCACCCGUUCGUCCGGGGGCUCAUGUUUUACUACGGCCUGGACUUCCACGAUCUGGCCCCGAACUUCAUCCUAAACAUAUCGCCGUUUAUCGUCGUGUGCGAGGCCUUCCUCUGCAUCCAGCCCCACUUCGGCUUAUGGCUGAAGACUUUUAAUGUCAAGCCGAAAGUAGUGGGCGGCCGCCAAGCGGAGUGCGGAGGUGCCAUGGUGGGCCGGAUGGCCAACGUCCUAUGGCUCGAGGGCUCCUUUGUCGAGAUAAUUAAAGGGUGGCAAUCGAGGUGGUUCUACAUCACCGAGCCGCGCGACCCCAAAUGGGCAGCGGCCCCCGAAUUUUGAUCUGGCUUUCCCACAAGGCUCACCUCCUGGAAAGAAACGGGCCUGACAUGGGGCGGUUCGGAGGAGCUGACCGGACUCCAAGCCUACGUCCAAAAGCUAGUGAACAAGAAUCUCAAGCUUGUCAAUGUAGUCCAGGUCAUGCUCAUACGCCAGAUCUUCCCGUGCCAACAGCGGGCGUUCAACUUGUGGGAGUUUGAUCCGGCACAGCACCAGACCUUGAGCAGGCUCUUCGACACUAUGUACGAAGCCGCCUGGAGGGUGCUUUUCAAGGGAGCCGAGGCUCCCACGUCCGCUACCCAAGAUCGCGGAUUCAGCUCGCGGCGUAAAGCCGAUGAGGUAAGCUAUUUUGCCCUUUACAGGACGCUUUUUCAUAGUUUGAUACCAUGCGAGAUCUAAACUCCCUCACUUUGACAGGACUGGCUGAAGAAGUCUGGGCAGGUUAACUGUCCGGCUCCCUUACCAGAAGACCCAGCGGGCGCCCGAUUGACGGGGCUGCUGGUUCCGGCACCUCACCUGGUGCCGGAGAAGAAGGCCGAGAAAACGGCGACGGGAACCCAAAAGAGUUCCCGUCGUCAUGUGCUAUCAGACUCAUCGUCUGAUGACUCCAAGGCGGACUCCUCCCGUGAAGACGAGGAGGAGAAGAAAGAGGCUUCUCCCCCAACAGGGGGAGAGAAGAAAAGGAAGGCCUCCCCAACUUGGGAGAACGGAGGGUCGAAAAAGGGAAGGACCCUUCCUCCGGACUACUCCACCAAUGCCAACGACGACAAACAGGAGUGGCCCUCGAGGGCCAAGCCCCUGGCGAGAUCGUAAGUGUCCAGAUUUCGUAAUAACUCAUGAUUUUUCUUCUGUUGCAUAGUGUCUUCUAACACCGAAUACAACCCUGUAGCCCGCCCAGGGAUGAUCUCCCCGCUGCAUCGAGCAGGUCCUUGGGUUUGUCGGAUGUGAAUAGCACUUCUGUUCCGACCGCCUCCUCCCCUCGUGACGCAGAUGACGCCGAGGUGGGGUCCCAGAAGGGGCCCAGCCAGGAAGAGGUGGUCCUGGAGGCGCCGCAAGGCGUCCUCCCGGACUUUGGGCGAAAAGAGGGCGGAACUCCCAAGGGUUCCAAGUCCGGCCCUGUGCCGGACUCCGUACCGGAACCUGUAGUGGUUCCGAAGUCCGGCAGGCGGCCCCUUCGUGAGAAGGGCGAGACUGCGACGCCGGUGGCGUCCAUCCAACCGGAGGCGCCGGAUAAUUUGCUGGAGGCACUUAACGGCGCCUCUAUGGAUGAGGAGCACCGCACUGUCAUGAGUGUGGUGAUCCAGAAAGUUCAGUCUGCCAAGAGCGGGCUGACUGAAGCCUGUACCAGCCUUCUAACAGGCUUUGAGGUAAGUAAUUUAAGAUAUGUAAAAUGUACCGCAUAGAUAGUAGCCCCUGAUGCUCAGUUUGGUGUUCGGAAAGAAAAGCCAAGCUGAGGAUCUAAAAAGAUAUACGCAGGAGUCUAACAGAAAUAUGUCAAUAUGGGAAUGUAGGCUUCACUGCUAACCUCUGCCGCACUGACUGCGGAGGUCAAUGCAUUGAAGCAGAGCCUCGAGCGGUCCGAGAACAACUCGGUCUUGCCAAGAAGCAGCUCGAGGACAAGGAAGGUAAGUAAUACCUUAUUAAAGUAGUACCUUAUAGAAAAGGAUUUGGUUGCAAAAAAUGACAGGAAUAACGUGGGUAUUACAGGGGCCACGAAUGAGGUGGCGGCCCUGAAGGAGGCGGUGUGCAAGGCCAAAAACAAUGUGGCCUUGGAGCACACUGAGCGAGAGAGGCAGGAGGCGCGGGUGUCGGAGGUGCGGCAAAAGCUCCAGGCUCUCGUGGAAAAGCAUGAGAGUUUGGAGCGUGACUCGAAGACUAGAGAGUCCGAGCUCGCCUCGGCUCUUGAGAGUGCCAAAGCCACCAAGGCCGAAGCCCAAAGAGCCCUCCAGGAAAUUGAGGCGAUAAAGAAGAUAGCGGCGGGUAAGGCUUUCUUCAUGCAAAGCAAGCACGUGAAAGUGAAUUACUUGUUACUUACCCGAAUCCGGAGCUCUCCAGGAGCAUUCGCAGAUCUGCCCCGCAGUGUGUCCGAUGCUGCCGCAUUCUAUCGGGCCGAGGAAGGAAGAUCGAUGGAGAAGGUAUUCUCGUCUCAGUAUGCUGAGGCUGGACAUCCGGUGCCCCUUAGCGACCAGCUGAAGCAGCUGGUCGAGCUUCACAGGGUGGCCGAACAGGCCAUGAAGGGCCUCAUAAUUCGGCUGUGGCCUAAGGAAGCCAUGCCUGGGAGCUACUUCGGUAUGGUUGGGCGGCUGGUGGACGUCUGUCCAUGGAGUGAAGUCAUCAAGCACUCCGUCUGUAUUGAGGGUGCCCGUCGGGCCCUUGCCCGUGCUAAAGUGCAGUGGGGCAAGAUGGACGCUGAGAAGCUUGUGACGGACCUGCCACCGCCGGGCAAGGAGUAUCGCACGCCCGAGAUGUAUUAUAAGGGCGUCCUGAAGGGUGCCCGCAUUAUAGCGGGUGAGUGCUCCAAAGAUGUAAUUUUUGAGUAGACUCGUAUGUUGUUAUCCUGUGCGCUGAAAACUUUGUUCAUAUGCGCUAAGCAACGCUUGUUAAUUUAAAAUAUUACCUUCUGUGCGGCCGUUUAUUAAAUCUGAGAGAUGCAAGUCGUCGGCUUCUACCCCCAUGCCACGAGUGCUGGGGUGUUCGGGAUAAACCUGAGCGCUCUUGUUCCCAUUCUUGGGUCCAUCUAUGGAGGCGCUCAGCACAACGAACCAGCCCAUCAGACUUAUAAUGCUUUAUGACUCUCACUUAGCCAUAGAAUUCUAUAAUUUUAAAUUUCGGCGAAGCCCCUAGUAUUCGGAAGACCGAGUUCGGGGUGCUAUCCUUGCCUUGGCCAGAUAAAUCCGGCUCCUCGCUCUAAGCGGCAUAAGUCUUUAAGGACUCGAAAAAUGUCACGAACAGUGACCGGUCUCUCGCACUAUCAUGACGGUCAGUUUUAGCUUUCUCUACUGAGGUGUUAACCUAGCUCAACUGGGGCACAAUCGCAGUAGUUCUCCCAGCGCUACCUUAGCCAACAUUGCGGAACGUAAGGUACCAAAACAUGGGAGCCGGGCAAACCCAACUAUUGACCCAAGACAUGAUUCGGAGCCGAUGCAUAUAGUGCUAUAAGUUCGGGGUGCCGCACUCGUGAAAGUGUUCGGUCUUCUCACACCAUGUUAUGGGGUGCUUAAGCCCCUGGUGUAUUGGCCGUACCAAAGUGUACGGUUGCAUAAUGUCAUGACUGAACAUAUUUGUAUAAAAAUAGAUGAAUACAAUAAUAGAUAAGAGCUAUGUAUUGUUUAUUAAAAAAGAGCUGCUAUGAAAGCAGAACGAUACAAAUAGUGCGAUAAGCAAGGGAUGGGAUUAUUUGACAUGUCCCCCUCCAGGGGCAAGCUGCGUAAAUUUAAGCAAAACGGGUAUUUAGCUCGUUAUAGAGACCACCUGGACAUAUGAUGCAGCUUGUUCGCGCCCUGGCUGUUGCAUCGUGUGUUCAACGAGUUUAUUGCCGGACAGGCCUUCCGAAUAGUUGGGUCCUGAAAGUAUACAAAAAAAGAAAACGGCGGAAUAGGGAGCCCCUAAGUGCGGUUGAGCCGCAUUCUGGGCGUGCCGUAGUUGUGCCCCUCCCCUUAUGCCCAUGGUAUUUUCAAAGCGUAAUUAUGUACGCGUGGUACCGAUAUCACCUUCUGGCGAGGGCUGGGGUUGGGGCCGCACUGCUAUGCUUGCUCGGAACGUGCCAGCCGGCUUUGUUGGAGGUUGCUUCGGGCGCGCUUGACGUUGUCCGGACGUUUAACACCCGGAUUGGGGAGAUGCCUUGAGAGGCUGCUCUGUACUUCCGCCGCCAGGGCCGCUGUGUGCUCCUCCGUUCGGACAGAGCGUUUGGUGUUUCCAUUUACCGUAAUGACUCCACGAGGACCUGGCAUCUUGAGCUUUGAGAUAUGCGUAGUGCGGCACCGCAUUGAAUUUUGCAAAUGCGGUUCGUCCGAGCAGGGCGUGAUAGCCACUGCGGAAUGGGACUAUGUUGAAGAUUAACUCUUCGCUUCAGAAAUUAUUCGGGGAUCCAAAGACCACUUCGAGUGGAACCGAGCCUGUACAGCUGGCUUCUACACCUGGUAUGACGCCUUUAAAGGUUGUCUUUGUGGGUUUAAUCCAUGAGGGAUCUAUACCCAUUUUUCGCACUAUAUCCUAAUAAAGCAGGUUCAGGCUGCUGCCGCCGUCCAUGAGGACUCUAGUGAGGUGAAAUCCGUCAAUGAUUGGGUCUAUGACCAAUGCGGCGAAUCCGCCGUGACGGAUGCUAGUGGGGUGGUCCCGUCGAUCAAAGGUGAUCGGACAGGAGGACCAUGGUUUGAACUUUGGGGCGACUGGCUCCAACGCAUAGACCUCCUUGAGGGCACGCUUCCGCUCCCUUUUGGGGAUGUGGGUUGUGUAUAUCAUGUUCAAUGUCCGCACUUGCGGGGGGAAGCCCUUCUGUCCUUUGUUGUUCGGCGGCCGGGGCUCCUCCUCAUCAUCGCUACGCAGCCCCUUGUCUCUGGUUUCGGCACUUAACUUGUCUGCCUGCUUGAACACCCAACAGUCCCUGUUGUUGUGGUUUGCUGGUUGUUCGGGGGUGCCGUGUAUCUGGCACAAGCGAUCGAGUAUCCGGUCUAAAUUGGAUGGGCCCAGAGGGUUUCUUUUGAAUGGCUUCUUCCGUUGACCGGGUUUAGAGCCUCUGAAUCCGGCAUUGACUGCCGUAUCCUCAGUAUUGUCGCCAUUAAUGCGGCGCUUGUGCUUGUUGCGACGUGACCUGCCAUUGUUGUCCUUGGUAUCCGAAUUGCCAGGGCUCUUGGUUAUGUUAUUGCUACGAGCUAGCCAGCUCUCUUGGUUAGGAACUGUGUCUAGAAUUGUCUGGCCGAUUCCUCUGGCUGCUGGAUUAUGUGGCUUAGGUCAUCGGCGUCUGGUGGUUGCACAUAAGUCUUAUUGACUCUGCUGGCAGGCUGUUAAGCCAAUGCCGAGCAGGUCCUUUAAGCUUGAGCGGGAGGUAUUUGAUGGCGUGUAGAUCAUCCCCACGGGACAUGUGGAUAUGAAGGAGAUAAUCCUCGAUACAUACCGCGGGAUCUGUUGUGCCAUCGUAUGAUUCGAUGUUUACGGGUUUAAAACCCUCUGGGAUUUGAUGAUCCAUUACUUCGUCUGUGAAGCAUAGUGGGUGUGCGGCGCCCCUGUACUGGGCUAUAUCGCGACGUAGCUCGGAUGAGCUUUUUCUAUUGUAUUCGUCCUAGCCGUAUUUAUCAUAUCCGGCGUGACGGUUAUCGUCCCGUGAUGUGGGGCGCCCACGCGAUCUGUAGAUCGAUCUUGUUUGCCUUGCCUUAUCCUCCAAUAUAUCUCGCAGGUCUGUUGCGUUUCCCCGUGCUCUGGUAUUUUUAGAGCGGCGCCGGGGUGCGGCUUGGAUUGAGGGCCGAAAGGCCUCUCUGUCGCGGCCACGGGGUGGCCGAUCGGGCGCAUCGUACGCUGGUGAUGUAGGUUUAGUUGCUUCCUCCUCUAGUUGGGGUAGCAGCCUGCGCUUUGGGUAACUCUUGGAGGGGCGUUCGAGUUUAUACUCUUCGGCCGCCAGGACUUCGGUCCAUCUGUCGGCUAGUAGGUCUUGGUCAGCUCUAAGGUUUCUGCUGUUUUUUCUUGAGGCUGCUUGUCGUGGCCAUAAGCCUGCGUUUGAAAUGCUCUUGUUCGACGGGAUCCUCUGGCACAACGAAUUCGUCAUCGUCGAGGCUUGCCUCGUCUUCGGAGGGAGGCAUAUAAUUGUCGUCCUCGACCUCUAUGCCUGCCGCUCUCUCAUGAGGGCUGGCUCCUUCGUCCUCCCACGCUGAAUCCUGCUGGAGGGGGUUGUCUUCGGCACUGUCUGAGGUGUUGAUGUCUCCGGUGCCGGAUUCGCCGUUCUUGCUUUGGCGGGAUUUAGAGCGGCGCUGCUGACAUCGGCGCUUGGGUUGCUUCUUGGAGGGGUCAUCCUCCGCUUUUUCAUCGCCAUCCCCUGCUUUGGGCGUGUCCACCAUGUAUAUGUCAUAUGACAAGGUGGCCUUCCAGUGCCCUAUAGGUGCUGGUUCUUGGUCGUCUCUCACAUCGGCGUCCAUACCAUCGAUGUCUUCGGAGUCGAAGUCGAGCAUGUCGGUUAGAUCGUCGACAGUGGCUAUAAAGUGGGUGGUGGGUAGGCUUCGAAUUUCCUCGUCGUCCGCAUCCCAACCCUGCUGACCAUUGUCUGGCCAGGGCCCUCCUGACAAAGAGAGAGACUUUAGUGAAUCCAGGAUAUCGCCAAAGGGCGAGUGCUGAAAGACGUCCGCGGUGGUGAACUCCCUGAUCGGAGCCCAAUCAGGUUCGAUCGGGAGAGGUGUAGAAUAUUCGUAGUUCGGAACACUAGUCCGGCACCUUGGAGUCACGGGCCUUGCAAAGGACUAGGCUGGUAUUCGGCUCUAUCGCCGUAGAGAUUGCGGCUUCAGGGGCGGCGUCCAACCGUCCGUCCCUGACUAGCGCAGUCGGCUCCGAGCUAAUGGUCGGAGCGGACACCUGAGCGGCACUCUGGGCGCUGCCCGGCGGCAGAGCUAUAUCAUGCCCAUCGAGGCAGUGCGGUUGGCUCGGCCGUGGCUCGAAUCCAUCGAAGAUCAAGUCCCCGCGGAUGUCGGCCAUGUAGUUUAGGCUUCCAAACCUGACCUGAUGGCCAGGGGCAUAGCUUCCGAUCUGCUCCAGAUGGCCAAGUGAGUUGGCCCGCAGUGCGAAGCCGCCGAAUAUGAAGAUCUGUCUGGGGAGAAAAGUCUCACCCUGGACCGCGUCGUGGUUGACGAUCGAAGAAGCCAUCGGGCCUCAAGGUGACGACACAGAGGAACUCUCAAUGAAAGGACCAAUGUCGGUGUCAAAACCGGCGGAUCUCGGGUAGGGGGUCCCGAUUUGUGCGUCUAGGCGGAUGGUAACAGGAGACAAGGGACACGAUGUUUUUACCCAGGUUCGGGUCCUCUCGGUGGAGGUAAAACCCUACUCCUGCUUGAUUAAUAUUGAUGAUAUGGGUAGUACAAGAGUUGAUCUACCACGAGAUCAGAGAGGCUAAACCCUAGAAUCUAGCCUAUGGUAUGAUUGUUGUUCGUCCUACGGACUAAAACUCUCCGGUUUAUAUAGACACCGGAGAGGGCUAGGGUUACACAGAGUCGGUUACAAUGGGAGGAGAUCUUCAUAUCAUAUCGCCAAGCUUUCCUUCCACGCCAACGAAAGUCCCUAUCCGGACACGGGAUAAAGUCUUCAAUCUUGUAUCUUCAUAGUCCGGGAGUCCGGCCAAAGGUCAUAGUCCGGCCAUCCGGACACCCCCUAAUCCAUGACUCCCUCACGCGGCAUGAUCACCUUCGUCACCGGCAUGACACCAUGAUCUCCAUCAUCGUGUCUUCAUGAGGUUGUCUCGCGAACUAUUACUUCUACUACUAUGGCUAACAGUUAGCAAUAAAGUAAAGUAAUUACAUGGCGUUAUCAUUGACACGCAGGUCAUACAAUAAAUUAAGACAACUCCUAUGGCUCCUGCCGGUUGUCAUACUCAUCGACAUGGAAGUCGUGAUUCCUAUUACAAGAACAUGAUCAAUCUCAUACAUCACAUAUCAUUCAUCACAUUCUUUUUGCCAUAUCACAUCACAUAGCAUACCCUGCAAAAACAAGUUAGACGUCCUCUAAUUGUUGUUGCAUAAUUUACGUGUCUGCUAUGGGUUUCUAGCAAGAAUGUUUCUUACCUACGCAACGGCCACAACGGUGAUAUGCCAAUUGCUAUUUACCCUUCAUAAUGACCCUUUUCAUCGAAUCCGAUCAGAUUAAAGAGGGAGAGACUGGCACCCGCUAGCCACCUUUAUGCAACAAGUGCAUGUCAGUCGGUGGAACCUGUCUCACGUAAGCGUACGUGUAAGGUCGGUCCGGGCCGCUUCUUCCCACAAUACCGCUGAAACAAGAUAGGACUAGUAACGGUAAGCAAAUUGAACAUACCAACGCCCACAACUACUUGUGUUCUACUCGUGCAUAGAAUCUACGCAAUAGACCUAGCUCAUGAUGCCACUGUUGGAGAACGUAGCAAUAAUUCAAAAUUUUCUACGCAUCACCAAGAUCAAUCUAUGGAGAUUCUAGCAACAAGAGAGGGAGAGGAUGAGCAUCUUCAUACCUUUGAAGAUCGCUAAGCGGAAGCGUCACUAGAACACGGAUGAGGGAGUCGUACUCAUGGCGAUUCAUAUCGCGGAAGAUCCGAUCUAACGCCGAACGAACGGCGCCUUCGCGUUCAACACACGUACAGCCCGGGGACGUCCCCUCCUUCUUGUUCCAGCAAGGGGAGAGGAGAAGUUGAGGUAGAGCUCCGGCAGCACGACUGCGUGGUGGUGGAGCUUGCAGUUCUCCGGCAGGGCUUCGCCAAGCACUAUUGAGGAGGAGGUGGAGUUGGAGAGGGGGAGGGUUGCGCCAGGGGCAAGGGGUGAAGCUCCCAUGCGCCUCCCCACUAUAUAUAGGGGUGGAGGGGGCUGGUUUCUUGACCUCCAUGUCCAUUGGGGCGUUGGCAAAGGUGGGAGGAAAGAAAUCCCAUCAUUUCCCUUCCCCACCGAUUGUUAUCCCCCUUUUUUAGGGAUCUUCAUCUUAUCCCUUCGGGAUAUGAUCUUAUUCCUUCUAAGGGGGGAUCUUGGUGCGCCUUGACCAGGGGUGUGGGGCCUUGCCCCCACUACCCACGUUCAUGUGGGUCCCCCCAUGCAGGUGGGCCCCACUCCGGAACCUUCUAGAACCUUCCCGGUAAAAUACUGAAAAAUCCUACACAUUUUCCGGUGGCCAAAAUAGGACUUCCCAUAUAUAAAUCUUUACCUCCGGACCAUUCUAGAACUCCUCAUGACGUCCUGGAUCUCAUCCGGGACUCCGAACAACUUUCGAUAACUGCACACUAAUUCCCAUAACAACUCUAGCGUCACCGAACCUUAAGUGUGUAGACCCUACGGGUUCGGGAAUCAUGUAGACAUGACCGAGACAACUCUCUGGCCAAUAACCAAUAGCGGGACCUGGAUACCCAUGUUGUCUUCCACAUGUUCCACGAUGAUCUCAUCGGAUGAACCACGAUGUCGGGGAUUCAAUCAAUCCCGUAUACAAUUCCCUUUGUCAAUCGGUACGUUACUUGCCCGAGAUUCGAUCGUCGGUAUCCCAAUACCUCGUUCAAUCUCGUUAUCGGCAAGUCACUUUACUCCUUCCGUAAUGCAUGAUCCCGCGACUAACUACUUAUUCACAUUCAGCUCAUUAUGAUGAUGCAUUAUCGAGUGGGCCCAGAGAUACCUCUCCGUCAUACGGAGUGACAAAUCCUAGUCUCGAUUCGUGCCAACCCAAGAUACAUGUAGUGUACCUUUAUAGCCACCCAAUUACGUUGUGACGUUUGGUACACCCAAAGCAUUCCUACGAUACCCAGGAGUUGCACAAUCUCAUGGUCUAAGGAAAUGAUACUUGACAUUAGAAAAGAUUUUAGCAAACGAACUACACGAUCUUGUGCUAUGCUUAGGAUUGGGUCUUAUCCAUCACAUCAUUCUCCUAAUGAUGUGAUCCCGUUAUCAAUGACAUCUAAUGUCCAUGGUCAGGAAACCAUGACCGUGAUCAACGAGCUAGUCAACUAGAGGCUCACUAGGGACAUGUUGUGGUCUAUGUAUUCACACAUAUAUUAAGGUUUUCGGUUAAUACAAUUAAAUCAUGAACAAUGGAUAAUUAUCAUGAACAAGGAAAUACAAUAAUAACCAUUUUAUUAUUGCCUCUAGGGCAUAUUUCCAAUAGUGAGCUCUUGCCCCGAUCUUGCUGGAACGUAGUAGAGUUGUGUAGAAGGUGGACUUCUGGGUUGUUUUGUCGGCCCAACUCAUAUGAUAUAUUCUUACCACUACUUAUAUAUUCUUGUGUUCUCACAAGGUAAAAAUAACCAAGAACAAUAGGAGGCCCUGACCUAUUUAGAGCCAGCCCUAUGUUUCGGGAGGCCCUAGGCGAAAUCGACGACAUGGGCCCCUAUGUCGUAAGACCAUAUAUAUGUAUGUGUGUGGGUGUGUGUGUGUGUGUGAUACAUAAACAUAUAUACAUAUUAGGAGUAACUUUCAACCAGACAUCUUUUGUUUAAGAUUUGACUAUAAUAAUUGUUGGACCACUACUAGGAAAAGGCCUACUAAUGGCGCACCGGUUUUGCCUAGUAAUGGCGCACUACCGGUGCGCCAUUAGUAGCACGCCACUAGUAUUUUUUACUAAUGGCGCACCUCUGGUGCGCCAUUAGUAUCUGGUGUACUAAUGGCGCACCAGGAAGUGCGCCAUUAGUAUGUAACACCGUGCGCCAUUAGUAUGCCUCCCGGGGGCCCAUACGUAACCAUGUGCUUCGUCAUACUAAUGGCGCACCGUGCCUUGAUGCGCCAUUAGUAUCCUUUUGGCAUACUAAUGGCGCACCUUGUGGUGAUGCGCCAUUAGUAUGAAUAUUUGUUUGUUUUUUUUGCUUUUCUAAUUUUUGCACAGGUUACAAAAUAUAUUAUUGGACAGAAUAUAGACAGCAGCACACAACAACAUCAGAUUCAUCGAAUACAAUAGAAGAUUAGUCUCCGGAUACAAUUCAUCAUAUUAGUCUCCGAAUUCAAAAGACCGAACAAAGAUAAAACAUUACAAGUCUCAAGACCGCGAGUAUCGAGUUUGUUUUCACAUUACAGGUCGAUAUCGAUCAUCUAAACUACCAUCACAUAAAAGAGAGUUGUGGUCAUCACGAUGAGCAUCGUCGCGAUCAAACUGGUCUUCAUCCGGUUCCUCCAACGCUCCCUCCUCUCUCCCGCUAGAUAGCGGGCAUAUCUAGAUUCGGCCUCCGCCCUAGUGGUGUACCCUUUGUAACUGUUACCGCUGAAACGGUGAACCUGUCUCUGACACUCCUCCCAGUCGUCGUAGACUCCGGGAACCUUACCCUUGUACACGACAUACGACGACAUCUCUAUGCACAAGCCAAACAAUAUACAAUACAUAAGCAAUAUGUAAGUAUGCAACAAAAGGAUCGGAAGAGAAAAGCAAGACAUUAAUAGCACGAUUCAUGGUCCUACUAAUAAAUAGCAUCGAUUACAUCUAAGUUGAACGACUGUCCAAACCAAAGAGACAUACGAAUGCAUUAAACUUUAAUUACAACAUGAGCCAAUCAAUGUUUCAGAACUACACAUCACUACUUUCGACUCGACUCAUCGGACAGGAGCUUGGAUGAAGCCACCGUCUGUCGUGAUGGUCAUGAAAUCGCGGUCUUGUCACCCUGCAUUUGUAGGGUUCCAUCUAUCUCAUUGUUGGAUGGUUGAUAUCUGAGGUAGAACUGCCCCGAGGUAUGAAGGACAUCUUGAUGGAUGAUGUCCGCAAACUCCGACUGGAUGCGAAAGAAUUCUUGUCUGAGUUCCGCGUCCUAGAUUGCCGACAAGUUUGCGGCCCAACCUUUGAGAUUAUCUGGUAGCAGAAGUUGAUGAUGGUCCCUUACGAUCACCCGCAUGUGAUGGAGGGCGUAGUAGGCAUCCUUCCGACCGCCAGGCGGCUGCUUGACGCAGCAGAACUUCGUAUUGUUUGAGAACAUGUGCUUGCCGUACUUACGAAACGCCCUGGUGAAGGUGCCUCCAGAUUUGGCGUAGCCGGGGAGAACAUCAUCAAGAACUUUCUUGACAUUUGUGUAGGCUAUUUUGGAGUUACAGUUCGGGUCGAAAUACAUUGCCAUGGAAUAUUUCGGGCUUAAGAGGAUGAGUCUGCAAUGUGUGUCACUGCACAAAACACGGAGUGUUAGAAAAAAAAGAACGAUCGAAAUCUAAGAAAUCAUAUGUUACGGGGCGGUUAAGGGAUCACUUACUCAGGAAAGUAAGCCACAAGGAAGUUAUCCUUAUCUGGGUUUGCCAGAAUGACGCCUUCGAGGUGUGAACUCCCAACUUGGCGGUCCCCAGCGCUACUCAAGUGCUUGGCAUGCAUGUACAAGGGGUCGACUAUCACGAUGUACGGGGUCUUGUCUCUAAUGAUCCGCAUCUCCAUACUCAGCAAAAACAGCCGAACAAAGGUGUAGUGCAGCAGAUGAAGGUUAAACAUAGCAAAGAUGUCAUCAAACCACAGGACGAUCGUACCCCCGAUGUCGCCAUCCACAAAGCCCUUGCCCUCUAGGACCAUGUCCACGAAAACCGGGUAUGCCACAUCCUUCUCUCUGAGAUGCCGCUUCUCCAAAGAAAGAACACUGUCGUGCAGACUCCGCAUAGCACCGGUUGCAGCAUUCAGCAUAUUUGGCGGUAGCAUCGCCCUACCCGCCACAUGCACCCUCCUCGAGAUAUCCUUAUGUGAAGGUGGCCCGUCCUGAGCACGGAUUGAACUCGGUGCCGGCUGGCUCGCACCGGCGCCCUUGUUAGUCUUUCGUUUCCGUCCCUUCUUCUUGAUCUCCUGUAAUGGGACCGAGUUCUGCUCACAGACUGCCUUCUUGAGCUUGUUGGGGCUGAUAAUAUUUCGCACCUCAGCUAUCUAAGGCUCGGUGAAGGCGGGAGCUGGAGGCGUCUCCUAAGAACUGAACGCCAGACAACGCCUAUUGCAAUUGGAUUUCUCCGCCGUACCAGCUAGAUUGCGGUCGUCUUGGUUGGGUUCUUGAGAAAGAGGCUCGUAGAACUCGUUAGCGUACCCAUGUUCGGCAAAGUACUUAUCGACUUUGGUAAAUGUACCGUCGUUGUUGUUGUCGUCGUCCGGAUCCUGUGCCAUAGGGCUGUCCAGAUCCUGUGCCAUAGGGAUGUCCGGCAGGUCCGGUAGCGUUGCGGCGUUCUUGCCAUGGCUUGGCGCCGACACGACUGGCGGUCUUGUCUGUGGGGUGGUGUCCCCCGCCCCCAAACGAAUCUGGCUCUUCGGCCAAAGCAGGGGCCAGUUUACGCAAGCGCUGAGGGUCAUCUCAUCUUCUUCGUCGGCCCCAGCGGGUCGAACCGGAGGUAACAGCUCGUCGCAGCCAGGCAGCACCCGAACCACUUCAACCCUAUACACUAUGGGUGGCAUCGGAUUACCGUGGAACAUGGGGUUGCCCGGUUGAACGAUUCUGGCCUUGGCGACAUCGACCAACUCGACGCCCACGAAGUGCAGAAGAGUGCAAGGAAUGUCGGCGGUGCCCUGCGAAAACAUGUAUAGGGCAUGAGGGAUGCCCAGUCAAAGGCAAGGAGAUGAAGUCAUCGGCCGAGAGGCUUAGUUACCGUGAUGCCGUCGAGCUCGGCUAAUGUCGAGGCACCGCCAACGGCGGGUGUGCAACUGACGGAGGGGCGCUUGCUGGCGAGGUGCCGGCCGGCGUACACCCGGGUGCAUUAAGCUCCAAUGCCCGUGCCGGCGCCGGAGACACGAAUACCGCCUCCGCCGAAGACACCAAUGGCGCCGCCGCCGGAGACACCAAUGGCGCCGCCUGCGCGUUGUGCGAGUUGCUGGCCGUGAAGCUGGGAACCGGGGGAGGCCCCUGUUGGCCGCCUGCAAUCCACGUCGUCAGCCCAUGAAUCAACGUAGGCACCAUGGCGUUGAGCUUCGUUCCCAGUUGUUGUUCCACUUGCUCUUGGACAAGCUCCAGAAUCCGCGCCACUUGUGCCUUGAGUGCUUCAACCUCGCGCGUCUGGCUUUCCGAGCUGGCCUUUUUCUCCUUCCGCACACCAACGGUAUAGUAUGACCCCCAUUUUGUGGACAAGCCUUUGCCGGCCACACGACCAGCUGACGUCGGCUUAGUGAGCUUAUCCUUGCUUUUCAUUAUGUUCAACGCCCUAUUUAAAGGGGUGUCGAAAGGGGAGCUUUGAGACGACCCCGCGCUACUGCUUUCAGUGUCUUGCGAAAGGAACGUGAACCAUUUAGAAAUAUUGGGGAUUAAUUAGAGUGCAACCAUAUGGAGCUAAUUACGCGGGGGUGUAUUCCUUACCAGAACAAGCUCAAGCGCCCUGGUCUUCGAAUCCAUGGUAAGCUCCUUUGUUAUCGGGUCCUCCUUGUACCGGGCCCUAACAUAGUUCCUGGUCUGCUUGUCACCGCUGUAUUUAUCGAAGCGGGGCGGUAGGCCUUGCUCGGCACGCUCCGCGUCCUCCUUGUCCCAUAUAGGCUCCGCCACUCUGUAACCGCCGGGACCGAGUUUGUGUUCCCCUAAGUUCAACUCCCGCAUUUCUUUCCCCCACUGACUUGAUUCAGAGGUUGCGCUACUCUCGCACUUGAUCUUGAACUCCUUGUACUCAUCUUCGCUCAUCAAAGGAUAUUUCGCCUUGAUCUUCUCAUAACUAUCACCUUUAUCAAUCAUUCUCUUCACCGCGCUUCUCCAAGUAGAUAGGGCCGUGCUCAUCUUCGUGAGGGCGGCACUGUUCACUUUAUUCCCUGAGAGGCGUGUGUUUUCAAAUUCGGCGGGGAACUUGUAUCGUUCAUGCAACUUCGUGAAGAGGAGGUUGCGCAAAUUCUCAUGGUCCUUAUUCCUAAGGUUAUCGGUGUUGAUCGAGACGGUGCUUCGGAGAAUGCAGCCAAGCUGAAGUGCGUACCCCUUGACUAUAUGUUUGGGCUCCGUUGGAUUCCCGUUGGAGUCCACUUGAGAGUGAAUUCCUCCUUGAGGGUGCGGAGCGCAUUCGGGCGCCGGUCCUUCCUUUGCUUCUUCGGUUGGCUGCCAUCUGUGUGUGCGCCGCCAUCAUCAGUGGUGGCAUCCUCGGUGGCACCAUCAGUGGUGUCAUCCCUGAAGCCACUAGGGGUUGUGUAGUCAGGAUCGGUGUCUUCCGCGGCGUCCUCGUAGAGGUGAGGUUGUUCCUCCAUCUCCUGGGACAGCUCCCAGAAUUGCUUGCCGCCCGAACCACUGGCCUCAUCGUUGUGGGCCAUGUUUUGCUCUAAAUAGGAAAAAAGUUUGGUCAAAAAGUUGGUUAUUGUCAAGGAACAAGAUCAUGGUCUCAUCAUUUAGGGUUUGUCGACACCGAAGCAUCCUAAAAGCUAAGCUUUUAUCAUUUAGGGUUUGUCGACGCCGAGGCACCCUAAAAGCCUAAGCGUACAUCAUUUAGGUUCUCAUCAACACCGAGGCACCCUAUAGAAGCCAAGGUUUCAUCAUUUAGGGUUUGUCGACGCCGAGGCACCCUAAAUGCUAAGUUAAGUUUUCAUCAUUUAGGGUUUAUUGAUGCCGAGGCACCCUAGGUUGGGCCACCUAUGUUGGGUUUAUCAUCUAGCGUUUAUCGGUGCUAAGGAGAAUUCUAAGUUGGGCCUGAUCACUUGGCUCUAUUGCCACCUAUGGUUUAAUGCAGCAAGAAUGGCGGGGCAGUUGAUCCUACUGAACUAAGUACUAAGAUACCCCGGCACAUGCAUUAGUCGCAAGUACCCCAUAUGUCCUAUUUUUAGCAAAGUCAUGCUAAAAUUCACGGAAAAUUUCAGCAUGACCUUUGCUGAAAAUAGGACAUAUGGAGUACCCGAAUUUGCCAGAACGGAAGUUAAUCGACAUUCCGAAAAACUCAAGGGCCUCUCGGGGUACCUGCAAAAUCAUUAUCCCCGCGUAAUGAAGUCGCCAAUGGGUCAUUUCAGAAGAUCACAAGUAGCAUCAUCACAAGUACAACAUCAUCACAAGUAGAGCAGCAGCAGUAGUGAAUACAGGCAUAACAAUAGCAAAACUGACGUGCUGUUAAUGAACAGUGGCUAAAGAUAUAUAAAACUACAUUGCAAAUGUGCCAUCUCAAUAAAACAACUCAUGGAAGUAAACUACUAGCAGGCUCAAAAGUCAAGUAAACUGAAGAUUAUGACAGCUUGCAAACACAGGGCCAUGUCAUUAUCAUGGCAGUCCACUAUAUAUUUUUGUGACAAAAUACAUCAUUAUCAAGGCACAUUAUGGCCAUUUUCUUACAUGAUGCUAACUGUACCUAACUGAAUUUUUUGACAGUAGCUCAAGUUUUUCACAGUAGCUCCUCACUUUCUGUUGCCUGCAACACUUUUUAUGCUAGCAGCUCAAGUUUGUGCCAUUGGAGCAAAUAAGCAGGAACCAACAUAUGUAAGGUUUCAAGAAGACUCAUCAUCAGUAUAUAUAAGGAGGAUCUUUGUAAACAAACGAACACUAAGAGCAGAAUGUUCUUGCAACAAACAUUAUUGUGUGACAUCGAAAGGCAUCACUCUGCUUAAAGGGAAGGAUGACUUAAGUGGCAGAUGUAUAUGAUUGCACUGAUCUGCACUUCUCUAUAUUAUAUGAUGUACUGAAGAACUUGAGCAAAAAAAGAUAAAUAGGAACAUAUUUCUCACCUUGGAGGUGUUGCUGCUGCUGCACUGUCUGAACUUCACUUCCUUUACCUCCUCGGAAACCUGAAAUAUGCAGAUGUUAGAAAGGUUAAUGAACCAACAAAUGCCCUAAUGGAAGUAAUAACAACAUGACAGCAAACAACCAACAAACAUGAUGGGCUUAAGAUUAAUGAACCAACAUCGACAAACUAGAUGAAUAGAGAUGUAGUGAGAGGAAAAUUAUUUUCUGAAUUUUUUAUUUGUCUUUAAUCUGUUCCCAAAGUCAGCCAGAACAAACACAACAUUAUUAUAUAUGAUGCGCUUGCUCCUUGCUGCCUUGUACACUUAGGAGCUCACUGAAAAGCAAUGACAUAUUCAUGAUCUAGUUUAGCAGCAGGUUGCAAUAUUCCCCCUAAUUGCAAGAUGCAUCAUUUCUAAUUAAUUAGGAGAACCUACCUAGCGAGUCUCUAAUUCGUUUAUACCAUCAAUAAAAAAAAUUCUACAAGAAAAAAAGGUAGCCCAAAUAUUCAUGCCACUUCCAUUAGGGCAUCAUCUUCCUACAACUACUCAUCUUCAGCAGCACAUUAUACUACUACUGUAUCUAGUGCAACAACAUGACACUUGUUACUUUAUCUAAUGUUCCUACAACUACUGUAUCUACAAUAGUAGCACAUGAUACUGCUACUGCAUCUACAACUACAACUACUACAACAGCAUAAAACUACUAUGCAUCAUCUUCCUACUAUAAUUGCUACUCAUCUUUAGAACCAAACACCAGCAAAAACAGAACCAAACUACUAUCCAUCCAUCUAGCAAGCAACUAGCACAACUCAUCCAUCCAUCCAUCAAGCAUCAUAUACCUAACUAACAUCAACAUACAUACAUCUAUCUAACAUCCAUUGAUCCGUGUAACAAGAGAGGAACAGGGAACAGUGACAUGGACAAGAAGCAUAGAGGCAAGGAAGAGAGGCUCACCCCAGGCCGCGGUCGAAGGAGAGCAGCCGCUGGCCACGUGCAGGAAGAGACGGCGGGAGGUGGUGGCCAGGGUCACGGCACCGUCAUUGGCUCGCCGGCUGCUGCGGAGGUGACCGGUGGUGGAGGACGGCAGGGGCAAGCGGGGUGGGCGUGUCGGGGCCGCGCUCGCUGGCUGCUGCAGGGGCCUGUACCGGAGGCGGGGCAGCGAAGGGUUCGGCCGGCUGGGCGCGCCGCGGCGGCUGGCUGGCAGCGGUGGCGGCGGCUAGGAACCCUAGCUGUCGCGCUCGGGAGGGAGGUUGAUGCAGGCGGGGCCGCGGGGGGAGGGGGACGGCGAGGGCGCGGGCGUGGGCGGAGGGGGGACGGUGAGAGAGGUGGUCGACGGCGGAAGGUGGUCGGGUGCACGGCCGGGGACGGCGAGCACGGGGGAAGUGGUGGUCGGCGGGUGAGAUGAGGCAGGGGAGGGAUUAGAGUGUGGAUUGGGGAUUAGGGACUUUAGUGUGGGGGGAGGCUUAGCAAUGGCGCACCACCCAGGGGUGCGCCAUAAGUACAUACAUAGCAAUGGCGCACCACCGAGGGGUGCGCCAUAAGUAAUUUAAUCUAGCCCGACUUGUCAGGUUAUAUACCACCUAACCCUAUCUACAAUAGAACCCGCCCACUAGCCUGGCUGGUCAGUACGCAGCACACACACCAAGAGGUCCUGGGUUCGAUUCCCAGGCUCCCUAAUAUAUUUUUUAUGCAUUUUAAAUCCUGUUUGAUAUUUAUUUGUGUUUAAAUAUGUUCAAACUUGUUUAAAUCAUAAUAGUAAUAUUUUUUUAUAAAAAUAGUAAUAUUUUUUAAAAAAAUAUGUUCAAAUUUGUUACUUGANNNNNNNNNNNNNNNNNNNNNNNNNNNNNNNNNNNNNNNNNNNNNNNNNNNNNNNNNNNNNNNNNNNNNNNNNNNNNNNNNNNNNNNNNNNNNNNNNNNNNNNNNNNNNNNNNNNNNNNNNNNNNNNNNNNNNNNNNNNNNNNNNNNNNNNNNNNNNNNNNNNNNNNNNNNNNNNNNNNNNNNNNNNNNNNNNNNNNNNNNNNNNNNNNNNNNNNNNNNNNNNNNNNNNNNNNNNNNNNNNNNNNNNNNNNNNNNNNNNNNNNNNNNNNNNNNNNNNNNNNNNNNNNNNNNNNNNNNNNNNNNNNNNNNNNNNNNNNNNNNNNNNNNNNNNNNNNNNNNNNNNNNNNNNNNNNNNNNNNNNNNNNNNNNNNNNNNNNNNNNNNNNNNNNNNNNNNNNNNNNNNNNNNNNNNNNNNNNNNNNNNNNNNNNNCGGUUGUGGAGCGGGGGAGGGUGCGGGGGGUGCCCAUUGGCGGCGGUGGAGCGGGGGAGGGUGCGGGGGUCCGGGUGCUCGUCGGCGGCGGUGGAGCGGGGGAGGGUUGCGGUGGGUCGUCGGCGGCAGUGGAGCUAGCGGGGGAGGCUGCGGGUGGGAUCGAGAUCGAGAUAAAAAAGUGUCCAUGAAAUUUAAAAAUAUUCAUGAUAUCAAAAAGUGCCCACGAAAUACAAUCAAGAAAUGAAGACUACGAUUUAAAUACAAUCGAUCUUAGCUAGCUAUCUGUUCACAAUCUUCUUUCCCUUCUUUUUCGCAAAUGGAGUUCUUCUGUGGAACGGACGUCCUUUAGGUAGGGUGGUCCUGCUUCUUCUUGUGGUGUGUGCUGCUACUUCAUUGUCGUCGUCAUGUUCGAUCUUCGGGUCGCCGUACUUGUCGAAGUCUUGCUCAUUGGCUACUCCAUCCAUUUCGAUGAUCUUCCUUUUGCCUCUCCUCACGACAACACGACUGGGCUUUGACGGGUCGGUAAUGAAGAAGCAUUGGUCCACUUGGGAAGCCAGUACCCAUGGCUCAUUUUUCGCGGUGACGUUUGCGCCCGCGGUCUUGGAUUUGGCUUCGGGUAUAACCAUGGUGGUGAAAUACCGGUCUUCUUUUAGGACGCUCUUGGCCCAUCUAACACAGAACAUCGGGACCUUCUCUCCAGCGUAGCUCAGCUCCCAGAUCUCCUCGAUCCUUCCGUAGUAUCUGUCCUUGUCGUUGCCGGUGUAGGAUUCCAUCGUUACCCCAGAGUUCUGAUAACCAUCGCUCUUCAUGUCCUUGUUCUCGGUUGUCACGCCCAAUAUGCGACCCUAUCCAAAAGGAACUCGAAGGUCCCACCAAGGAUAGACCCGCAUAUUGAAACGCUUUUGCAAGGUGGAUAUCAUUACAUCAACAUUACAUAAUAGAUGGGGAUACAUACAAGAGGCAUACAAUGCCACAUGAAAACAACAUCACAAUACAUCAGAGCAUCAUCCGACUACGGAUGAAACACAAACAGAAACUCAAACGACAUCCACCCUGCUAGCCCAGGCUGCCGACCUGGAACCUAUCCCCUGAUCGAAGAAGAAGCAGAAGAAGAACUCAACGCAAGCAAGCAUCGCUCUCGCGUCAUGAUCAUCGCAUAAACCUGUACCUGCAACUGUUGUUUAGUAAUAUGUGAGCCACGAGGACUCAGCAAUCCCAUUACCACGGGAAUCAAGACUAGCAAAGCUUAAAGGGAAAGGAAGGGGUAAAGUAGUGAGGUUGCAGCAGCGACUAAGCAUAUAUAGUGGCUAUCAUACGCAAAGAAGAGCGAGAAGAGAAGCAAAGGAACGGUCGUCAACUAGUAAUGAUCAAGAAGUGAUCCUGAACUCCUACUUACGUCAAACAUAACCCAGAAACCGUUUUCACUUCCCGGACUCCGCCGAAAAGAGACCAUCACGGCUACACACGCGAUUGAUGCAUUUUAAUUUGUAUCUGGUGUCAAGUUAUCUACAACCGGACAUUAACAAAUUCCCAUCUGCCUAUAACCGCAGGCACGGCUUUCGAAAGAUUAUACCCUGCAGGGGUGUCCCAACUUAGCCCAUGACAAGCUCUCGCGAUCAACGAAGGAAUAGACCUUCUCCCAGGAAGACCCGAUCAGACUCGGAAUCCCGGUUUACAAGACAUUUCGACAAUGGUAAAACAAGACCAGCAAAGCCUCCCGCUGUGCCGACAAAUCCCGAUAGGAGCUGCACAUAUCUCGUUCUCAGGGCACACUGGAUGAGCCAGACAUCGGGUUGGCAUAGACCCUGGUUGCCCAGGGGGCGCCGGACAUCGCUCGGUUUGGACCAACACUUAGACAAGCACUGGCCCGGGGGGGUAAAAUAAAGAUGACCCUCGAGAGCGCGAAUCCCAAGGGAAAAAGGGCUAGGUGAGGCAAAUGGUAAAACCAAGGUUGGGCCUUGCUGGAGGAGUUUUAUUCAAAGCGAACUGUCAAGGGGGUCCCAUAAAUCACCCGACCGCGUAAGGAACACAAAAUCCGGGAACAUUACACUGGUAUGACGGAAACUAGGGCGGCAAGAGUGGAACAAAACACCAGGCAAAAGGCCGAGUGUUCCACCCUUUACCAAGUAUAUAGAUGCAUUAAUAAUAUAAGAGAUAUUGUGAUAUCCCAACCAAAAUCCUGUCCACCAUGGAGAAAUCUUCAACUUCACCUGCAACUAGCAACGCUAUAAGAGGGCUGAGCAAAGCGGUAACAUAGCCAAUCAAUGGUUUGCAUAGGAAAGGUGUCAAAGGUUAGAGGUUCAUGGCAAUUUGGGAUGGCUUGAUAAACAGGUAAUAGGUAGCGCAGCAUAGCGAUAGAACGAAGCAACUAGCAUAGCAAUGAUAGUAGUGAGAUCCAGGGUAGCGGUCAUCUUGCCUGAAAUCCCGCUAGGAAGAAGAACGAGUCCAUGAAGAAGACAAACGGAUAAAGCUAAACCAAGCGUAGACGAAUGAAUCCUCACGAUCGCAACGAAAUAGGAACUAUCGAAAAGAAGCACACAACAUAGUACAAGACAUGAUGCACAACAAGCAUGAUGCAUGACAAAGCUACAUGAAGCUACUCAUGGCAAGGGAUGAUGCAAAACAAGAGCAACACAUCAAGACAAGUUUAAAUGAGGCCGGGAACAACAUAUAACAAUUCCGGUAAGUCCUCAUAUGCAAAUUUCGAAGUUGGUCCAGAUCUGAAUAAACCUUAUGUUCAAGUUGUUAAACAGCAAGUUAAGAUGCAACAAGAUGAUCUACAUGAAAUUCUAGUCAAGUUACAUAUAAAGUUCAUGUAGUUCGGAGCUACGGCCUAGAAGAUAUGAGCAAAACAAGAUAAACAUGGCAUUGAUGCAAAAUGCACCCAAACAUCAAGCAAACACACCAAAACAAGGAUUCAACAUAAUAAUAUGAAGCUACAUGCAAAAUCAAGCAAGUUCAUAUAGAGCACACUCAAAACGGAGCAACGGUUCAACACAUGCACUCUAUACAAGUUUAAAGGACAAGCUGUCCAAAACAGCAACUAGGCAUAUUACAAGCAUCAAAACAACAUGCUACAGGAUCUCAACAUAAUAACAAAAGGCAUGGGCAUGAUAUACAGGUAAAGCACAACAAAACAUGAACACUGAGCUAUCUCCAGAAAUCACUAGAACAUGCUCAAACACACAUGGUAAGAUUGCAAGUUAUAACAAUUUCAGACUUUGCAGAAAAUAACAUCACGAUGCAAUGUUUAGAGCUAUCAAACAACAUGUUACAGGAACUUAUCAUGGCAAAAAAGGCAUGGAAUGAAUCUACUCAAAGCAUAGAUCAAAGUCCUUUAAUGACCAUAAGCCAAAAAGAAUCAGAAAAUAUGAUGGCACCCACGUAAACAUAGCAAGUUAUUAUACAGAUUCAUACAUGGCAGAAACGGAAUUAUGAAGGCAUGUAGAUGAGCUUGUGCAACUCACUACAGAGAAAAACAUGGCAGGGAAAGGAAACCAACAGUAAGAAGGCAUGUUUGUGAAGUUAAUAAUGGCAAGAGCAAGGUCAUAGGGUGCAUGGAACACUAGGAAAACACAUGGCAACAACUGAACUUAAUGUUAACAGGCUGACAACAACAUUAUGAAGCAACUUUGGAGCAAGAUUACAACAAGUUAAAGCAGGCUAUAAAUGCAACCAGGGGAUGGAUGGAUAUAGCAUGACAUGUAGAACAAAACAUGUUUAGUGAUCAUCUCCAGAUUAUGCAUAGAAUGAUUAGUAGCAACAUGUUUACAUGGCAUCACGAAAUAACAGAUUCAGCCUAGCGAAACAGCAACAGCGAGUACACUACUUAACAAGCUCGAUUCACUCACCACAAGUCAUUGCAUGACAAGAUAAACAUAUAAUCAUCAAGAAGACAUGUUUGUGAAACAAACCAAGGCAAGAACAAGUUCAUAGCAUGCAAGGAUCAACUACAACAACCUUGGCCAAAUUGAAUAACAAGUAAACAAUCUGCCAGGAAAUAUUUUGAAGCAAACGUAGAGCACGAAAAUGACAUGCUAGACUACUCAAUAAUUACAAACAGGGGCUUGAAUGGAUAGAGAACAACCAUAUGUUCAAAACAUCCUUACUGAAGUAUCUCAAAAUAUGCAUGGAUCUCUCUGUAGCAUCAAGUUUACAUGGCAUCAAAAUAACAGCAGAACAGGGACUAAAAACAGUAACAUCACGAUGUGUAGUUUGCAUGCUUGUGCUAGUCACCAUAUUGAUCACAAAAAUACAUGGUAAGCACCUCUGUAAAGAAGACAUAGCAUAGAUCAAAACACAUGAAGACAUCAACCUCAUAGGAUGCACACAUCAAUCAUGGCAAAAAAGACAAAAGAGCUCGUUCUGUUAACAGACAGCAGAAAACAUCAUGAAGCACUCUUAUAACGAUGAUUCAGGCAUCAAUAUGUCCUCAAAUGAAUAUGAUGCAAUGGAAUGAAAUGAUGUACUCGUCGAGGCGAACAAUUUGACAUAUUACACGCGCAAAACGGAGCUAUGGAUGCAGAGAUACAACAUGAUGAACAAGGCAUGAUAAUUACAAAAAUCUGGGACUUGGGCAGAAUUUCACCUUCGGGAAAAAAGUCAACGCGGCCGGGAUCUCCCCGGAGAGCUCGCCGGAGAAGAUGGGGAAGACGGCCGGAGACGAGGGAGAGGCCGGGGAGGCGCGACCGGAGCAGGGCCGGCCGGAUCCGGGGCCGGGGAAGGCCGGGGAGGCGGCGCCGGUGACGAGGGCGGCGGGGCCGAGCCUUUCUGGCGGCGGCGCGGCCGGGCACCGGCGAAGGGCGGCGGCGCCCGCAGGAGGAGGCGCNNNNNNNNNNNNNNNNNNNNNNNNNNNNNNNNNNNNNNNNNNNNNNNNNNNNNNNNNNNNNNNNNNNNNNNNNNNNNNNNNNNNNNNNNNNNNNNNNNNNNNNNNNNNNNNNNNNNNNNNNNNNNNNNNNNNNNNNNNNNNNNNNNNNNNNNNNNNNNNNNNNNNNNNNNNNNNNNNNNNNNNNNNNNNNNNNNNNNNNNNNNNNNNNNNNNNNNNNNNNNNNNNNNNNNNNNNNNNNNNNNNNNNNNNNNNNNNNNNNNNNNNNNNNNNNNNNNNNNNNNNNNNNNNNNNNNNNNNNNNNNNNNNNNNNNNNNNNNNNNNNNNNNNNNNNNNNNNNNNNNNNNNNNNNNNNNNNNNNNNNNNNNNNNNNNNNNNNNNNNNNNNNNNNNNNNNNNNNNNNNGGGCCGGGCGGCGGCGCCAGAUGGGCUCGCGCGGGCCCGUACCGGGUCCCGCGGGCCAGCGGCGAAGGAGAGAGAGAGAGAAAGGCGCGGGCGAUGACGUGGCGGAGCGGGUUUGGCUGGGCACGGCGGCGGCGGACAUGUCCGGCCAUCGCAGACGCGUCCGGUGGCGGUGGUGGGCGAUUUUAGGGUUUCGUCUGCGAUUUGAUCCGCGAAUUUCGGGGGAGGGGCUAGUUUUAUAGGUAGAGGGAGCUAGGAGAGUCCAAAUGAGGAGCGGUUUUCGGCCACGCGAUCGUGAUCGAACGACCAAGAGCAUGGAAGGGAGUUAGAUGGGUUUUGGGGCACUUUGGAAGGGGUGUUGGGCUGAAAGGAGAAGGAGGCUUUAGCGGUUACCCGGUUAACCGUGGGAGUAUCAAACGAACUCCAAAUGGCACGAAACUUGACAGGCGGUCUACCGGUGGUAUACCAAGGCCGCUUGGCAAGACUCGGUCCAUUCCGAGAACAUUUAACACCCACUCACGAAGAGAGAGAAGAGGGGGACACCGGAAGACAUAGGAGCGCCGGAUCGCAAAACGGACAACGGGGAAAAGGCUCGGAUGCAUGAGACGAACAUGUAUGCAAAAUGAAAUGCACAUGAUGACAUGAUGAAAUGAUGAAAUGCAACACGCAAGCAAAUGACAUGGCAACAAUGGAGAAUAACUGGCAGACACCUGGCGCAACGAAUCUGGGGCGUUACAACACUCCUCCACUAACAAGAGAUCUCGUCCCGAGAUCUUAGGACCGAGAUGGAAGAGAAAAGGGAUGAGGUGAAACAAGAACUCAAAAGGAGAAUCAAAGAAUCGAUAGCACUCGAGAAGAAGAGAGGAACGACGAGAAAGACGAGAAUCAAAAGCUCACGGAAUCAGAUAGACUAUGAAACCACUCCGGUUAGAACGAGAUAAGAAACGAAUAAGACUGAAAGGAUUUAGGCAGCACUCCGGCUGAACAAGGAAAGAAUAGAACACGAGCUUGAGAGGAUGGAAAGAUACUUGAUGAGAGGAACAACACAAAAUCUCCGGAAGAAUUGGAAUAAAGGAAUGAAAAUAACUUAGAAGGAAGGGUUGAACGGAGUUGUUGAGAAAAUCAACAACGAAAGAAUAAGCUUGUCGUGGACUUAUGUAUAACAUCUCAGAAAUUAUGAGGUGAUAAUCAGCCGCAAACAGAAAUGAUUGAAUAGCUGAGAAGAACGAAGGAAUGCAAAACUCCACUUCAAAAGAAUAUGAAGAAUUAAUUGCACUUCGAGACGCGAGAAGAAAAGAUACUUGAACUCCACCAACAAGACUCUUGAUGAACACUUGAAGAACGAAUUAAAUCAUGACGAACCACCAUGAAGAACUCCGGUGACAAAAAUUUGAUGAGAUAGAAUGAAGUAUGAAAGAAUAAGAUGAGCCUUGCGAUGAUUUAGAUGGAGGUUCCGAUAAAAUGGCCGAGGAAAUUGAACUCCGGAAAAGCAAAGAUGAAAACAAUUGAAACUAGAAUUUAUUCAUCAAGAACAAACUCCGAAGGAAGGGAUUAAUCACUUUGAUGAAAUAAGAAUAAGAUUUAUUGUAUGCCUAUCCUUCAUCAAAUUAAAUUGAUGACAAUCAAUGGAUUUUGCAUAUUACUUAUUCUUCUUGAAAAGGAUUGAGAAGUGGCAUAUCACAAACUUGAGAAGGUCUUCAUGAACCACCGGUAGGAUUGAAAGAAGGAAUGAAUUAAAAUGAUAACCAAGGAAAAAAAGGAAUCUGAAGAAACCACCGUAAGAAAUCAAAAAUGACUGACGAAAGAGAAUGAAUCACCGGGAAGAAUUAGAAUAACCAAUAAGCAAGAGGGGAUUUAGAGAGACGAGAACUUAGAGAUUGCGAACUGAUUGAAGAAUACGUGAACGAAGCACCGGGAUAAUUAGAGAACGAUAACUGGAAUGUUGGCCUCCGGUGAAAAGAAAUGGAAAAAACAACUCCUGACAAACUCCGGAUGGUUGAAAAGAAUAUCUGACAAAUGGAAUAAUUCGAGAGGAUGACAUGAAGCUAGAACCACGAAACUUCGAAAGAACGGGCAAGAUUUAGAAGAAAAACUUUUCUUCGAUCUUCAAAUGUUGACGAGAAACUACACCAAGAUAAAUGAGGUACUCCGGGAGAAUGAAAAGCAGAGAGGUUGAGCCAACAAUGAAAUGAUUUGAAAUCGAUCUUGAAAAGGCAUGUGACUGAUGGAAUCCAUUCUUACGUCACACCUGGAAAGAAUUUGAGAAUAACUCCGGGGGAAUUAGAAGAGUCAGGUAAGAUCUUGGGAAAAGACCUGUGGGUUAGGGCCCACUGAAGAGAUAACACCGUUGAAAAGGAUUGUUGAAAAGAUUGAUGAUGCACCGAAACACUUGAAAUAUUUGGAUGAGGUGACAACCUCGAAUUAAUUGAAACACAAACGAAUCUCCUGAGAUGUCUUACGAACUCCGGAAUGAUUAACUGGCGAGAGGCGAACGAGCAGGGAAAACACUUGAGCUGAGGGAAAGAAUAUAAUCAACCCGAAAAACUUGAAUUGAAUCCACCGGAAAAGAGAUGAAGAAUGACGAACGAGACGAGAAUUCACCGGUUGAAAAGAUUGAGGGAAGACUUAAGUGGCUCCACACGAAUGAAAUAGAUGGUCGAGAGAGAGUCAGACUCUGGGAAGAAAAAGGGUGGGAGGGCGGGAAAACAAAGGUAACUUGGAAGGGAGAACCAACGAAUAACUUGAAGAGAAAACACCGGUAGAAAUCAUUGAGGAGAGAGAGCAAAAACAUCGCACGAGUAGGAUGGAUACUCGAUUACGGACUCUGGUUCCGAGAAGAAGAAGGGUGGGCGGGUGGGAAAGAAAACAACUGAAGAUUGAACUCAAUGAUGAAGAGGCUCGAGUCGACUUGACGAGAAAUGCACCGGAUCAAAAGAGCUGAGGAACAACUACCGAAAAACCAACUGCGUGAUCCUAAAGAAAAAUUUGAAGGGGAAGAGGAGUAAUUCAAAACACCUACGUCAAGAUUCCUUACCAGAGCGACGAAGGGGGCUGAGGAGUAAAAGAAUUCCUACUCUCCGAUAUAACUAGACUCCGAAAACAGUUUUCUUCUAGACUCAACAACGGCCAAACUACACGAUCAAUCAAGGGGGCUCCUAGGGUCGGUCGAGGCACAUAUACCAACUUGUCACGCCCAAUAUGCGACCCUAUCCAAAAGGAACUCGAAGGUCCCACCAAGGAUAGACCCGCAUAUUGAAACACUUUUGCAAGGUGGAUAUCAUUACAUCAACAUUACAUAAUAGAUGGGGAUACAUACAAGAGCCAUACAAUGCCACAUGAAUACAACAUCACUAUACAUCAGAGCAUCAUCCGACUACAGAUGAAACACAAACAGAAACUCAAACAACAUCCACCCUGCUAGCCCAGGCUGCCGACCUGGAACCUAUCCCCUCAUCGAAGAAGAAGCAGAAGAUGAACUCAACGCAAGCAAGCAUCGCUCUCGCGUCAUGAUCAUCGCAUAAACCUGUACCUGCAACUGUUGUUGUAGUAAUCUUUGAGCCACGAGGACUCAGCAAUCCCAUUACCAUGGGUAUCAAGACUAGCAAAGCUUAAAGGGAAAGGAAGGGGUAAAGUGGUGAGGUUGUAGCAGCGACUAAGCAUAUAUGGUGGCUAACAUACACAAAUAAGAGCGAGAAGAGAAGCAAAGGAACGGUCGUCAACAAGUAAUGAUCAAGAAGUGAUCCUGAACUCCUACUUACGUCAAACAUAACCCAGAAACCGUGUUCACUUCCCGGACUCCGCUGAAAAGAGACCAUCACGGCUACACCCGCGGUUGAUGCGUUUUAAUUCGUAUCUGGUGUCAAGUUAUCUACAACUGGACAUUAACAAAUUCCCAUCUGCCUAUAACCGCAGGCACGGCUUUUGAAAGAUUAUACCCUGCAGGGGUGUCCCAACUUAGCCCAUGACAAGCUCUCGCGAUCAACGAAGGAAUAGACCUUCUCCCAGGAAGACCCGGUCAGACUCGGAAUCCCAGUUUACAAGACAUUUCGACAAUGGUAAAACAAGACCAGCAAAGCCUCCCGAUGUGCCGACAAAUCCCGAUAGGAACUGCACAUAUCUCGUUCUCAGGGCACACCGGAUGAGCCAGACGUCGGGUUGGCAUAGACCCUGGUUGCCCAGGGGGCGCCGGACAUCGCUCGGUUUGGACCAACACUUAGACAAGCACUGGCCCGGGGGGGUAAAAUAAAGAUGACCCUCGAGAGCGCGACUCCCAACGGAAAAAGGACUAGGUGAGGCAAAUGGUAAAACCAAGGUUGGGCCUUGCUGGAGGAGUUUUAUUCAAAGCGAACUGUCAAGGGGGUCCCAUAAAUCACCCGACCGCGUAAGGAACGCAAAAUCCGGGAACAUAACACUGGUAUGACGGAAACUAGGGCGGCAAGAGUGGAACAAAACACCAGGCAAAAGGCCGAGUCUUCCACCCUUUACCAAGUAUAUAGAUGCAUUAAUAAUAUAAGAGAUAUUGUGAUAUCCCAACCAAAAUCCUGUCCACCAUGGAGGAAUCUUCAACUUCACCUGCAACUAGCAACGCUAUAAGAGGGCUGAGAAAAGCGGUAACAUAGCCAAACAACGGUUUGCAUAGGAAAGGUGUCAAAGGUUAGAGCUUCAUGGCAAUUUGGGAUGGCUUGAUAAACAGGUAAUAGGUAGCGCAGCAUAGCGAUAGAACGAAGCAACUAGCAUAGCAAUGAUAGUAGUCAGAUCCAGGGUAGCGGUCAUCUUGCCUGAAAUCCCGCUAGGAAGAAGAACGAGUCCAUGAAGAAGACGAACGGAUGAAGUCGAACCAAGCGUAGACGAACGAAUCCUCACGAUCGCAACGAAACAGGAACUAUCGAAAAGAAGCACACAACAUAGUAAACACACCACACAUGAACAAGACAUGAUGCACAACAAGCAUGAUGCAUGACAAAGCUACAUGAAGCUACUCAUGGCAAGGGAUGAUGCAAAACAAGAGCAACACAUCAAGACAAGUUUAAAUGAGGCCGGGAACAACAUAUAACAAUUCCGGUAAGUCCUCAUAUGCAAAUUUCGAAGUUGGUCCAGAUCUGAAUAAACCUUAUGUUCAAGUUGUUAAACAGCAAGUUAAGAUGCAACAAGAUGAUCUACACGAAAUUCUAGUCAAGUUACAUAUAAAGUUCAUUUAGUUCGGAGCUACGGCCUAGAAGAUAUGAGCAAAACAAGAUAAACAUGGCAUUGAUGCAAAAUGCACCCAAACAUCAAGCAAACACACCGAAACAAGGAUUCAACAUAAUAAUAUGAAGCUACAUGCAAAAUCAAGCAAGUUCAUAUAGAGCACACUCAAAACGGAGCAACGGUUCAACACAUGCACUCUAUACAAGUUUAAAGGACAAGCUGUCCAAAACAGCAACUAGGCAUAUUACAAGCAUCAAAACAACAUGCUACAGGAUCUCAACAUAAUAACAAAAGGCAUGGGAAUGAUGUACAGGUAAAGCAAAACAAAACAUGAACACUGAGCUAUCUCCAGAAAUCACUAGAACAUGCUCAAACACACAUGGUAAGAUUGCAAGUUAUAACAAUUUCAGACUUUGCAGAAAAUAACAUCACGAUGCAAUGUUUAGAGCUAUCAAACAACAUGUUACAGGAACUUAUCAUGGCAAAAAAAGGCAUGGAAUGAAUCUACUCAAAUCAUAGAUCAAAAGUCCUUUAAUGACCAUAAGCCAAAAAGGAUCAGAAAAUAUGAUGGCACCCACGUAAACAUAGCAAGUUAUUAUACAGAUUCAUACAUGGCAGAAACAGAAUUAUGAAGGCAUGUAGAUGAGCUUGUGCAACUCACUACAGAGCAAAACAUGGCAUGGAAAGGAAACCAACAGUAAGAAGGCAUGUUUGUGAAGUUAAGAAUGGCAAGAGCAAGGUCAUAGGGUGCAUGAAACACUAGGAAAACACAUGACAACAACUGAACUUAAUGUUAACAGGAUGACAACAACAUUAUGAAGCAACUUUGGAGCAAGAUUACAACAAGUUAAAGCAGGCUAUAAAUACAACCAGGGGCAUGGAUGGAUAUAGAAUGACAUGUAGAACAAAACAUGUUUAGUGAUCAUCUCCAGAUUAUGCAUAGAAUGAUUAGUAGCAACAUGUUUACAUGGCAUCACGAAGUAACAGAUUCAGCCUAGCGAAACAGCAACAGCGAGUACACUACUUAACAAGCUCGAUUCACUCACCACAAGUCAUUGCAUGACAAGAUAAGCAUGGCAUCAUCAAGAAGACAUGUUUGUGAAACAAACCAAGGAUCAACUACAACAACCUUGGCCAAAUUGAAUAACAAGUAAAUAAUCUGCCAGGAAACAUUUUGAAGCAAACGUAGAGCACGAAAAUGACAUGCUAGACUACACCAUAAUUACAAACAGGGGCAUGAAUGGAUAGAGAACAACAUAUGUUCAAAACAUCCUUACUGAAGUAUCUCAAAAUAUGCAUGGAUCUCUCUGUAGCAUCAAGUUUACAUGGCAUCAAAAUAACAACAGAACAGGGACUAAAAACAGUAACAUCACGAUGUCUAGUUUGCAUGCUUGUGCUAGUCACCAUAUUGAUCACAAAAAUACAUGGUAAGCACCUCUGUAAAGAAGACAUAGCAUAGAUCAAAACACAUGAAGACAUCAACCUCAUAGGAUGCACACAUCAAUCAUGGCAAAAAAGACAAAAGAGCUCGUUCUGUUAACAGACAGCAGAAAACAUCAUGAAGCACUCUUACAACAAUGAUUCAGGCAUCAAUAUGUCCUCAAAUGAAUAUGAUGCAAUGGAAUGAAAUGAUGUACUCGUCGAGGCGAACAAUUUGACAUAUUACACGCGCAAAACGGAGCUAUGGAUGCAGAGAUACAACAUGAUGAACAAGGCAUGAUAAUUACAAAAAUCUGGGACUUGGGCAGAAUUUCACCUUCGGGAAAAAAGUCAACGCGGCCGGGAUCUCCCCGGAGAGCUCGCCGGAGAAGAUGGGGAAGACGGCCGGAGACGAGGGAGAGGCCGGGGAGGCGCGACCGGAGCAGGGCCGGCCGGAUCCGGGGCCGGGGAAGGCCGGGGAGGCAGCGCCGGUGACGAGGGCGGCGGGGCCGAGCCUUUCUGGCGGCGGCGCGGCCGGGAACCGGCGAAGGGNNNNNNNNNNNNNNNNNNNNNNNNNNNNNNNNNNNNNNNNNNNNNNNNNNNNNNNNNNNNNNNNNNNNNNNNNNNNNNNNNNNNNNNNNNNNNNNNNNNNNNNNNNNNNNNNNNNNNNNNNNNNNNNNNNNNNNNNNNNNNNNNNNNNNNNNNNNNNNNNNNNNNNNNNNNNNNNNNNNNNNNNNNNNNNNNNNNNNNNNNNNNNNNNNNNNNNNNNNNNNNNNNNNNNNNNNNNNNNNNNNNNNNNNNNNNNNNNNNNNNNNNNNNNNNNNNNNNNNNNNNNNNNNNNNNNNNNNNNNNNNNNNNNNNNNNNNNNNNNNNNNNNNNNNNNNNNNNNNNNNNNNNNNNNNNNNNNNNNNNNNNNNNNNNNNNNNNNNNNNNNNNNNNNNNNNNNNNNNNNNNNNNNNNNNNNNNNNNNNNNNNNNNNNGCGGCGGCGCUAGAUGGGCUCGCGCGGGCCCGAACCGGGUCCCGCGGGCCGGCGAUGGAGGAGAGAAAGAGAAAGGCGCGGGCGAUGACGUGGCGGAGCGGGGUUGGCUGGGCGCGGCGGCGGCGGACAUGUCCUGCUGUCGCGGACGCGUCCGGUGGCGGCGGAGGGCGAUUUUAGGGUUUCGUUUGCGAUUUGAUCCGCGAAUUUCGGGGGAGGGGCUAGUUUUAUAGGUAGAGGGAGCUAGGAGAGUCCAAAUGAGGAGCGGUUUUCGGCCACGCGAUCGUGAUCGAACGACCAAGAGCAUGGAAGGGAGUUAGAUGGGUUUUGGGCCACUUUGGAAGGGGUGUUGGGCUGCAAGGAGAAGGAGGCUUUAGCGGUUACCCGGUUAACCGUGGGAGUAUCAAACGAACUCCAAAUGGCACGAAACAUGACAGGCGGUCUACCGGUGGUAUACCAAGGCCGCUUGGCAAGACUCGGUCCAUUCCGAGAACGUUUAACACCCACUCACAAAGAGAGAGAAGAGGGGGACACCAGAGGACAUAGGAGCGCCGGAUCGCAAAACGGACAACGGGGAAAAGGCUCGGAUGCAUGAGACGAACACGUAUGCAAAAUGAAAUGCACAUGAUGACAUGAUGAAAUGCAACACGCAAGAAAAUGACAUGGCAACAACGGCGAAUAACUGGCAGACACCUGGCGCAACGAAUCCGGGGCGUUAUAUCGGUGUAGAAUGUGUAGCCGUUGAUAUCGUACGCCUCAUAUGUCAUCAGGUUGUGCUCGGCGCCCUGUGACAAGGCGAAUAUGAGUUGUCCUUCCGCAGAAGAAUCCUCAUGUAAAGGGUACGACAGAAGCUUCUGCUUGAACCAACGCGUGAAACAUGAGUUGUGCUCUUUGAUUAUAUCUCCGUCCGUUCUCUGUUGGCCUCGGUCAUUGUACGUCUUCUCAAUAAAGGUUUUGUUCUCUACCACCCAAGGAUCGACCAUGUCUAUGUGUUGUAGCGCGACUAGUUUGCUCUUUCAAAGUCGGCGAGUCGACCCUCGAAGUCGACAUGCAUUUCGCGGCGACCCUCACGGUGACCCCAUCCAGCGAGCCUGCCUAGGUGCCUGUUGACGGGCAGACCAACGGGGUUCUCGAUGCCUAGAUAAUUCGUGCAGUAGGAGAUGCACUCUUCGGUCAGAUAGCCCCUGGCUAUACUUCCCUCUGGACGUGACAUGUUGCGAACGUAUCCUUUGAUGACACCAUUCAUCCUUUCGAACGGCAUCAUGCUGUGCAGGAAUGUCGGCCCGAGUUGGAUGAUAUCCUCCACGAUAUGGACCAGAAGAUGCACCAUAACGUUGAAGAAUGCGGGCGGGAAGUACAUCUCAAGCUCGCAUAGUAUCACCACGAUCUCUUCCUGUAGCCUUCUGAGUUGCCUCACGCCAAUCGACUUCCAAGAGAUGAUGUCGAAAAAGUUGCAUAGGCCAAAUAGCGUUUCACGGACGUGCGCGUCCAUGAUCCCAUGGAUUGCAACUGGAAGUAUCUGCGUCAUCAGCACGUGACAAUCGUGAGACUUCAUCCCGCUGAACUUCUGCUUCGCUGGGUCUAGGUAUCUGCUUAUCUUCCCCGCGUAACCGUAAGGAAGUUUUACUCCUAGGAGGGAGGUGAAAAACUGCUCGAUCUCCUCCUGACUUAGAGUGAAGCACGCGGGAGGGUAGUCAUUUCCUGUCUUCUUGGCCUUUUUGCCUUUGUGACGACUUUCUGUGUCCUGCUUCACCUCAUCAUCAUCAUCAUCAUCAUCAUCAUCAUCAUCAUUAGCGUGAAGCUCCUGCCUGAUGCCCAUUGAUUUCAAGUCUGCCCUUGCUUUCGGCCCAUCUUUGGUCCUCUCUGGCAUGUUGAGCAGGGUACCAAGCAGACUCUCGCACACGUUCUUCGUGAUAUGCAUGACAUCAAGGCUGUGAGGCACACGGUGGAUCUUCCAGUACGGCAAGUCCUAGAAAACAGACCUCGUUUUCCAUACCUUCAGCAGUGGCUCUGGCGCCUUUCGCUUUUUUCCCGGCUCUAGCGCCUUUUUCUUCUUUCCCGGCAGUGGGCAGUCUUUCCAAUUUUUCAACAGCUCGUCUAUUUUCUCGCCGCUCCUCGUACACGGGCGUUUUCGGGGUUCGGUUUCACCAUCGAACAGAUCCUUGCGUUUCCUCCACGGGUCAUCGUCGCGAAGCCACCUUCGAUGUCCCAUGAACACGGUUUUCGAAGACCCGGGAUCUCUAUCUAGCUGGUGAUACGUUGUGUCAUCCAUGCAUCUUACGCAUCCAGAAAAUCCGUGGACUACCUGCCCCGCGAGAUAUCCGUAACUGAGAUAGUCGUGCACCGUCAUGAGCAGUGCGGCUCUCAUAGGGAAAUAUUCUUUCUCUGCGGCGUCCCACGUAUUGGCUGGCAUUUUCCACAGCGUGUCUAGCUCCUCCUUCAGCAGCCCCAGAUACAGAUUGAUGUCGUUCCCUGGUUGUUUUGGCCCUUCAAUUAGCAUACUCAUGUGAAUGUACUUCCUCUUCAUGCACAACCAGGGGGGAAGGUUGUACAUCCACACAAACACAGGCCGGGUGCUAUGUGUGCUUCUCUGGCUGCCAAACGGAUUGACUCCAACGGUGCUCGCGCCCAGCACGAUGUUCCUUGUAUCCUUCCCAAAUUUUGGGUAUUCGAAGUUCAACGCUUGCCACUGGCUUGCAUCCUUAGGGUGACUCAGCAUCUUGUCUUUUUUAUUUAUCUCUGGAUCAUUUCCGUCAUCUUCCCGCUUCUUAUCCUCCCUAUCCGCGUGCCAACGCAGGAGCUUUGCUACCUUAGGGUCCGCGAAAUAUCGCUGCAGACGAGGAGUGAUCGGAAAAUACCACACCGAUUUUCGAGGAGCUUUCUUCCUCUUCUUGUAUCGAGUGACGUCGCACACCGGACAUAUGGUAGACUCCGCGUGCUCGUCCUGAUAAAUGAUGCAAUUGUUCAUGCACACAUGGUAUUUCACGUGCGGUAAAUCCAAAGGACACACGAUUUUCUUCGCCUCCUCGAAACUGGUCGGGCACUUGUUCCCCUUGGGAAGACGUUCGUGCCAGAAUGACAUGUUCUCGUCAAAGCAUGCAUCGGUCAUUUUGUAUUUUACCUUCAUCUCCAGAGCCAUGAGCGUUACUUUCAGGCGGGUAUCCUCGGGCCUGCAUCCUUCAUACAAUGGAGUAACCGCGUCUAUCUCCAGUUGAUCCAGCUUGGCUUUCUCUCGGGCGGCAGCUCUUGGGUUAUCCGUCUGCUUGAGAAGCAGCUCUUGAAUAUGAGGGUCCUGCACCCAGCCUCCAUCGUCGUCUGCUCCGGCAUCUUCAUCUUCAUGAUCAUGCCCUUCGUCUUGAUCUUCCUCAUCGUCAUGUACGACAUCUUCUACAUGAUGACUGUGUACAGCAUCACCGCCGUGAUCAUGUCCUGGAGAUUCUUCGUCUUCUCGCCCGCCCUCGUCGCGGUGGUACUUGUCCUGUUGCCCUUCCUUAUUUCUUGCCCGGCCCCCAUGGACGACUUCAUAGUCAUCUUCAUCACCUUGCCACUGAUAGCCAUCCAUGAAACCACGCAAGAGCAGGUGGUCCCGCACCUGCCCGGAAUCCGGGUCCGCAAUAAGGCUCUUCAGCUUGCAUCUUCGACACGGACAUCUUAUCUCCGUCUCGUUCUUUUGAAGCAUCUCGGCCUUCGCUGAGCUGAAAAACCUAUUCACGAUGCCUUCGGUCAUCGUGCGGACCAUGGUUGCCUGCGGGGUAGAGCAAAACGAUAUUUUAGAACUAAGAAAAAAUUUGGCAUGACCUUCCAUAAAAAUAGGACCAAAAAGAAUGCAUAGUGCCAAAAUUCUCGCCGAAACGGAAAUGAAUCAACAUUCCGGCAAAAUAUUGGCAACUAUCGCAUUUCAAAUACCGGUACUUGCAAACACAAACAUAUAUGCAACACCACAAACACAAGCAACACCACAAACAUACAUAGAUCUAGCUAGGCCACAAAAAGUGCAUGUGCACGUUGUUGGAGCGAGCUAGGGAGAAAAAAAGUAGAUCUACAUCAUGAAGAUAGCUUUCCCCUUACAUACCUAUCAAAAAAAGGUAAUUUCACUACUUAAUUUUGAUGAAUCUAUGAUGGAAAUGAGGUGAGGAGGAGGAGGCAGCCGAGACAAGCUUGAAGGAGGAGGUGGAGAGAAUGAAGUGGCGAAAGUGAGUGGGUAGGUGGGUUGUCCAAAAUAUCUUGUUGGUCCCAGGUUACUAAUGGCGCACCACCAGCAAAUGCGCCAUUAGUAACCCUGGUUACUAAUGGCGCACCUGCGGUUGGUGCGCCAUUAGUAGUUUUUGCAGAAAAGUAAAAAAAUAUAUACUAAUGGCGCACUGUGGAAAGUACACCAUUAGUAGUUUAAACUAGUAAUGGCGCACUUUGACACGGUGCGCCAUUAGUAGUUUUGNNNNNNNNNNNNNNNNNNNNNNNNNNNNNNNNNNNNNNNNNNNNNNNNNNNNNNNNNNNNNNNNNNNNNNNNNNNNNNNNNNNNNNNNNNNNNNNNNNNNNNNNNNNNNNNNNNNNNNNNNNNNNNNNNNNNNNNNNNNNNNNNNNNNNNNNNNNNNNNNNNNNNNNNNNNNNNNNNNNNNNNNNNNNNNNNNNNNNNNNNNNNNNNNNNNNNNNNNNNNNNNNNNNNNNNNNNNNNNNNNNNNNNNNNNNNNNNNNNNNNNNNNNNNNNNNNNNNNNNNNNNNNNNNNNNNNNNNNNNNNNNNNNNNNNNNNNNNNNNNNNNNNNNNNNNNNNNNNNNNNNNNNNNNNNNNNNNNNNNNNNNNNNNNNNNNNNNNNNNNNNNNNNNNNNNNNNNNNNNNNNNNNNNNNNNNNNNNNNNNNNNNNNNNNNNNNNNNNNNNNNNNNNNNNNNNNNNNNNNNNNNCUAAUGGUGCACUGUCUAUAAGGUGCGCCAUUACUAGUUAGAACUAGUAAUGGCGCACUUUGACAUCAUGCGCCAUUAGUAUGUAUGGAAAAAUGAAAAAAAAAAUCAAUACUAGUGACACACCGUGUGUCUGGUGCGCCAUUAGUGUCUUCCACACUAAUGGCGUACCUCCAACCGGUGCGCCAUUAGUAUAUAGUAGUGGCGCACUACUUACCUGAUGCGCCAUUAGUAUCAAUCCUAUCUAUAGCCUUUUUCCUAGUAGUGGACAAUGCCAUAUUACAACAAAAAUACUAAAAAGAUAGCAAAAUGAAAGUAACAUGUUAUGAUUACCUCAAAUAAUAACCAAAUUCGACUGACUCCAUCAACAACAAUACUACUUCAGUGCUUCAGAAAAAGAUUCUUCGGGCGUUUCUUGAUGCAAAGUCAUUAAGGGGACAAUCAAGAUCAACAUUGUCCAAGAUAUCCUUCUCAAUGCAGCACAUAGCCAAGCCAUUCAAUCUAUCUUGCAACAUAGUUGUCAUCAACUAUUUUUUCACUAGUUUCAGUUUAGAGAAACUUCUUUCAGCUGAGGCUACAGUCACAUGCACUGUUAAGAGGACCCCGUAUGCAACAGAGACAUUUGGAAAAGCCAUGCCUCGCAUCUGGCAUGAAUCAUGCCGCGUGACGCUUCGCUAAUCGCUAGCUAUCAGAUGGGCCAAGCCCAUCUUGUUUCUUUUCUUCCGUAAAAUUUUUUCCACCUGUUUUUCGUUGGGCUAGACUAUAUAUGUAUACUACAUCCUGGACCCCCUUCCAGCCUGGGCCUUGGGCCGUCACCCCACCGGCAAUACACAUCAGGGCCGGCCCUGGACCUAUUUAGAAACAUGACAUGUUAUUCAGAAAUAAAAGGUUGUUCUUCUUCUUCAUAAGGGGAGCCAUAUACAGAUGUAAUUGCAAUGGCAAAGUCAUUCUGUUCCAGUAACAAAGAAGGUUAUGAUCUUCGAGCUAAUUGUUUCUAACACAUCAAUAUUCACUCAAAAAGAAAAAUGAACACUCGAGUCAAAAUACCACAUUUUAAUCUUCCUAGGGAUCUCCAGGUUUUGCUGCAUGGGGAGGUUUUUUUGCUUUGUCCAUUGUACACGUUUUAUGUCAAUUCUUGUGCUUUGUCUUGUGGGCCCAACCACCGACCCUUCAUAUCUUCGGUUUUUUAUUCCAUCACUUUCAAAGCACCAACUCCAAAAUUGUCCCACUAAGCUCAAGUUUGUGUGCUUCAAUCUAGCGUAUCAAAGUCAGACCCGCACGAAGAGAGCUCGAGCGUUCAAACCUAUACCUAAUAAUGAAGGGGCUAUUGCUUUUUACCACUGUAAUUUCGUCCGUCAUUUUCAUUCGUCCACCCUGCCCGUCCAGUUUCGUACGUCCGUCCAUCUUCAAAAUCCGUUCGUACGCCUAGGCCACGUCGCCUUAUGGGCCUGCAAGGCUGUGGGCCUGCAUGCACGCGUCUCGCGUUUGUCUGCCCCACCCGGGUUUCGUGUGUGUAUUCGCGAUAACAUAGUCCCACCUCGAUUGCUUGCAUGGCAUCUUAUCAAUUUAUAUACAUAGGAAUAUUGCGAAGGACAGAAAGACAUAGGGACUGCAACCCGACACGAGGAAAGAAUCAAAUCGAGAAAAGAACAACAUAUGAAUCAACCCGAGGCCUAGGAAUCCUACAAGGAAGGAGGACGGAACGACGGACGUGGCGGCGCGGCAUGAUUUGGACGGCGCGACGGCUUUUGCCCUAUUUCGAAUACAAAUGCAAUAAUAUAAAUUUUGUAACAAAUUCUUUCUAUUUUGUUAGUCUUAUAGUGUGUCAAAGUUUAACACAAAAUACGAUGGGGCCCAAUAAACCCGGACGGAGGUAGUAGCACAACACUAAAACCGAUUAUGUAUAUUUUCUCUUUUUUCUCUAUUUCCACUUAUGUACAAAAAUCGUAAAUAAGGAUCUGGCAGGAAUAAAGAAGGGUGUCUGAUGUUGCUUUUCUCACAUUGCAAUGCACGGGCCAUGUGUUAGUUAAACCAAUGCAAAGUUAUUCUAAAACCGGUCAUCUGUCUUCCUCACGAAUUUUUCAAUGAAAACAACAAAUAAUUUACAAGAUAGCAAAAGGACAUGUGAAAGGGAAAACACAACGCACCCAGUAGUAAGAGUUUAAUUAAAGUCCGGGACAAGCUAGGAAGAGAAUUUGCGACACCCACAUGCAGGGGCACCAAGCCUCUCCAAUUUAAAUACGUUUUGAUGUGUUUUUAAAAAUACUAUUAAGUUUCAAAACUUAGUACGAGCGACCGACGAAAUCACAACUUUAGUACCUACGACUGAAAAAGCAUGUUUCAAGUCUCAACUCUGAAACUUGAUAUACUAGUAGAAUGCCCGUGCGUUGCCACAGGCUGUUAAUUUAUUCUUUUUGAUUACGCAUAUAACGUACAACCUCCAUCAAGAAAAAAUUGUUGGAGAAAUAGAUAAAAAUGGAUGUAUCUAGAAUUAAAAUACGUCUAGACACACCAAUUUCUCUGACAAGUUGACAGAAAAAUUAUAUCAUAUUUUGCAUGCAUAGAAAUGAUAGCGUAUAACAAUUGGAAAAUAACUAAAAUCCACUUCACCUACAAGGUAACUUGAUGAUAUACACAGAGAGACAUGAUGCGCUUAAGAUAUUAUGUAUUACAAACUAAGAUUUACUUACAAGGUAGGAAUGUUGUCUUUAGGUUUGUGUGCACGGUACUUCGACAAGUAUAAUAAAAAUCUAUUGUAUAAUUAAGACAAGCAAACAAGCCAUCACAUUCAUCCACACAGAUUAAAUUAUCUUGACCGUAAACUUUAACUUUCAUAUAGGGUUCACGGGCAUCCAUGAGCUCCUAUGUAUUUUCCCAUCAAGUACACCACGGCAUUUUCCUUCUCCAUUGUUCGCCUGCACGAUCAGCCACUAUUUUGCACAAUUGUAACAUCACAUGAUGCAACAUAAUGAAGGAAGGUAAACCUAGAAAAGACACGGCAGGCAACCUGCAUAUAUUAUUGAUAGAUAAAAUAGUUUCAUUUAGAAACAAAAUAAUUUCAUAAUCAAUACAUGCCCGUGAUAUUAUAAUACAUAAACAUGUUCAAAAUGACCCUAGAACAAAUAAAGGGACCUUUCUAUACAUAGAGAAUGAUAUUUCUCGUACAUUCGUCGCCCACGCCGCCGUCCUCGGCUCCUCGCGGGCAUGCAGCACGCACCCCCCGACCGUAGAACGUUACGACUGAUCACCGCAUAGCCAGAGUCAGCUAGCGCCUCCCCCGGCUGAACUCCUUCGACGCCGCCGUGCAUGCCGUCAUCCCCCGCCCCGUGGCCUCGCAUCGUUCGUACCAGCAUAUCACGACCUAUCAUGCCGUCAUCCCUUCGCUCCCUCCACCUAUCACGACCCAGCACCGAUUAAAUCGUCGUCUUCCACCCUGCCACCGCGACCAACACCAUAUCGAAUUUGCUCACUACCACUACCCAGCACUCAGCAAGCACACAUAGUCUCUGUAGAUAUAUAUAGGUUGCCAGACUCAGUGCCAGUGCAAACAUCAGUCAGUCCGACAACGGACCACUCCCUCGCGCCUUUAGAAAGCCACGUACGUACGCACCGUCGAUCGACCUUGAUUGAUUACUCCCUCGGCCCCGGCCGGUCAUGCGGAGCUCCGUGCACGUCCCAGCCGCGGUGGAGGCGCUGCUGGGCCACCCGGUGGCGGCACUGUCGGAGAGGCCGGCGCCGCGGCUGUCGCGGCUGCUGGUGAACGUGACGGUGGAGCGGAGCCUGUGGCCGGUGCAUGUGGUGCUGGGCGCCGACGCUAAGGUGGCCGACCUGGCGCGUGCCACGGUCGACGCCUAUGCCGCCGAGGGUCGCAGGCCGCCGCUCCCGGCCGAGGACGGCGCAAUCGACAAGGCCGCACGGUUCUUGUUGCACCUCUCCAAAUACGCCCUCGACGGUAAGUAAGAUCCAGAGGCCGCGUUGCGUAUGCCUUCCUUCCAGUUCCUCCUUUAAACCUCCCCGGCCGCGCGCCUGAAUUGAUCAAGAUUCCGUUGAUGCAGCUCUGGACCCGGAGGCGAAGGUGGUGGACUUGGGCUCUCGCAACUUCUUCCUCUGCGCCCCCAGGUCGACGCUGAGAUCAGAUCAUCAUCUGCUUCUUCGCUCAUCGCUGACAUGUCUUAUGUCUGAAGGAAAGUAGCGUGUGCCCUGUAAAACGAGUUGGCAUAUCGGCAUGUGUCCAGUAUAUACAACUGAAGUUCGAUCCUUCUUUGGUUGAUCCGUCUGUCAGAUCCUCUGGAUCAAUGUGUACGUAGUGUUACCUUAGGUACGUACAGUUCGGCCAAGGAACGAUACAUGUAGAUACAUGUCCGUUUUAUUAUACGAGCUCGAGAUAUGUACCUUGCGACGCUGUAUGUAGUAUAUAGCUGCAAGUUGCAACGUAUAUGUAUAUGUACCUAGUGCCAUGAGGGACCAUCUUGUCCGUGAGGCACACGAAACUGAAGUAUGUAAUCUGUGCUGUUGAUUAUGUUUU
rnacentral:lncRNA from 1 species